rnacentral:lncRNA from 1 species
UUAUUUGGCAUUGUAAAUGUCAAACUUUUUGUAAAUUUGAUCAGAUUUUAGAUACAAAGAUAGAAUGACAUUUCAGAUACAUAAGUAAGGUAGUGUUUGGUUAAGUGGAACAUGUAUGAGAUGGUUCACCUGGAUAGGAUGAUUCUGAACGAUAUGAUGCAAGUUGGAUGUUCGGUUGUCUGAAUGGGAUGGUACAUGGUUUUGUUUGGUUGCUUGAAUAGGAUGAUACAGGAUGGUAUAAGAUUAUAUUUGGCUACCUGAAUGAAUCAGGGUAUGGUAACCUUCCUACUAUAGGUGGUAAUUUUACCUCUAAUAAGCUGGUUACAUAAAUAAAUUGACAUAAAAGAAUGUAUCCCGAUAUAAGCCCAACACUAAACAACGAGUACAGAAAUAAGCCCAACACUAAGAUAAUAUCACAGAUAAUAGUUAUAACAUAUCAGACCAUAGUUCAUACCAGACAAUACCAGACCAUAGUUCAUACAUUCCAUAUCAUCAACCACCAUAGUUUUAGUUCACGUGGUUAGCAAAAUAUUAGGACCAACACCAACAAGCUAACAAAUACCACAAUACCAAACUUCAGUUCAGGACUAGGUACAACACGCAAUCACUAAUUAUAAAUCACCAUAGGUUAGAUUACAGUUCUAGUGGUUAGCAAAAUAUUUAGAUUGCUACUUAUAUAUCAGCAUCGGAAAGGUGCUCCUUGAUGUACCUUGCAACCCAUAUCAUUUUGCUUGACAGGGGCAGCUUGUAAAAGGCCCUUGCUUGUGGUGGAUGGUCACACAAAUAAGCAUAGUAGUGAUCAAGAUGGGCUGCAUCAAAUCCAGAGAUACUCAUCAUGGCAUCAUAAAGUCCCUCAGGAAUGUCAUCAUCUGAAGUAAUGGUCCUGGUGACAUUUGUUAUGGCUGCUGCUAAGUUUCCAAGGCUCUGACUAAUCAUAGUCACCAUGGCAAUGUUAGGAUCUUCAACAGUGACCUUGGCCUUCUUUGGUGGUGGUGGUCUAGUACCUAAGGACUCCCCACCAGUAUUGUUGACAGACAUUGUCACUUCAUCAGGCAUUACCCCUACUUGAUCAUUUGUAGAUGAAGCAUCUUUAAUGUCUUUUGGUGCAUUCUCUAUUUUAGUAACCUCCGUAGCAAUAGGGUCAUUUGCUCCCUUGGCAUAUGCACCAGUUGCCAAACUAUUGCCAAAGAUAGUGGCCAUCUCAUGGUAGUGCUCAAUUGGAGUGUUUAAGUAGUUGGCAUCCUCAUGAUGGUCCUAGCAGGCAAAAUACAUAGAUGCCAUGAAUUUUAGUAAAAUAUUAAGACUCAUAUGGCAACAAUUUCAACAAACCAAGAAGAACAUAUGGUAAAAAUUUCAGUCCAGUAAUAACCAAUGUAAUGCUCUCUCUCCACGGUUAUGGUGCAGCUUUCUUCGUCCCAAUUAGCUCCACUCAAGCUUUUCAGCUUCACAAUCUUUCCAUAAAUCUUUUUUCCACUUUCUGAGGUGGUUGCUAACUUGCGUACCAAUAACAAAAACACCCAGGCACUCAUUCAAAGCCUUUGCAUAGGCAUUCAGAUGAACUUGCUUGAAGCCUGAAGAGGUUUUAGUGCCACUAGCCACAAGUUGAGACAAGUAGUUGAGCAUAAAGCUUGACAAAGUACUUGUCCAUUGAAUUGCACCUCCACCAUGUCCAACCAAGUUAUUUCCCUGAUGUUUCUGGUCCAUCUCCUACAACAUACAAAAGAAACACAAGAAUUCAUAAUAUAGAAAAAUUAUUCAUAUUAAAUCAGUAAGGAUUCAUAUCAAAAUAGCACAAGCAUUCCUAUUAAAAUAGUACAAGGAUUCAUAUUACAACAUCACAAUGGUCCCCACUAGGCACAACACAAUGGUUCAUAGCUGGUACAUAAAUUCGAGAAGAUAAACAACACAACGCUCCACUACAUAGCUAGUACAUAAAUCUGAAAAAAUAAAAAAUAGUUCAUUGGUACAAUAAAAAGUACACUAUUAAUGUCCAUAGUGAUUUUGACGAUCUGCCCACAUUGCUUCAGCAAUCAAUUGCCUCUUAUCAACCAUAAACCUAUGGUCAUUUGCUUGCUGCCUAGUUGUCCUUUGAGGGUUAGGUGUCCAAUUGCUCUCUAGUAGAAUGAAACAGUCUGUUACUUGAGAAACAACCUAAUUGUGAAGGAUGCAACAAGCUAGGACAAUAUCAACUUGACUGCGGAAGGAGAAGAAUGGGGUUGCGUCAUCAAGAAUGAGGCUCUACCACGAAAUGAUUUUGGGUAGGAAAUGAUUUUCUACCAUGAAAGGUUGCUUCCAUAGACUUACUAACAAAUGGUCUUAUAUGUGUUCCAUAAAUAGCACCAAUACAAUCCUACUGUUCACAUAAAAAAAUCAGAAACCAAAAGUUAUGACCAUAUAUCCCUAAUCUAGGGCUUUUCAUGUCAUACCUUGAAGUAUGGAUCACAUCUUGGGUUCCCUGCAAUUUUGGCUGGAGUCUCCAUUGAAGGUGGCCGAAUAAGAUCAUUGCGUAGCUCACCUAUGGCAUGGAGGACUAAUCCAAAGUACCGGCUAACUGUUUCACCUAACCUAUUGAAAUUGGUACCAACUAACCUAUUUCGUACAUUGUGGCCAACUGUAUUCAAGAACAUGGCAACUUGUUCCUCAAUGCACACAUGAUUAGUGUCACGUAGCAGAGAGUGUUGCCUCAAAACUUGGCACAACUGGAAAAAUGAGGUUCUCUUAAGCCUUAUCAUUUUUGUGUAGGUCGUAUCAUCCCUGUAGAUCCUUGUGUUAAGAUUCUCAAUCCUAGACUUAUCCCUCUCCUCCAUUGGCCCAUAAGUAAUACGUUGCCUCUUAUUGCUUAAUAGUCUAGACGUCACAAACAAAACCACCAUACAUGAAGCUGCAUAUGUUGUUGCAGCAAUAAUAAGCAUCAACAAUUUUCUCCUAACAAGCUUCCUGUUGUCUAUCUAAAUUACCCAAAAUAGUGCAAAACAUGUAUCAAGAUUUUUAGGGAUAAGAGAAAUUAAACAUCCGUGCUAAUCUACUGCACUAUAAAUUAGUUUUGCACGCAUGCUAUCACGUGAAGCUUGUAUUGGAUGUCAAGAAAUCAGUUUGCAAUAAAAAAAUCAGCAAGACUGAAUCGCAUCUGUACUAAUCAGAUGCAAAAGAAACCAUAGAAGCACCCAGAACUUGUAAUGCAACCAAUCAACCUAUUCGUUCACAAAUCCCCUGGCACAACAUCAGAUUUAAACAGCGCAAACCCAUUCUUGGCCUUUGAUUCAACCCAGAACCAGACCUAGCAACUAGAUUGAGUGGGCGACGAGAAGAAGUCUGUACCUGCGCAAAGGGCACCGCGCUACCAGAAGAGAACGAGCGCCAGCAGCAGCAGUCCGUGCAGCUCUGGUAGCUCCUGCGUGAGGGAAGGCUGGAUCGAAGAGGGAAGAAGGGGUGGAGGUGAGCAGAUGCAAGCGAGACGAUCCGUCCGGGAUGGCGUUGUUCGAUGUUUUUUCUCGCACAGGAGGAUACAGGAUCUAAAAGGAAUAUUCGAUGCCUCUGGAUGGUUUAGUUUCACGCAUGGCCCAACUGCCCAAGCUAAGAGGGUGUUUAGUUUCACGGACUAAAGUUUAGUCCCUGUCACAUCGAAUGUUUAGAUACUAAUUAGGAUUAUUAAACAUAGACUAAUUACAAAACUAAUUGCAUAGAUGGAGGUUAUUCGUGAGACGAAUCUAUUAAGCCUAAUUAGUCCAUAAUUUGACAAUGUGAUGCUAAGUAAAUAUGUGCUAAUUAUGAAAAUAAUUUCUGAACUUGCAGCUCAUAAACGUGACAUGUAUCAUCACACAUAUAUGUUUAGUUAGGUUAUUGAUUACUGAGAAAAGAUAGCCUUAUUUCUCUAUCCCGAUGACCUGAUCCCUAUCUAUUUCCCUAUCCAACCACCCAAACAUGGGAUAAAAUAUAUCAUAGCCCUCGCUUCCCUGUCCCCUCAUUUCCCACUACCCAGACACCACCCUAAUCCCCACGAGAGGGUUGGGUUUCGAUUAUAGAUGUACAUGCAGCCCGCAGGCCGAGAGCCCGGCACGAAGCCUGUGUUUUUAGCCUGGACCUAGCCCGGCUCGACCCGUAACUCUUCGAACUCGGGCUGGCCUGGCCCGCAUGCUUGUUCCGGGCGUGGGCUGGUGCCUCGGCCCAUUGGGCGGCACGGCCCGGCAUGAAAGCGAACCGCCAGCUUGUUGCCGACCCGUCAAGCGAACAGCCGGCCGGCCCAGGCAGCCCACCAGUCCACCAACGGUCGGGAAGGGGGGCAUAUAUAAGCCCCCCACGGCCAGUCGCACCCCUCUUCGCAAACCCUACUGGUCUACCCCAUUCUCCCCUCCGCCUGCCACCUCCUCGCCUCGACUUCGACUCCUCCGCUCCAGGCUCCUUGCCUCCUUGGCUCCUCCCGUCUCGUCCCGCACCCGCAGUCCCACGUCCCGGUGACGGUUGAUGGCGACCGGUGCGCCACCUUCUCGCCUCGACUCCUCCGCUCCCGGCUCACCUCCUCUGCGCCUUCGCCUGACCACCUCCCUGGCUCCCUACCUCCCUGGUGCCUUGCCGGCUUGCCAUCGGCACCGCCUCCUCGCCUUGAAUCCUUCGCUUCCCGCUCCUUAACUCCUCCCAUCCCGCCUCCCUGAAUCUGGAUCUAGAUCCUCCUGAUCCUCUUCUUGUUCUCCUGAUCUUGUUCCCGUCGUCGUCUCUGGCUCCGGGCUGUGGCAUCACAGGUAUGUAGAUCCUCCUAAUCCUUUUCUUGUUCUCCUGAUGUAGAUCCUCCUGAUCGUGUUCUUAUUUUCCUGAUCCUCUUCUUGCAGGUAACUGUCUUCUUCUCCUACUUCGGGCUCCGGCGUCGCAGGUAACUGUCUUCUUCCUUAUUGUCCUCAUGAUCCCCUUAUUGUUCUACUGAUCCUCUUGUUGUUCCUGAUCUUGUUCUCCUAUUUUUCUUGCAGGUAUCCGUCGCCCGUCAGGUGCCGUGCGCCGUUGAGUGACGGAGUGGUUGAGGCCUGAGGGACGCCCCGGCUGCCGCCUGCCACAGGAGGUUGUCGUGAUGGACGAGAUCUACACCAUCAACGAUGACCUAAGGGCCUGUGGCCUGCCAGGUAACUUCUUUCUGAUCCUCUUCUUGUUCUUGUUCUCCUGAUCAUCUUCUUGUUCAUCUUCUUGUUCCUGCCUUCUUGAUCCUCUUCUUGUUCUGUUCUACCAGGUGACGAUGAGGAUGACGUGGCUGCCAGAGCCGUGGCACUCUUCGGUAGCUCUGCUACUCCCGUCAAUGUGGAUGCUGCUGGUGCCGGAGGUAUUGCCCUAUCUUCUACCCCGACUACAUCAACAGGCACCAGUGUCCGCAAGGGGAAGCGGUGAUCUGCUGCCUGGAACGACUUUGAGGAGUUGUUCCAGGAAGGCGCCAACGGGAAGAAGGUAAGGUACACUGCCAAGUGUCGUCAUUGUUCUCACAUUCUUACUAGCCAGUCUUGUGCUGGUACUGGGCAUUUGCUUCGGCACCAGAAGAUAUGCUUGGCUAAACAAAACCAUUCUUUUCUUGUUCGGUUGCAACUGCAAUUCCAUUCUGAUGGCUCAAUUAUUAAUUGGGAAUACAAGCCUGAUCUUGCUCGUAAAGAAUUGUGUCGGUUGAUUGCUAGACUUGAUCUACCCCUAGACUUUGGUGAGAUAGAGGCAUUUGUGGAGUACAUCCAGCGUGCUCAUAACCCUCGUUUUGCUAAAGUUUCUAGACAAACCACUUCUAGAGAUCUUACCAAGUACUUUGCCGAGCGUUGUGUUUCUCUUCUUGAUACUUUGAAGUCUCAUGUUUCUUUUGUCUGUCUUACUUCUGAUAUUUGGUCUGGCAAUGCUAAGGAGGACUACCUUAGUGUUGUUGCACAUUUUGUUUCUGCUGAUUGGGAAUUAGAGAAGAGAGUCAUUGCUCUUAGGUUGAUUGAUUGCUCCCAUUCUGGUGUUAACAGUGCUGAGCAUAUUGAACAAAUAGUUUCUGAGUUUGGUUUACAGGAUAAAAUUUUCUCUAUCACACUUGACAAUGCUUCUGCUAAUACUUCUGCCAUGUCCACACUUAUUCCCAAACUUGUUGGUUAUCUAGGUCUAGAUCCUGAACCUCUUGAUUCUGAUUCUGAUAAAGCACUUGUUGGUCUUUUGCAUCAACACUGUGCAUGUCAUAUUAUCAAUCUCAUAGUCAAGUCUAGUUUGAAGAGGAUCAAGUCUUAUCUUGAGACUUUUAGGACUGCAAUCUCUUUUUUGAACUCUUCUAAUCAACGCAUUGCAGCUUUUAAUAACUUCUGAAUUGUCAAGGGGGUACGCCCUCGUAAGUUUGGUUUAGAUAUGGAUGUGAGAUGGAAUUAUACAUAUCUCAUGCUCAAACAUCUACUACCAUAUAAGACUGUCUUUUCUAUCUUUAUUUUUGCUCAUUAUGGUUUGCACAAUGGCCAGCCACUUCUGACUGAAAGCCAUUGGGUAAUUGCUGAGAAAAUUUUGCUGUUCCUUGAAAUGUUUUAUGAUUCCACUGUUGCUUUAUCUGGUGUUUACUAUCCAACAAGUCCUUUGAUGUUGCAUCAUAUUAUUGAGAUUGCAGGCCAUUUGCAUGCCCAAGAUUCUGAUCCAUUGCUCAGAAAUAUUGUUGUUUCUAUGAAUCUUAAGUUUCUCAAUUAUUGGCAGAACAUACCUCUGUUGUAUUCCUUUGCAUUCAUUUUGGAUCCUAGAGCUAAGGUGAGAGGUUUUUGAUAAUGUUCUCCAACUUCUUUCUCAAACAGUUGGUGUUGAUUACUCUUCUUAUUUCACUGAGAUAAGUACUGAAUUACAUAAGUUGUUUAACAAGUAUGAAAACAAGUUUGGUGCAGUUAGGACGCAAAGGCCCUCUCAACCUACAACUGCUACUGGUAAGAAAAGAACAGCAUGGGGCAAGAUCUUUGGUGGUCCUGGUCCAUUUGGUUCAUGUGGUUCUCCUGUUCUUUCAUCUACACCUCCUAUAUCUCUUACUUCUGAGCUGUCAUCCUACUUGCACAGUGAUACUAUUACUUGCUAUGACGAUGACUUCAACAUACUUAGUUGGUGGCAUGAGCACAAGCUAUCCCAUCCUAUUUUUUCCAUACUUGCUAAAGAUGUUAUGUCUAUUCCAGUUUCCACUAUUUCUUUGAAAUCUUGUUUUAGUCUAACUGGCAGGGUGAUUGAGGAGCGGUGCCGACGGUUGUUGCCGGAGACGGUGGAGAUGCUAACCUACCUCAAGGAUUGGGAGUUGGGAUAUGCAAGGGCACAACAUGAUGUUGAGAAGGAGGUCAAUGAAUUGGAGGAAACUUACAAAAGCCCCUACCCAGACAAAGAUGAAGGCCAAGUUAGUCAGUAAGUCCAUUACUAACUCAUCUUUUGUUCAAUUGUUAAACAUUUUAAUUGCUAACACUUAUGCUGUUGUGCACCUCUAGGCCUACCCCAGGAGUAAGCUGAACUGCUAGAGGGCUGGAGGAUGAAGCUAAAGCCUGUUGGACUGUUGUCUGUUGGUGUUGGCUUGGCCAGUUGGGUGUUCUAGUUCUAUAUUUUUAUGUCUAUGUAUGUGUCUCAAUGUUUGUAACCUGUAAUGUUGAAUUGAACUUGAGUCUUGAGCUGGCUGUACUCUUUUUCCCUCACGAGGUGUUAGAUUGUAACAUGUAUGUUCUGUGUUUAUUGCGUGAGUGGGUCAUGUAUAGCAGGCCCAGGCCAGCCCAUCUCUGGGCGUCAGCCCUAGGUGAUUAGGGUUAGGCGCCUGCCCCUAUGCAGGCACCUAUAUAUGUACUGUAUCCCCGAAUUCCUAAUCAAUACAUAUCUUCCACGCAAUCCUAUUACUUUCAUGGUAUCACGAGUACGGGUCACCCCUGAUUCCUUUCCUUACGCUUUCUAGCGCGCCUCUCAGUGCUACCUGCGCGAUCCCACGCCUCCACGCGCCGUGCCUCCCUUGCGCACUCCCCGCGUCCCGCACCUCCGCGCGAUCCAUGGCUGGCUCCUUGCCCACCUCUCCCACCGCUACCGUGGCCGCCGCCGACGCCGCACACCUGGCUGCCACUCGCACCUAGUGCCAGGUCACGCGCGACACCGUCUUGGACGAUUCGGCUUCCGACAACGACUCGGUCGUCCACGACGACACCGAUGACAACCUGGACGCCCGCCGCGCCCUGCUGAUGCAUGAAGCCGCAACCCUUCUUUAGCUCCAUGCCCAGGCCGCUGCUAUCCAGAAUGUUCGCAGCCUCGUCGUCAUCGUCCUCGACUCCGCCGGCAACUACUCCCGAUGGCGUGAACAGUUCCUUCUCGCCGUCGGCAAGUACUCGCUGCAGGAUCACAUCCUCCGUGACCCUCCAGCCGUCCCCUAUGCAGAUUGGCUCUGCAUGGACUACGUCGUCCGUUCAUGGCUCUACAGCAGCAUCACCACGGACCUCGCCGACAUCAUCAUAGCCCGCACCACCUGGCUCGCCAUCAGGAUGCAGUUCCUUGGCAACAAGGAGACGCGCAUCAUCCUCCUCGAUGCCAAGUUCCGCAACUUCAAGCAAGGGGACCUCAGCAUCACGGAGUACUGCAAGCGCCUGAAGGGCAUGGCUGACGACCUCGGCGAUAUUGGGGCGCCUGUCGAUGACAAGCUCCUCGUCUUCACCCUCGUCGGCGGCCUCAACGGCCAGUUCCACGCCAUCGUUCGCGACAUCCGUCGCAACCGCCCCCUGCGCUCCUUCCUGGAGGCUCGUGAUGACCUUCUUCUAGAGGAGAUGACCAUGCUGUCAUCGUCAUCUGAGCCACCGCAGGCCCUUCUCGGGGCCACCGUUGGCCCUUCUCAGCCCCGGCCUCCCGCGCCCCCCAACACCACUCGCGCCAGCAACCGGGGGGGGCAAAGGAGGCAACCGGGAUCGUCGCCAACGCGGCGGCCAAGGCCGCUCUGGCAAGGGCGGCCAGGGCAAAGGCGCCGGCUCCAGCCAGGGUGCCAAAACCCCUAGACCCCCUGGCGCAGGCGACGCCCCCUGGCACGUGGCCAUCAUUCUGGAACCCCUGGACCGGGACAAUUCAGAUGUAUCCCGGUCUUGGGCCAUUGCGGUCUGGACCGCUGCGCCCCACCCCGCCUUCCCAAGGAAGCCCACCUCUGCCCCAGGCCUACAUCGCCCAACACCAGCAGGUCGCCCUCGCCCAACAGCAACAGGCGUGGCUUGCUCAGCAGCAGGCCUGGGCCGCCCAGGCUUCCCUGGCGCAGCAGCAGCAGGCGCCGCCCAGGUUCUACAGCGCGUCCUCGGCCUUGCCCUCCUCCUGGGACCAGCAGUCUCUCGCCUCUACGUUCAGCACCAUGACACUCAACCAACCACAGGUGACUGACUGGUACCUCGACUCAGGUGCCUCCUCCCACAUGACCAUCUGAUCCUGGUACCCUCUCCCACUUUUUCCCUUCGCGGUAUCCCUCUCCCUCCUCCAUUAUUGUCGGUGAUGAUUCCUUAAUCCCUGUCACAGCCACUUGUUCAGCUUGUUUUCCACAAUCAUUGUCUCUUAAUAAUGUUUUAGUUUCUCCUAAACUUAUUAAAUCUCUGUUCGCCAGUUUACUGCCGAUAAUAAUUGUUCCCUCGAAUUUGAUCCCGCUGGCUAUUCUGUGAAGGAUCUAUCAUCCCGGAGAGUGAUCAUCAGGUGCAAUAGCUUCGGUCCCCUCUACCCGCUUCGAUUCCCCACUGCUCACGCCUUGGCAGCCACCUCCUCCUCCGACGUGUGGCAUCGUCGCCUGGGGCACCCCGACUCUAAUGUUCUAUCUAGAGUCGCUUCUGCUGUCCCCUUUUGUAAUAAAACUGCCAAUACUACUUGUCAUGCUUGUCAGCUCGGUCGUCAUGUGUGCCUCUCGUUUCAGACAUCGUCAUCUCGUGCUCUUCAUAAGUUUGAUUUACUCCAUUGUGAUCUAUGGACGUCUCCUAUUCCUAGUAUUUCCGGCUAUAAAUACUAUCUGGUGGUGCUUGAUGAUUGCUCGCAUUAUUUGUGGACUUUUCCUCUACGUCUUAAGUCUGACACUUUUGCGACUCUCACUACCUUCUUUUCGCUUGUGCGUACUCAGUUUGGCGCCACAAUGAAAGCCGUGCAGUGCGACAACAGCCGCGAGUUCGAUAACUCCAGCUCCCGCACCUUCUUCCUCUCCAAGGGGAUGCACCUGCGGAUGUCCUGCCCACACACCUCGCCACAGAACGGUCAUGCUGAGCGCAUCAUCCGGAGCAUCAACAAUGUUGUUCGCUCCCUCCUCUUCCAAGCCAGCAUGCCGCUAGCCUAUUGGGUGGAGGGACUGCACACCGCCACCCAUAUUCUUAAUCUACUGCCGACCAAAACCCUCCAGGGUUCCACACCGCACCAGGCCCUCUUCAGCACUCCACCCGACUACGGUCACCUACGGGUUUUCGGUUGUGCCUGCUACCCGAACCUCUCUGCCACGGCGCCACACAAGCUGGCUCCCUGCUCCACUCUCUGUGUUUUCCUUGGUUACUCUGUUCAUCAUAAGGGAUACCGCUACCUUGAUCGUUCCACCAACCGCGUGAUAGUCUCUCGCCAUGUGGUGUUUGAUGAAGCGCAAUUCCUCUUCCAGCAGUCCUCACCAGUCUACACUAAUGAGUUUGAUUUUUUGGAGCUUCCCGAGGUGGUUUCAUACAGCAUGGCACCUCCAUUGCUUCCUCCAGGUCCCUCCGUUGACGUCGACGUCGCCGCACAGCCACGUGUGGCCGAUGUUCCAGCACCACCAGGCGCUCCCUCGGCGCCACCAACGCCGUUCCUAGGCGCCGACGGCAUCCCAGGCUCACCUCCGGCCGCCCUGGGAGCCCCCCUGCCGCCGUCCAGCACCUGGCUGGUUGCCCCUGCAGCACCUUUCGGCGACCAGCCGGCCCCGACGACGUCUCCCGGCCACCGGCUGGGCGCUGCAGCCCCUGUCACCCAGCUGGACAGCGCCUCGCUCGGGCCCGUUGCACCCCUGGCCGGGCCAUCUGCUACCGCCUCAGCGCCCCAGGAGCCGGCCGACGCCUCCAGACCACUGAUGGUCUAUUCCCGCCGUCCCCGGCCUCCACCAUCAUCGUCGCCGCAGCAGCCACCUGCGGCAUCUCUGCCUCCAGGCGCUGUGCCGGUUCGCCCCGUCAUCAACACACACUCCAUGACGACCCGUGGCAAGAUGGGCUUCCGGCAGCCCACCUUGUUCCACUUGUCGUCUCUCUCACCGGUCCCUCGGUCCUAUCGUGGGGCCCUUACUGAUCCUAAUUGGCGCCAGGCGAUGCAGGAAGAGUUCGACGCUCUCCUCUCCAACAACACUUGGGACCUCGUUCCUCGGCCUUCAAGCAGCAACAUUGUGAUUGGAAAGUGGAUUUUCAAGCACAAGUUCCAUGCCGACGGAUCUCUGGAGUGUUACAAAGCCUGCUGGGUCCUUCGCGGCUUCACGCAGCGCCCUGGGGUUGACUUCCCUGAGACUUUCAGCCCGGUUGUGAAGCCCGCCACCGUCCGCACGGUGCUCUCUUUGGCUCUCUCUCGUCAGUGGCCUAUACACCAGCUUGAUGUGAAGAAUGCCUUCCUACACGGCACCCUGUCUGAGACGGUCUAUUAUGCACAGCCAACUGGUUUCGAGGAUUCCGCUCAUCCUCGGUAUGUAUGCAAGCUGAACCGCUCUCUCUACGGACUCAAGCAAGCGCCUCAGGCCUGGUACAGUCGCUUCUCCACAUAUUUGCAGCAGCUCGGAUUUGUCGAGGCCCGUACGGACACCUCCCUCUUCGUGUUUCACCGUGGCCAUGACACUGCCUACCUCCUCCUCUAUGUGGAUGAUAUCGUUCUGACAGCCUCCUCGUCGCCCCUCCUGGCCCGUAUCAUUCAAGACUUGCACCGGGAGUUUUCGAUGAAGGACCUCGGUGAGUUAUACCACUUCCUUGGGAUGCGUGUUCAACGCUCUAGUAAGGGCCUGCUACUCUCCCAGCGUCAGUUCAUGGUGGAGAUAUUGGAUCGUGCAGGUAUGGCCGAUUGCAAGCCUUGUCAGACGCCAGUUGACACCAACCCCAAGCUGUCCGCUAGUGAAGGCAACCUGCUCUCGGCUGCAGCUGCAUCGGACUACAGGAGUUUGGCCGGUGCCCUUUGGUACCUGACAUUCACCCGCCCGGAUAUCUCCUAUGCUGUCCAGCAGGUUUGUCUCCACAUGCACGCGCCGCGCGAUUCACAUCUCGCGGCUCUGAAGCGUAUUCUGCGCUAUGUGCGCGGCACGCUUCAUUUGGGCCUCCUGCUGCGCCCAUCUGUGCAGACCGAGUUCGUGGUGUACUCUAAUGUAGACUGGGCGAGCUGUCCGGGCACUUGUAAAUCCAUAUCAGGUUAUGCGGUCUUCUUGGGCGACAACUUGGCGUCCUGGUCUUCCGAGCGUCAGAAUGCAGUACCUCGUUCCAGUGUCGAGGCAGAAUAUCGUGCCGUUGCCAACACUGUAGCUGAGAUCACCUGGUUGCGCCAGCUUCUCCAUGAGCUCCGUGCCCCUCUGCGCCGCCCUGCUCUGGUUUACUGUGAUAACAUCAGCACUAUGUACAUGUCAUCCAACCCCGUUCAGCACCAACGCACCAAACAUGUGGAGAUUGAUCUCCACUUCGUCCGGGAGCACGUCGCCACAGGUGAAGUCCACGUCUUGCAUGUUCCGACGACAUCUCAGUACGCCGGCAUCUUCACCAAGGGCCUACCUUCUUCGGUCUUCAUGGAGUUCAGGACCAGUCUGAACGUCCAGGCUACCGACGCUCAAACUGGGGGGGUGUCAUGUAUAGCAGGCCCAGGCCGGCCCAUAUCUGGGCGUCGGCCCUAGGUGAUUAGGGUUAGGCGCCUGCAUAGGCACCUAUAUAUAUGUACUGUAUUGAAUCUUCCACGCAAUCAUAUUACUUUCACUAGGAUUUUUUCACAAGGGUUUUCUCAAUACAGAUCAAGUGUUAACAGCUCUAAUAAUUCCUUUAUUAUGAAUUUCUGUGUGAUUGUGUGCAUGUGAUGAAUGUGUGAUUGCUGAUUAAUCUUAUAUUUUAAUUUUUGAAUGUUUGAUGAACUUGAAAGUCUUAGAUUAUGAAUUAGUGUUUCACCCUUAUUCGAUGAAGUCUUUUCCCUCUUGACAAGCUAUGGGUCGGCACGGCACGUAAAAAUGGCCGGGCUCUUCAGGCCGACCCGACACGAAAAAGGCCUCACGGGCCCGUGCAUGGGCCGCCAGUGAGGCCCAUGGCCUGGCCUGGCACCGCACGACGGGGUUAUCGUGAUGGGCCAGGCCCGGCACGAAAAUGAACGGGCCAUGCCGGGCCCGGGCCUGACCGGGCGGCCGAACGUACAUCUAUAGUUUCGAUCUCACCACGCCCGCACAGGCCGCUGGAGCCACAGCUUGCUUUGCUGCCCGCGCAGGCACGCAUCUCGCCACGCCGCACGCCGCCUUCGCCGCAUCUCGCCUCACCCGCACGGACUGCCGGAGCCGCAGCUCGCCUUGUUGCGCGGGCAUGCAGGGAGCUCCGAAUUGAAGCACAGAGGUGCUGCUCGCCUCGCAAAACGGGCCGCUGCUGCAUCUCCCCUUGCUGCUAGAACAGGCUGAGGAGGAAGCGUCUGGAGCCAUCGCUCGCCUCGCAUGGUACCUGUGCGCGGGCGUCAGGCAGCAGGCUAGUGAGCUUUGGAUGGGCAGAUGGACGGGAGGAUCACCGAGAAGAUAACGUUCAUCAUUUUUCUAUUACCAUCCCAAUCCAAGGUGCUAUCCAAACGCCACUCAAAGGUUAUCGAUUUUGUUUCGAAAUCCGAUGGGAGUUCAGGAAGCAAUUCGGACUCCCAAGCGAUUCCGACCUCGGCUCGGUACGUAUUCGGGCUCUAUAAAAAUUCACCAGCCAGCCCAACAUCAUCGUCUCGGCUGUUCCUCCGAGAUGCAGCGCCUGUCCGUCGACGGAGACGGCGCCGCCGGCCGCGAGGAGGAAGAGAAGAAGCAGAGUGCCUGCGCCCAUGUCUCCGUGGGCUCGCUGUCGCUGCUCCUGGCCGGAAUGAUGGUGCUCAUGGCUUGCAGCGCGACGGCUUCCUGGCCGCGCUGCUCGCCGUGGUCGUCGGACCCGUCGUCGGCGUGCUCGUCAUGGUCACCGACCUGGCAUGCAUGUCUGCCUUCUUUGGGUUCUGCCUCGCCGAGCACGUGCGUUUCAGCAAGCCGCCGGCUGGGCACAAGAACAAGCGCGUGUAGGAUAAAAUCGCGAGUUCCCAGAAUUAAUAGCGUUUGCUGAGUUGACAACGCUACUGAAAACUAGCAGUAUUUAGCUUGACUUCCAUUCGUGCAUUACAAGUGUAAAAGCUAGCAACGUAACACAAUGUUACAAAGUAUUUACAGGGUGGUUGUUGCUUGAUUGCUUCGUAUUGUUGAGUGAAGCCAUCCCACGCGAUGUUAUUUCGUCAUCUCGUGAAUCAUAAUGUAGGAGAUGAUAUUUACAGCCGUUAAAACCAUGUGAUAUAUUAGAUCUCGAUGAAAUCGUCUUCAUCAGUUUCAUCUACCCACUCAACCUGAGUGUAAGCUGUGGAUUUCAUCAAGUCAGUGAGGCCGGAAAUGUCUUCCAAAUACGUUGGUUCGUUGAUCACUUGCAUCACAAAAUCCAUUCCUCUACUCCGAUAUUCAGACAAUACCUGCAAUAUUUUUGCAUGUAAUCACAAUAAGAGAUCAGCAGCAUAGCUAUCAACAAAAUUCCAAUAGUAUCGUUUGCAUUGUUGGAAACUUGGAACCGGCCAAGGAUGAAACUCACGAGACAAACGGAGGGAAUAUGUACAUGACACUAUGACACACACCCACUAACUCCUAUUAACUCAUGAAGACUCUAAAACUCGUAUAAUUCAAGAUAUAACAUGCAUGUUGUCCAACAGUAGAAAGUUUACAUACCACAUUGGAACAUGCUGUGCAAUUGCUCGAGGAAUAGCCCAAGAGGGUUAAUAAGUUGUACUGUGAGAGUGAUCCACGCAUCUGGUGAGGUAAUAGACCAAGCGGAUGGCCACUGCUUGCACUAGCAAUCUCUCCAGGAGCAUGUAUCCUGCAACAGUAGUAAAAGUAUUUAUCAGAUUUCCUUGCUUUUGUUUAUUGGAUGCACUUAGCAUCUUCUUUGGAUGUUACACAUUCAUAGUCAGCUUUCAGGUGCCCAAUUGCUUACCCAUCGGGAUGAUGUAACAUUCUUGUGAAGAGGUCUGCAGCACGUCCAGAUGCAAUGCAGGCCAGCCCAGGUCGUGUCACUGUACAUUGUUGAUCCAGUGUUCGAUUUGAGACAGACUGCAUCAAAAGUAAUGUCAUGAUUGCUGGAGGCAACAUGUUAAAAGCAUAUAACAAGUAUAAUCUCCAAAACAUGGAACAUUACAUCAACAGGAGCAACGACGUCAUUGCAGAAAUAACACCCCAGUCUUUGACGUCCAAGGGAAUCCUUUGUGGACAGCUUAUCCAUGGCAGCAGUCACAUUUGAAGCUUCAUAGCUUAUGCCAGGACCAGCCCCAUGUCGCAUGACAAGGUAACUAUCAUACCCUAAUGCUGCAGUAAUAGCAAUCUGCAAUGCAGAGGGGCAUUAUUAGCAUAUAACAAAAUUCCAAGGUCCACAUUAUUCAAGGAUGCCUACAAGGUUUACCUUGUUUUCAUUAGUGCAGAGGAGAGUUGGAAGCCACCUACUUUCCCUUGUGUCGGUCAACAAGAAGAUAGCAUCGUGGGAAGCUACUAAUUCCUUAAGGCGCUUGCAAUCUUGGAGCACACCAGCUGCUUCACUGGGAGAUACAGGAUGCCCUGGCAUAGGUAUUUCCAUUUGAAUGCCUUGUGCAUCCUGCAAGGGCGCAUGGUACAUAUUCAUUAUGAUGAGAAAAUAGUAAAAUAAAAUGAAAGUACAGUUUUGAGGGUAAGGAAGUGAAGACUCACCACUGAAGGACACCUCUCCACUAGAUGCCUAAGUAUUGCAGUUGCUUUUGGGGCACCACGGUCAUCACAAGUGUAGAGUGAUUGUCUCGUCAAAUUCGACACAACUACACGACCACUAUCAACCACUGUUAGGUUCCGUACACCAUAGUCCUGCAAAGUUGGUUUCGCCAAAGUGAAACAGAAUUUGUGUGAGCGUAUAUGUUGUAGUUUUUCUCGAACACGCAGGAAAGCUGUGUAUCAUUAUAUUAAGAAGAAAAAGCUGAGUCAUUUAUAUGUUGUAGUUGACAUAAAGUAGCAUCAUUUACGAAACUGAGUCAUUUACCAUAAGAAUGCGAGCAACAUCACAUCCAAGAGUUCCAGCACCCAAAAGUAGACAGCGAACAUCAGAAAUCUUGUCUGAAUUUACACAGAUGCUAGUCAGCAUUUUAGGACAAGUAUCUGGCUUCUUCAAAUUAGAAAUGCCUGUAAGAUCUUUCAGAUAUGUUGGAUAGUUAAUAGCCUGCAUGACAAAAUCCAAUCCCCUUCUUCUGUACUCUGACAAUACCUGGAAUGUUUAGCAUGGGUAUCAUUAGAAGCAAUAAAACUGUGAGAACGUAAUGUCAUAUGGAAUUUACUUACUGCAAUCGAACAUGCAGUACAGUUGCCUGAGGAAUUGCUAAGUUCCAUAGAUAAAACACACUUUGGGAGUGAUCCUUGUAGCUGAUGUGGUAAUAGACCAAGCUGAUGUUCUGUUUCCAUACCAGCAAUAUCACCUGGAGCAUGUAUCCUGCAAAAGGGUAUGAUAAUUAUGGCAACACAUAGUGGACUGAUUAGUUUUUCAAGCUCCGCUACAACUUAGCUUAACCAAUAUUUAAUGUCUGUAAAAAAACUAAUAUUCACUGAGAUCCAUGCUACACAAACACAAUUUGGACUCAGCGAUUAACUUUAAGGCAUCUUACUCGUCAGGAUGAUGUAACAUCCUAGCAAAGAGCUCCACUGCUUUGCCAGAUGCAACUGAGGUAAGUCCAGGUAGUGUUCCAUUAGGAAUUGGCUGCAAAAGAAUAACAUUGAACAUGACAGACCAAUAAUAAAAUGAGGAAAAUGAUAAGUAUAUAACAGAAACAGCAAGAGAACAUGUCCACAAAACACAAGUUUUUAUCUGAUGUACAUUAAAGAGGGAAGCAGCAUCACUGCAGAAACAACAGCCCAAUCUCUGAUGGCCAAGAGAAUCUUCUGUGGACAAAUUUUCUAUCUGAGCAGCCACUUCAUAUGUACCCCCACUUGUUCCUGGACCAGCACCAUGUCGCAUGACAAUGUAACUGUCACAUCCUAAUACUGCAGUAAUAGCAAUCUGCAGUGGAGGUACAACAUAUCAUUAGUACAGCAUAUACACAAUGAAAAGGUAGAGAUUAAAGAGUACUUUUUAACUAAAAAAUGUGUGGCGAAGGGGCCUGUAGCCUAGCGGUUGCAGUGACCUUAGUAGCACCCUAGGUCCUGGGUUUGAAUCCCCGUGGGAGUGAAUUUCAGGCUGGGUAAAAAAGGUCACUCGCUGGUUCCCCUGGUCAGCAUGGGUGAACCGACCUGUGCUGGGCGGGCCCUCGUUUAAGGAGCUGGUCGUGGGUUGGGCCUCAAAGCACGGGUAAAGGCCCGAACUAUAUGGGGUGGCAUCUCUAUGUAUGUGGGGUAUCAGCUUUCGUGACCUUUCUCAGCCGGGCUUCGGUUAAGUUCUUAGUGAAAUAUUGUGGGGCGGUCCAUCCCCCACCAGCCGAGUUUUCUAAAAAUGUGUGAUUAAUCUAUCUGGAUGCGAAACCCUCAGCCAUAGGCUAAGUACUUAGACACUGCUGUAUGAGAACAACUACAGAGGUCCAUACCCAAUGGAUAGCGUGUUCAAGCUUUACCUUGUUUUCGCUUGCACAGAGAAGAGUUGGGAGCCACCUGCUCUCCCAAGUAUCAGUUAACAAGAAAACUGCAUCAUUGGCAGCCACUAAUGUUUGCAGAUGCUUGCAGUCAUCAAGCACACCUGCCAUUUUGCUGGGAGAAUAAGGAUGCCCAGGCACCGGUAUUUCCAUUUGGAUGCCUUCAACCUCCUACAUGACAGUGAUCGUUAUUUAUCCACUACAAAAAUUCGAAAGCAUAUGUUUCAAGGAUAAAACUGUCCUCACCACUGCAGGACAUCUUGAUUUUAGAUGUGGAACUAUUGCAGUUGCUCUUGGGACUCCACAGUCCUUAUCUAUGUAGAGUGAUUGCUUGACAAGGUCAGACAUGGCAACACUACCACUGUCAACCACAGUUAAUUUCCGUACACCCCAGGUCUGAAAAAAAAUGGUGACCAGCAUACAAAAUUAAAAGCAGGAAAUAAAAUCUUACAUUCUAUUAGAUUUGUUACAAUGAAUAGGAAUCUAGUAGUAGCUCAAAUCACUAACCAUAAGUAGGCGAGCAACUUCACAUCCAAGAGUUCCAGCACCCAGGACAAGAACUCGAACCUGAGAUAACUUAUCUAUAUUCACAGGAAAGUGGCGCCACCCCAUAAGCUUUAAGUGCAUCAGUUGUUUUUCUUCAUCCUGACUGCGUGAAAUAAAAAUCAAGAUAAUUUUCUAUUCAUCGUUGAUUAUUUCCAAAGCAAAAUAUGCAAUCAAUCUACCUUGCUGGAUUUGAUGAUUGAAUAUCUAAUUCUUUUGGUUUCAUGUCUUUUGUUCCCUUUCCUGGCUUUACUCUUUCCCAUCCAAAAGCAUCAGGUACAUGAUCAGGGUCAUCCCAGCCUGUCACAACAGCCAGUGUAAGAAAUGGACAAAUUGCUGGUGAAAGUGCCAGGCUGAUUAUUUUAUAAUUGAAACCACCAUAUUCAUACCAGAAGGUGAUGGAAAUGAUGCUUCGCCAAUGAGGGAUUGUACUAGAUCAGGGUUUCCCUUAAAUUCACGGUAGCAGAAGAACUGAACCUUCUCAAUCUUCCACCGGAUACUCAGGAAUGCAAUGUAGUUUCUAAUAGCCCAGCCAGGGCAAUCUGGGCGACGUCCGUGAUCAUAAAAUCCAAAUAGCAGCUGCGACAGCAAAGCAAUGAAUUUAGACGUAGCACAAAGAUACACAGGAAGUUGGGUAAUAAGGAUGUUCUUCUAAAAUAUUUAUCAAAACUCAGCCAGUUUAAAUGAUCGAAUGGAUGACAUGACCUACCUUUUGAUACUUCCCCUGGCAAGUUUUCCAGUCCUUAAGUUGUCUUAUAGAGGCAGAGGAAUCCGAGGAUAUAGUAACCAGAAAGAAUGGUAUAACUGUUGAGAUGUAAUCCAUGGCAAGAAAUAAUUAAUCAGAUAAACAGAACAAACUAACAACAUUCCAAGCAUAUGCGACUUGCUGGUAGGCAUGAUUCUCAAACCUGUUGUUUCAGUAGAAGCGCGCCACUCUUGCAAUGCUAUUUUCAAGGAUUCUACCUGCAGGAAAGAAUAAACAACUCUCAGUACCAAUCGGAUGGAUCAAACAAGGAAACUGGUGGUGUUGUUGAAUAUUAGGUGCACAUGAACAUGACCUCUUCGUUGCUGAGCACUUCUGAGGCGACUUGCAGGCUGAGCAGGGUCGAGUUGAAAACCAAUGAGGGGAAUGCAACAUUGUAAUAGAUCUUCCAAUUCUUUAGAUCAGCAAAUGAUAUCACAAGGAACCUAAGCAGCAGUGCAGGAUCCUCUUCUACUUUACCAGACACAAUGUCAUGCAAGAUCUGCCCCCGCACAUCCAAACUAAAAUUAGACAAUUAAAAUAAAUGCGUAAACGACAGUAAAUUCCACGUCAAGUGUGUACCUUCUUCGCUUCUGUUUUCAGAAGAAGUUCCCUAUCUAGGUCUUGGAAUCCCCUCAUGUUAUUAGUGUUUAUAAGGGUCCCUAGGAUUGGGCAACUGUUCCUGUCGCCAACUGGAUUGUGUGAAGGUGGCACCAAUGAUUCUGAACGUAGGUUGAACAAGCUUGCUUGGUGAAACUGGCAUGGAGCAUAAUAACCUGGUUUAAAGUUCAGAAGGAACUAUUUUAGCUUAUGCAGAGACCUCUUAUAUAACUAAAACUAUGAAAAGACACUGACUAAACUCAUCGUACAAUAACAACAACAUAGCCUUUCAGUCCCAAGCAAGUUGGGAUAGGCUAGAGUUGAAACCCAACAGGAGCUCUGACUAAACUCAUUGUAAAUAAAAUAAUUCAUCUCAGAAUCACAAUUCGUGUGUGAAGACUGAAGAUUGCGACCAGGAGCUCAAAAAGAGCAACCACACUAAUCAAAAGCCUAACUGGUGGUAGAACGACAAACACUAAUUCCUGAACCAGUGAACCCGAACCCCAGCAAGAGCCAACGUCCAAACCAUCGGCAGCAGACGUAACUGUGGAGCACAGAGAUCUAAAGUAAUAACUAAAAGCUACUCCCUCGGUACUAAAUUACAAUUCGUUUUGGUUCCUCUAGAUACAUAAUUUUUACUAUGUAUCUGGACAUAGUAUAUAUCUAUGUGCAUAUUAUGUAUAUACAAAAGGCAAAAUGAAUAAUAAUUUGUGAUAAAAGAAGUAUAUCUCAAGCAAAACUCACAAUGGACGUAACCCCGGGGCAACAUUGCAUCCACGAACAAUCAAUCCCGGCGAACACCAGAACAACUAAACAAAACUCCAAAUCGAAGCGCUCGCACACACCAGAUCACAACUAGUAAGCAACUACGGCGGGUAGGGGCUCUAGGGAAACCCGGGAAGUCGCAAAUUCUACGACAGCGAGAGUGGAUUGGGAGCGGGCGAACCGGUGAUUGGGAUUAGGAAGUCGUCAAUGCCGAGCACCUCGAGCUUGAGGCGGCGGAGCGCAUCCCAAAACCCCUCAUCCGCUAAGCACUCGAUGGCCUCAACCAGCAGCUGCCGGGGGAACCCCGCCGCACCGGCACCCGCCAUUGUCGUCUCGUCUUACCUGUUCCGGCACGGCGAGCGGCACGGCCGUAUCUGCUUCUGCCUAAUAGAUUUCGGAUUUAUUCCCUUUUUUUCAGUUGCCCCUCGGGAAGAAGGAUCUCUGUAUAAAUAGAUAUUCCUUGUUGGACUUUGCUUUGGCGGGUACAACUCGAAGACCCAAGUAGCUCCCAAUACCACCAUGUAAAACUUAGCCCAACCAACAGGCCCAAGCAUAAGAUACGCACAAGAUCCUCCGCUGCUGCGGCCCAUCUGGCAUCUCCGGUGCUUUCCUUCGCGGCGCAUACAAAGGAUCCGUGCGGGUGCGGCUGCAGCUGGCUGACUCGUGGCUUCGGCAUUCCAACCCUCAGGCCAGCCCCAGUCCAAUGGUAAUGGCUUAGAGAAGGCAGUGGAUACCUGAAAUCCCAUACCCAACAGGGCAUGGGUGUAGAUUAAUUUUCUUACUUUUGGGUUUGUGAAUAUGCAUUAAGGAGUAGCCACGAGACAAGGAAGAAGGGCGUGUCCGCAACACAAUACUCGGUAGUUUUACCGAGUAAGCUUCCCGCUCCCCGCCCCCACCCCCGCUGCCCGUGACCACUUCGGUCAUGGCAUCCACAACGUCCCAGCGGCGACCGUUUCGGUGUCGUCGGUCACCAACCCACAACCCCCUCCCUGCUCCGCUCACCCGCUACCCCUUCCCCUUUCCCUUCCCCACCAUGCCAGUCUUAGAUUUAGAUCCAGAGAGUUCUUCAGGCACUCCUCGCCCCUGCGCAACGCUUGCCUCCAGCGAGCUGCGAACGCCGGAGCCGGGCUUCUCCGAGGAAGGGCCAUCCAUCCCCUCCGUGGGGGAGCUUUGGGCAUACACGGCCUCGGGCUCGCCUGCAUCCACCUUGCCCACGUCGUUGCCCGGGAGGUCCCCUUCUCCGACGUUUAGCGAGGUGCUCCGCAGGUUCAGGGUUCUCAUCCCGGAGCGGACGCUGUCACCCUCGUCGGCGCUCCUCAGGCGGCAAGUUGCGGUGGCGGUGGCCCCUCUGGCGGGCGCGGCGCCCUCCAAGUUGUCACCUUGCCGUCAGGGGACAUCCUCUAGGUCGGGCAGCUCGCCGGUGCGAGGCUCUCGAUCCCGCCUCCACCGCCCCUUCCGUCCUCGUCUCUGCUGCCUCCCGGCGGAUGGGCGGGCCAACGCCAAGCUCCCAGCUAUCCGUGCGCUUGCGGUUCAUAAAUUGGCAUGCUAACUCAAGAAUAAAGAAGGAUUGGUAUUUUUUACACACAUAUUUGGUUUCAAAUAAUGUAGUUUCACUUGUCCUUGAAGAAUAUUUGGUUGCACGUGAAAUAACACAAAAGGAUGGAGAAAGCAGCCUCUAUGGAUCAAAAAACACGCUUGUCACCUAUGGAAGGUUGCCACGUGUGCAUCCCAUGGAUUGAAAGGCUCACAAACUACCACAACCACCUCAAUCCACCAGAUAACACACACAACCACCAUUGGGACCCACCAGGCAGUCACUCGAAGAAAGGCGGUUGCGAGGCGGCCCCUAGGGGGUCGGCCGAACCACCCUUGCCUCCCCUCGUCUCCAGCCUCCACGUGGCGACGAUUUACGUUGGUUAUGGGAUAUUCCCCAAAGAUUCCCUUACCUCUUGGAGAAUAUAAAUAUGAGGGGAGGGGCUCCAUUCUAGGACACACACCACAAAUGAAUCAUUCUCUCCCAUAUCUUUUUGCAAAGGUACUUAGAGAGAGUUAUAGAAUGUAUGGAGUAUUCAUUUGAUGUAUUGAUAGAUGGCAUGUUUUUGCGCAACUUCUAGUGUAGAAGUUAGCAUAUAUAGGUGGAGUGUACGUGAGCAGUUGAGCGAGGAUGUCGUGCAAGCACCAGCUGCCCCGUCCAACCAUGCGCCACUGCAUCUUCGAGCUCCACCGGUGAGAAUCUCAUUUCUUUCUCUGUAGUCCCUUCCAAUUCUUUGAAUCUACAUCUGCUUCACCGGAGAGCACUCUGCACAAGUUUAUUUCUGUCUAGAGCGGAGCCUAGUUACGCUUAGAGGUGGCCACGACCCCUAUGCUGUUGCAGUAUUUCUUUAGCGAAGAGUAAAUUUCACGGUGUGUUGUGUUAGAUUUGAGAUCCUUCUCUUACCUUGGCUGCUCUAGAUCUAUCUAUAAGACCGACAUUUGCAUUUCUAUGGUCAUGGUACAUUCUGUUCCUAUAUAUAAAACAACUGACCAAAUACUUAUUGUGCAGGGCCUAGUACCAAGUUUCUACAUUGCUGAAAUUCAAUCACAUGUCGUGAUAUGUAAUUAAACAAGUGAUUAUCCUGCUCCUGUAUUCUUUACUUUAUUAUGUUGCUUUAUUUAAGAUUGAAGUUUGACUUCUGCCCCUUUCAUUUGUAGGAUGAAAUAUUGAAAACAAUCCUUAGGGUUGCAGUACCAAAUUCUAGUCCUCAAGAUUUGCAGUCAAAUCCCUUCCUUGAUUAUAUGGCCGUGCAGCCCUACAAGCUCAAGACUAAGACAACAAGUUGUCGAAUAAGAGCAAAUGAUGAGCAACUUGAAGAUGCAGGCAUAGGCUUCAGAUGCCGCAAUGAAAAUGUAGUAUGAUGAUAUUGAAAGUUUAAAGAAAGCAGUAAGACAAAUUGAAUAUCUCUUUCGUCAACUGCUAAACUUGAGAGGGUAAGGUCAAUGUGUUUCUUAGGCAUAUGCUCAUAUCCUCCCAGCUGCUUGUGCUGGUUUGUGAUCUAGGCCAGCUUUGUCCCUGGUCAAAGAGAUAUCAUGUGCAGUGGUUUGUGAUCUCUUAUGGACAAUAUACUUGUGCUUAUUUUUUGGACAUGAAUAAUAAUGUGUGAAGUGUGAUGAGAAAUAUUUAUUUGUAUGUGUGAUAUGUACGAAUUAUUUGUGCUGUCAAUUACAGAAUUGAUUUGUAUGUAAUAUUAAAUUAGAUUAUAUUUUAAUUAAGCGCUACCUUGACUGCACCUGAAAAUAACUGGGCUCAAAAUUUCGUGGGCUCACCCCCUCGAUCCAUUAUUUCAUGGGCCUAAACAAAAAUAUGGCGACAACCAAUGUUUGGCUAAAUCCAUUAAGAAUUGGGCUAAAAAAAAUUAUGAUGUCAGCAUAUAUUGCGCUUGAUCCAAUAAGAAUUAGGUCUAAACCAAGUUAUGGCAACAACAAUUAUUAGGCUCGGUGCAACAAGAAUUGAACCUAAAUUAAUCUAUGACGAUAGUAAUUAUUGGGCUCGGUCUAACAAGAACUUAGCCUAAUUCAAUCUACGACGAAACAGUUCGUCACAAUUGUCAUGCCACAUCGGACUGUGAUCCAACGUGGCAUGCUACGUAGGAGCUAUUUUAUGAUAACAUGUGGGACGAAUUUUCAUUCUGAAAUAAAAAAGUGGGUAGGCAGAGGACAAUGCACACUGUGGUUGAAUUCAGUUAACUCUCGGCAACGGAUCAUGUGCAGAACCGUCACCCUUCUGCGCCCAUGUGAGGCCCGGCUGCAUCAGAGACCUGUUCCGCUCAUCCAGCCUCCACUCCCUCUCCGGGAUCUGCUUCGGAGUCGGGAGCUGCAUGUCCUCCUCAGCAGCCAAGUCAACAUGCUUGAUCUCCGGAGUGCACGGCUUGUCACGGACGGGGAGUCGGGAGACGAUGACGUCGCCGAGGAGGCCGUCGGGAAGGGCCCUGAUGCGGUCCACGCCGGCGGCGGCCGGGGUUUCGGCCGCGGCGGAGGAGAGGGACGGGGAGGCGGGGUGGUCGCUGGGGAACGCGCUCCUAAUUCCCUCGAUGAGGUCGGCGGCCAUGGCGUUGAGGGGUUUGCCACUUUGCCGGUUGGAUUUGGGGAGUUUUUUUUGCUGCGCCAUGUGCCCGUGGGCCAAAUGUUGGAAGAGGGUUUUGUCACAGGCCCAUGGACUGAACUGGCUGGUCCAGUGCAGAUUAUCGAGUGGCCCACGAGUGCUAUGUAGUCUAUGGCGAGCUGAGAGUGCCGAAAGGCUCAAUAGGGAUGCAGGUAGCAGCAAGUAGGGUUCUCGGCAUUAUUUACUUUCGCACACCACGUACACUUCUCAAAUUGAUUGACCAUUGCUUGGUACGAAUUAAAGUACAGAUGACCGGAUAAUCUAUCUGAAUAUCUUUAUACAACGCACUUGAAUGACCAUCAGAAACUGAAAACUUAAAUUGGACUUCACUUCAUCUCCGUAUUCUACUGAAACUAAAUUUGAUGUGUUUUGUUUUCUUGUUAAGUUACAUGCAAACAGAAAACAAAAAAAACAUGUUACAGAAAACUGAAAAUCAGGUUUUCCAGACGAAACAUACGUUAAACUAGAGCUGAAUUCUAGCACUUUGCUCACCAUUUUAGGUCGCGUUGACGUAGCAAGACUUGUCGUAAAUUCCACUUCCCUGCUCAACCUCAAGACAUCCACAAGUGGGGGCCACAUAGCCACAAGACUAACAGCCUAUGUUAGGGAAGCCUAAUCCCUAAUAUCUCCCAGCAAAACAAUAGCUUGGAGAGGGAAAGCAAUGGGAUUGCGUAUAAUGAGCUAUUUGGGCUGAUUAUAUAGGAGUACAUAAUUUAGAGGGCAAGUAGCCUCCCCUAGAAAUAAGGAAGGUUAUCCCAGGAUUACAAUCAAUCAUAAACUAAUCAUAUCUGGAGUUGCCUGAUAUACUCUAACAUCCCCCGUAGUCACAAUGGGAGUGCGCAGACGAUGAGACUAGAGAAUAAGCCGAAGAGAUGACAUCCCCCCGCAGUCGCAACCGUUGAUGCGUCGCAGAUGUUGUGGUUGGAAUGGGAGACGAAGAGGCUUGUCAAGCAGAUGGUAGCCCCUUAGUGCUGAAAUAGCCGAGGUCGAGGUGGACGUGAUCGAAGCCGUGGAGGAGGGCGCGCGUCCGAAGCGUCAGCGAAGGCGCCUGAAUACACAAAAGCAGUAGCUUCUUGUCGACAGGGUGAGCAGGACGAUAAGCCAAGCGCGAUGGUAGAUGGUGCAGCUAAAGAGCGCAAUUGCAUCUUCCUUCAGUAACGUCGGCUGCGGUGUCCGCGAGCGUGCGGCAAUAGGUGCGGACUCAGACCAAGAGCCAGCGUGACGAGAACCAGCAGCAUGGGUGGCGCCACCCCCUGAAAAGGUGGCGUCGCCGACGAGGAUGGCUUGAUCACGAGCAUUGCCACAGCAGCUUGAAGGGUGCAAUGACAACCUCAUCUUCGGGAGUGUCGACGAUGAAGCGACGACGGGACGGCAGGGCGACGCAACCCGAUCUCUGAUUGGGAAAAAGAAAAACAGCAGCACCAGGUGUCGGGCAUGCAUCCCAGGCCCACGAGUAGACCCUGGACGGCCCACUGUUGGGACGUACUCGGAUAUGAUCAGGAUGGGAUAGGCGUAUCCCACUCGGACUUGUCAAGUAUGUGUAUGGAAAACUACUCGAUCCAUAACCGAGUAGAACUCUGUAGUAGUACUCGACUAGGACUUAGACUUGUAACCCUGCCCUCCCGUGCAUAUAAGGGCGGGCAGGGAGCCCCCUCAAAGAAGGAACAACUCUGGUUCAUCCAAGAUCAAUACAAACCAACACACAGGAUGUAGGGUAUUACGCGAUCCAGUGGCCCGAACCUGUCUAAAUCGUGUUUCCUUGCGUCACCAUUGAUUCCUUGAUUCUCGACGAUCCUUACCGCACAAAAGACCACCUAGGGUACCCCCUAGGCGGGUUGCCGGUCUAAAACGCCGACAGCUGGCGCGCCAGGUAGGGGGACUCGUCGAGUUUCUCAGCGCGAACUCAAUGGCAACGGUCAUCAUCAAGCCUAUCUUCAUCAUCGAAGCGGGCGCAACCUUUGUUUUCAGAUCCUGGCUCUGCAUCGCCGAUGGCGCUAGCUCGUUCCGAUGCCAGAUCAUCAACGCCCAAGAGAAGAAAUCAGAGGGUCUGGUCAGAAAAAACCAAGAUUUCAAAGUCGACAACUUCGAGUUCGACUACGCGUCGGACUCGACUUUCCUUUGGACUAGUCAUUCCCAGUCACUCCCUAAGCCGGUUUCGACUCCAAAAUGGUUUCCGCACGGACUCCGCAAUGCAGCCGAAGUCCACCAGGAUUUUCUUACUCGAAUUUAACUCGAACUCAGGCACGACGAAGACUCCGACUCCGACUCGGUUUAUCCGCCAGAAAUACCAUUAUCUGGUUCAGCCCAAGGAUUGGUAAUAACUUCAACGUCACAAGGCAGAUUCGUACAUUGGCCAGGUUUGAGACCAUCUCUUCUUGCCCGCGACUACGACUCGCACCUUGUUGCUCAUAUAGACAACCUCCCAUAUCAAGAGGGUGUCCCACUCCCAUCCAACCGCGAGGAAAGUUCCACAGAGAUUGCAACGUCAAGUUCCGGAAGUUACUACCCGGACAGGGAAGUCCUUAUUAUUACUCAAAAUAACAACCCUGGUACUAGCCAGAACAGAACCCCCAGGCGAUUAGCACAACUCGACAACAUCUCAGAAGACGAGUCUACAACUGACGCCCCACAAAAUGAAACCUCUAAUCAAAGAAACCAAAGAAAGAUGCACAAUGCUACUCGAGCCGAGCGACGGCAGUCGAUGGCUACAAAUAUUCCCAUCGCAAAUCUUGAAAGAGCUUUCGACGCAGUUCAGGCUCAAGAGCACAAUACUCCACUUGCGGCAAUCACCUCAAUUAAUCUUUUAACAACGUUGAUGCCUCAAGACAGGGACAACGAAGCCACAGCUCAGCUUGUGUAGCGCGGCAACGGACUAAUCGCACAACUCGCGGAGCAAGCCUACAAGCUACUCGACAAAGAAUCACCAAUUCCGUCUGUUCCUUGCAUCACGUCUCACCAAGAAGGUAGCAGAGGUGCUGCAGCCAACAACAACGAUGCUCCAAGAAACGACAAUGAAGUCAUCAACCAGCCUCGGCAGCACAGCCAAGGCCCAAGCAAACACAAGGCCCCAGCACGCCAUAAGGAGGUUGGAGAGGCCAGCUGCACCAAUUCGGUAAAAAGUAUUCGCCCUACUCGGAAGAACCACGAGUGUCAAACUUCAGCGAUCUACGAGAAAUCCUCAACAGUCGGCGCGAGUGAGAAGUCGACAACUACAACCACUUUCCUGCUUUCACUAAUCGGGUAAUGAAGACAAGACUACCUGACAAGUUCAAGCCAACAGGAAUUACCAAGUACGAUGGCAAGCAAGACCCUAUUCAAUGGCUACGAUGCUACUCCUUGGCAGCCGGAGGCAAUAAUGACACCAAAAUCAUCGACUUCCCCGUAUGCAUGGAACCCGCACCAUUGACCUGGCUAGAAUCACUCAAACCCAAGUCUAUUGACUCUUGGGCAGAUUUGACAAAAGCUUUCACCAACAACUACGCUGGCUCCAUGGCUAGACCAGGCAACAAGAUCGACUUAAGUCAAAUUAAGCAAAAAGAAGGCGAAACCUUACGCGACUUUUUACGAUGGUUCUUCGAAAAGAAGGCAACUAUAGUUGACAUUUCAGAAACAGACGUCAUCGAGUGCUUUCAGAACGGACUCUACGAUCGACAAACAUACCAAGAGUUUGGUCGACGACGGCCAGCUAAUGUCAAAGACCUUAAAGUUAUGGUACAACAGUGGGCAGAUGAAGAAGACAAAGAGCGAGAACGGUUCGGCUCCCACCGCAACCGUGGAUGCGGCAACAACAACAACGAUGACCAGGAUAGAACUCAACACAAUGAUACUCGAAACAACUUCUUGAGUAAUCACAAUCGCAAAAGGAAGCCCGACAACACUAUUGCUGCCAUGUCCAACUUCGGGAAAAAGGGAUCCCGCAAAAAUGACGAAGGGCUGACCUUCAUAGAACUACUCAAAAAGCAGUGCCCAUGGCACCCGACUAGCAAACACUCGGCAAUAGACUGCUACAGCAUGCGCCGAGUAAUGCAAGACUUACCCGCACUACCACCCCUUGAGGAGUAUACCAAGAAAAAGGAUAAGGGUAAGAACAAAGCCCACAACGACGAAGAAGAAGAAGGCGACUUCCAGACUGCCUCCAAGACAGUCAACGUCAUCUUUGGUAGAAUCCCUGGCACCGCAUCAAAGCGAGCCAACAAACUCGUACUCAGGGAGAUCAUGGCCGUUGAACCAACAGAUCCAACACCGCUAAAGUGGUCAGAAGUACCCAUAGCCUUUAGUAGAAAGGAUCAAUGGACCAAGUUCUCAGAACCAGGCCAGUUCCCCCUAGUUCUCGAUCCCGUUGUGGCAGGCUCAAAGCUAACCAAAGUCCUCAUCAACGGCGGAAGCGGACUCAACAUCAUUUUCACCAAAACAUUGAGAAAGAUGUGCCCCGACGUCACUGAAAUGCUUACUCCAACAGAUUCACCAUUCUACGGCAUCGUACCUGGAAACGCAACUAUACCACUAAGACAAGUUGUCCUCCCAGUUACCUUUGGAACUAAGGAACACUACCGUACCGAGUACAUCAGAUUUGAAGUCGCCGACUUCGAGAUAUCUUACCACGCCAUACUCGGAAGGACAACACUCGCCAAGUUCAUAGCCAUACCACACUAUGUUUACUUGGUACUCAAGAUGCUAGGCCCCAAGGGAGAACUAACGCUACGAGGAGAUCUACGGCGAUCCUACGAAUGCGACACCGAAGCCGCGGAAAUCGCUGCGACUUCUCAAGCACCUAGCCCCAUGCAACAAGUCUUUACAGCUUCAAAGAAGCUCCAUCCAAAUGAACUCGAGAUCCCAGAAAAUAAGUCGGGGUCUACAAAAGUGAAACCCGCAAGUGAGCAAGACUUCAGGCCAGUCGAUCUCCAGACGGGCGACCCCUCCAAGACAACCCUGAUCGGAACAGGGCUAGAUCCUAAAUAGGAAUCCGCGCUCGUCAGUUUCCUUCGGGCUAACCACGAUAUCUUUGCUUGGAAACCAGCUGACAUGCUAGGUGUGCCCAAGGAACUAAUCGAGCACUCUCUUAAUGUUGAUGCCAAAGCCACUCCAAAACGGCAGCGACUUCGCAGAUUCGCUCAAGACAGAUGAGAAGCAAUCAAAAAAGAGCUAGCUAAGCUACUCGCCGCAGGGUUCAUCAAAGAAGUCUUUCACCCUGACUGGCUUGCCAACCCCGUGCUCGUCCGUAAGAAAAACAACGAGUGGAGAAUGUGCAUCGACUACACCGACCUCAACAAGCACUGCCCAAAAGAUUCUUUCGGUCUACCCAGGAUCGACCAAGUGGUCGACUCCACCGCUGGGUGCGCUUUAUUAUGCUUUCUUGACUGCUACUCCGGCUAUCAUCAGAUAAGCCUCAAGGAAGAAGAUCAAGCCAAAACAACUUUCAUCACACCUUUCGGAGCUUUCUACUACAAAACAAUGUCCUUCAGACUAAAGAAUGCAGGAGCAACUUAUCAACGAGCUAUACAGAUGUGCUUCGAAAAGCAGCUUCACCGCAAUGUCGAAGCUUAUGUCGACGACGUAGUCGUCAAAACAAGAAACAAGGAGGAACUUAUCGCUGAUCUGGAGGAAACUUUCUCUAGUCUACGAGCUUUCCGAUGGAAACUCAAUCCUACUAAGUGCGUCUUCGGAGUACCUUCUGGCAAGUUACUUGGGUUCAUCAUUAGCCAUCGCGGCAUUGAGGCCAACCCGGAAAAAAUAUCUGCCAUCACAAACAUGCAAGCACCAGCUAGCAUCAAGGAUGUGCAGAAACUCACAGGCUGCAUGGCCGCUCUCAACCGGUUCAUCUUGAGACUUGGAGAACGGGGACUACCCUUCUUUAAGCUUCUCAAACGCCAGGACAAGUUCCAAUGGAUAGAAGAGGCAGACAAAGCACUAACACAACUCAAAGACUUUCUGUCAAAGCCUCCUGUACUCCCUGCUCCAUCUCCAAACGAGGACUUGCUCCUAUACAUAUCAGCCACUACUCAUGUCGUCAACACGGCAAUAGUAGUCGAACGGUCUGAACUGGGCCACGCUUACAAGGUCCAACGACCUGUGUACUUCGUCAGCGAAGUACUCUCGGACUCCAAAACUCGGUAUUCACCGAUACAAAAGCUCUUAUACGCAAUCCUGCUCACCUCCCGAAAACUGCGCCAUUAUUUCCAAGAGCACAACAUCACAGUCAUCUCUGACUUCCCGCUCGGCGAGAUCCUUCACAACAGAGACGCCACGGGUAGAAUCUCCAAAUGGGCAGUUGAACUCGGAGCUCUCACCUUGGACUUCAAGCCAAGGACAGCUAUCAAAUCCCAAGCUUUGGUCGACUUCGUGGUUGAAUGGACUAAAAAUCAAGUACCAACACCAGUCGAGUGGCCGAAGCACUGGGUGAUGUACUUCGACGGGUCCCUCAAACUUGAAGGGGCCGGUGCAGGCGUACUCCUCAUCUCCCCAAAGGGAUACCAGCUCAAAUACGUGCUGCAAAUCUUCUGGGAGGUAUCAAAUAACGAAGCUGAGUAUGAAGCACUGCUACAUGACCUUCGCCUUGCAAUCUCCCUCGGCAUCAAAAGAGUACAGGGUGUACNNNNNNNNNNNNNNNNNNNNNNNNNNNNNNNNNNNNNNNNNNNNNNNNNNNNNNNNNNNNNNNNNNNNNNNNNNNNNNNNNNNNNNNNNNNNNNNNNNNNCUUACUGCAAAGAAGUCCACAAACUGGAAAACAAGUUCUCAGGAUGGAGUUCCCAUCACAUCAUCUGCGACAACAACGUAGCCGCCGACGUCUUAUCAAAAAUGGUCUCAACUCGUCCAGAGGUUCCAGCAUAAAUUUUCGUACACGAACUGCACAAGCCGUCCAUACGUGAACAAGUUACACCGCCAGUGGUCCAGACUACUGAUGUUACUCGAGAAAUCAUGAUGAUAGAAGUUGACUGGAGGACACCCUUCAUCGACUACAUCAAAGAUCACAAGCUACCAUCCGACAAAAAUUAGGCUGAACAAAUUUUCCGGCGAGUAAAAAAUUACGUUCUAGUCGGAGACAAGCUCUACAGGAAAAGUGCAUCCUCAGGGGUACUUAUGAAAUGUGUUACCCGGGAAGACGGCCAAGAAAUCUUAGAAGAAAUUCACAAAGGAAUCUGUGGCAACCACGCCUCUUCACGGACAAUAGUUGGCAAGGCUUUCAGAGCAUGCUUCUACUAGCCUAUGGCUCUGGCCGACGCUAAACAACUGGUUCAGAAGUGCAAAGGUUGUCAAUGCUUUAUCAAACAGAAGCAUGUACCGGCCUACAAGCUAGUCACAAUACCUCCAACAUGGCUGUUCGCCUGCUGGGGGCUCGACAUGAUAGGGCCAUUAGCAACUGCGCCAGGAGGAUUCAACCGAGUGCUCGUGGCAAUCGACAAAUUCACCAAGUGGAUCGAGGUCAAACCAGUCACUUGCCCCAAGGCAGACCGAGUCCUCGACUUCUUGGAUGAAAUCGUACAUCGUUAUGGUUUUCCUAACAGGAUCAUCACAGACCUAGGGUCAAACUUCAACAAUCACGACUUCUGGGAAUAUUGCAAGAAUAGUGGAAUCAACAUCCGCUAUGUCUCGGUCGCUCACCCGCGAGCCAAUGGACAAGUCGAACGUGCCAAUGGCAUGAUACUCGACACCCUCAAGAAAAGACUACAUGACGUCAGCAACACCAAAGGCGGCAAAUGGCUCAAAGGGUUACCCAAUGCUCUGUGGGGACUACGAACCCAACCAUGCAAGACUACUAGGCUCUCGCCCUAUUUCUUUGUGUAUGGCUUGGAAGCCAUAUUACCCACCGACAUCAUGUGGCAAUCACCCUCAGUUGAACAAUACAACGAAAAACUGGCAUAAGAAACAAGGCGAACAGAUCUAGACAGUCUAGAAGAAGCAAGAUGCGCGACGCUAGUGCAAUCUGCCAGGUACCUUGAGAGUUUAAGGCGUUACCACGACCGCAACAUCAAGGAACGAUCUUUCAAAUUGGGCGAUAUGGUCCUCAAGCGAAUCCAAGACACAACAGGGUUGCAUAAACUCAACUCACCCUGGGAGGGUCCUUACAUCGUAUCCAAGGUUAUGAGACCUGGAUCUUACAGAUUGCAAGAACUUUCAGGAGAACAAGUACCAAACUUUUGGAAUAUAGAACACCUUUGUCGCUACUACCCGUAGCAGCACCAGAGUAAUUGCAUCAACGCAAAAACUCAUCAGCUACUCGGGUCAACAGCUCGACUACCAACUACAAGAUACACUACUCUUGACAAGAUUAUCAACUCAACAAGCAUUACUGCCCUGGUACAAAGUUUCAGUGGUGGAGUAAUUCUUUACUCAGGACCAAAGAUACAUCAACAAGUUACAUACGAGUCAACGUACUCGAAAUACAAAAGGACUACAAGCAACUGCCUACUGGCGGGCUGCAUUUAAGCCUCAGGCUUUUACAAUAUCACAAGGCCAUUCAGGUCUGCCGACUACAAUGGGGAGGGCCUACACGCAAGGAAGCUGCGUAAAAUGCAGCCAUAUCCAGAUCCUCUACCCAACGCAACGCUAGGAACUCCUGCACCGCCGCUGCCUUGACAGCGGUAACGAUAAAUCCCGCGCGACGCACCAAGAGGGAACCAAGGCUGCUCUUUUGCUAGCCUUGCCAUUCCAACCCACCCUACGGCCACACCUCCACCUCUAAGAGAGCGGGAUAAAGACCGCGACACUCGUCACCUAUCACUCACGAGUUUCAGCGCGUACUCCACUAGAUCACAAGCUGCAAGAUGAGGCGCGUGAUGAAACCUCCUAUGAGGAUUCUUCUAGCAUCACGGCUAUCCCUACGAGCGCUGGAGUUUGUGGAGGGAAGGUGGUCUCAAUCUACGAGGAAUCUUCUAGCAUCGGUGCACUCUCUGAAGGCUCUCUACACUCAAACAACAGCAACCGAAGGCAAUCCAUUGCUACUCCAAAACAUGAUUCGGGUCGACCUCUAGGGGGAUCUAUUUAUAGCCAAGCGCUACAACUACCACCCACCCAGGAGUUACUAUGCGCCCGUAAUUAAUAAGUCUGACGACCUCUGACUGCCCAUGUGAAGGCAGUUAUGCUACAAAGGACAAAAGAGUACAGUACACCCGUGCAUUCGCAAAGGACAAAAGAGUACAGUACACCCGUGCAUCCCCAAAAAGUAGAGUACUCGACAGCAUCACGACUACUCGACACUCAGAACUAUUUUAGCCAAGCAUGACCUACGGGGGCUUGGAGAUAGCCGACCCUCUACUUAAGGGUCGGGCAAUACGAAGCCUUGUGACAAGGGGUCGGGCGCAUCCGACCCUGGGCCAAGGGUCGGGCGAAGCGGAGUUCCAUGCUCGAAGGGUCGGGCGCAUCCGACCCUGGGACCAAGGGUCGGGCGAGGCGGAGUUCUCCUCCCUCAAAGGGUCGGGCUCAGCCGACCCCGGGACUUUGGGUCGGGCGAGGCGGAGUGAACUACUCCUUGUGGCGGAACCGUCCAACUUAAACUGGUUUAAAUGCGCCUAAUUGCUGCCGACGCAGCAAUUAUCCGAAACACACUUAAAACAGUAUAAGUCCGGUCGUCCGUCGAGUGUCCCUAGGACUCCUCGAAGGAUCCACAUCGUGUCUCAUAGCCAUACAUCAGGAUUGUAUCCGCGAUGGGAUAGCAUCAACAAAUAUUACAUUUUUACAUACAUAUAUGAGGUACGAGUUAAUACAAGACAUAGUUUGAAUCAAACUUAGCAGUGCAGUGUUAGACAGAGUUCUAGGACUUAAAACAUUAACGGUUCGGUGGAGAUGAGCAUUAUAACACUUCUUCUAAGGGUAUUGUGAGACUCGUAACAAUACCCUAGGAUUUCGGGGCUUCCUCUUCGGUGGACUCCUGCGGUGCUUCUAAAAAUAGCCACAAGGGAUAACCCUGAGUACGGGGUACUCAGCAAGUCUUACCCGACUAACCAAUAUAAUAGUUUUUCUUGGAAGUACAUGAUAGCUUUUUUGGUGUACUUGGCUGAUACAUUUUUGUCAAAAAGCUUACUACAAGUGAGACCUUAGUUUUAUAUUUUAUUUGGGUUAAGUCGUUACCUAACUAUUCUAGGUGAUGAUAAAAGAUUAAUUGCGAACAACAAGGUAUUAAGUCAUACACCAAACCUUAUCAGAAAGAUAUGACAUUCAUGAAUUUAUGCUACGAUGCUCAACAGUGAUCAAGUGUAUUCAUAACCGAGAAUUGCGGCGAUCCGGAUCAUAUUACAUCCUGCAGGAGAGUACCCUGAUCACCAGCUAUAUACGACUGUCCAGGUCGUACGUACCGACUUUUCGAUUAGCAAAAUCAAUGAUUGGGAAUAAGACUACCCGGACCCAGGGACGCACCCCCACAUGGGACCCCACGUCUGGCCUGAUCACCAUGUGAGUUUCAGGCUACGCCCCUGCCAAUCUCCAGCACGUCAAGCGCGGGUACGAAGUAUUCCCGAUCAGAGAGUUUACUAACCUACUGGGCUUUACUGGUCCCAUACCCAGUAAGUGAUCAAAUGAUUAUCACUUGAUCAAAGGUUAAGACAACGAAUCGGGCCUUAACCAAAUUAAUCUAGCAGACAGAACUACAUCCUUAGCUUCUGUCCGCUUCUCAAUUUCCAAUUCGUCUUUCCAUGAUUAGUAUGUAUGACUCAAAAUUUGCCUUAAGGUUUGGUAAACCAAGUAUUUAAGCAACUAAGCAAUUCUAGACUUGGGUUAUCUACUAAAGGUUUGAACAAGUGGCAAAGAUGUCCUUAAAACAAGGUAUGAUAAUGCACAAGAAUGGGUUUCAAGCAACUCCUGGACUUAGUGCAUACACACAGCAAUAACCAAUAAUGGACACAUGAAAUAUUGACUCCAAAAUAAUAGGUAAAAUGCACCGGAGCUUGCCUUGUUCGCUAAAAAGGUUAGCACUGUCCGAAGGGUUGGCCUCGCAGGGGACCAAUUCGAAGACUUCCUCAAAAUUCGGAGAUCCUUCUGAAUAUUCCGAGAAAUCUCCUUCUGGUGCUUCGGUGUCUAUAACACAACACAUGCAGGGGUUAGGAAUGCAAAUUUUUGAAUAUAAGACUAUACAACUUUCCUUCAUGAUAGAGUUGCAAGCCAACAAGGACUAUACAAUUUAUCAUGAUAAAGUUGUAAGCCAACACACAAAACCCCGAAAAGAUUAGCCCACAAUUUUUAUUUCCUUAAUUAUCCUUACUUAAGGCCUUUUCUUUUAUUUUAGAAAAUGUUAUAAUUAUUUUCUAGCUUUAAAACCUAAUUUCCUAUGAAUUAAUAAUAAUUUGUAAUUAUGAAAAUAUUAUUCCAUAUUUUAUGCAUUUAAUAAAGAUUAAGUAUUUAUUUAAACGCCUUAAAAGAAAGGCAUUAAACAAAUACUCAAAUUUUUAGUAUUUUUCUAGGGUAUAAAAAUUUUAAUGCAUAAAGGAAAAUAAAACAAGCCUAACAAAAUUGGUUUCACUAAUUUUGGACACUCCUAGAAAUUUCUGUGAUUUAAAUGGUGAGAUUCGGAUUUAAACUAAUUAUUCUAUAAAGGAAAUCUAAUUUUUCCCGAAAAACACCCCCCGGCAACUUUUCUCACGCGACACAACUCUACCCCCUCUCUCUUACACUGGGCCCGUGGCGCGGACCCACCCCUUUUCCUAUUCAUCUUACCCGUCGGCCUACCCCGUCCUCUAACGGGCUCUCUGGGCCGAUUUCCUUUUUCUUUCUCUUUUAUUCAACUGGUACCGGCCCAACGGCCCACCCUUUUCAUUUCUUUCUCUCCUGCGAAACCGGCCUACUGGACCACCUGGGCCUCCGGCCUUCUUUUUCCAAGAGCCGCUCGCACGGGCUCUUUGGGCCAACUGGACUCCGGCCUAACUGACUCUCCCACUCGGCCGGCCUCCUUCUCUCCCCCGCUUCCUCUGACGCGUGGGCCCACCAACACCAGACUCUUCUUCCUCCUCCCGCCAAAACCAGGCGCGACAGGGGGCGGUGCGUCUCGCCGGCCAGCGCCCCACCGGCGACGGGGCUAGGCCGGGGAAGCAUCCCCAUGCCCUAGCGCACCCGUGCGCUGCGAUAGCUCCUCGGGAGAUGGCCGGAGCCACUCCCUCCACGGCGGCGGGCGGCGGCGCCUACGGCCGGUCGCGGCUAAGCACGACGACGGCGCAACCUACCCCGACAACUCCCUCUACGGCUUCCUAGCACCCCAAGGACCCGCCUACGACUACCCAAGAAGAAAAAGAACAAGCGCAAGAAGGUGCUCACCGUGAGCAGGAGGUGCGGCGACGGUGGACAGAAACAACGGUGGAGUAGGGUAUUCCGCCAAGGAUGUUGGACAAUGACUCGAUUGGGGUGUAGCUGGGGUAUCUGUGGAGGAGUGGGCGAGAGGAAUCGACGGGAGCUGUGGUGUGGUGGGAGAAUUUUACCCGGCGGCGGCGGCUUGGACAGAGGAGCAGCGGCGGUAAAACAAGAACGGCGGUAAAAGGGGUGGCGCGGGAGCGGUAGAUAUAUGAACGUUUUACCGCACGCAUGAACGACACUGUGGCCUACCUAUGGACUCGCGUGGCAAGGAGGUGGUGUAGCUGCUGCGCUGGCGGGCGACCGAGAGCGCCGGCGGCGACACAUCGAGCUCGACUCUGUCACCCCCCUUUUCAUUGUUUUCUGACGCCCGAAACUUCAGAUACAAAUCACGGUCGAUUUUGAAUCCAACGGCUCCACUGUCCUUUAAGCAAUGUUGUAGAUAAACUUGAACUUUCCAAGUUUUAUUUUUGCUCUGACCCGAGAUAAACAUCCUAGCACAGUGAAAUUUUGAUUUUCCUUUCUUCUUUAACUGAAUUUCUCUGAACUCAAAGUUCAGUUCGUCAGUUAUAUGACAGGGCCAUUUACCUCACUUUGUGAACGAUUUCAGUGAUCCAAACCCUUUCCUUGUAGUCCAACUUCUCCCCAUUUGUGUUCUACAACCUGCAAGGAUUCCAUUUUGCCCAUAAACACCUACACCUUUUGAUCUACAUUUCUCUGAAAUCAGCUCCAAACUCGGCCACAUAUUGCUGUUUUCAGACUUAGUCGAAUUCAGUAGUGCAGUCCGCCGUGACAAGAUGCUGACUUUGGGCUUUGAUUUGAAUUUAUUCCCCUUACUGUUCCUGCUCAACAACACCCAAAUCUAUUUUUCCAAAGUCCAUACUUUAAUAUGGUAUAAUUGUUUUGAUCCACUUAUUUGAAAAAUUCAGCCGAAUUCAAUUUCCAAAAAUGAACUCUGUGCUGUUUUUCUGAAAUUCCUGUUCUCGGACAGGGAACAGUAACUUUGAUUUUCAAUUUCUUUCUUUGAUUUUCUUGAGGUAUUUAGGACCAAAUCUUGUCCUAAAUCUUGAUCUUUAAGUUCUAAUCACCCUUACACCUCCAUUCCAUAUUUUUGCCGAAUUUUUCUAAAUUUCGAAUUCAAAAUUCUAAUUUCGGUCAAAUUUGACCCGAAUUUGAUUUUUAGCCAAUUUCUUCUCCCUUUCUUCAUGAAUUGCUUCCAUUUCUUCAAAGCUACUUUGGUGACUAAAAAUGGCAGGUAUUACAGCCUCUCCUCCUUAUCAGAAUCUCGUCCCGAGAUUCUCGGGGUUAAAUCCUCGGCUUUGAAAAUGGAAAGGAAACUGCGUCAGGCCAACUAUUUUUCUCUUUUCUGUAUAAGGAAAGUGGGGUGGUGGCUUCUGUUCAUUUGAUCCUGGCAGUUUCAAAUAACUCAGGAUAUUUAGACUCUAGGUCUUUAGCUUGUUCCCACGUAGCUUCAUCUGGAGUAUGAUUUUUCCAUUGUACCUUGUAAAACGUAAUACUCCGAGUUCGGGUAUCUCUUGUCUUUUCAUCCAGAAUUUUAAUAGGCCUUUCUUCAUAGGUUAGAUCUGGUUCGAGCUCAAUUUCUGGAUCUUCUAGAAUCUCUUCUGGAACUCUUAAGCACUUCUUAAGCUGGGAUACAUGAAACACAUCAUGUAUAGAAGUAAGUUGGUCUGGUAAUGACAGCUUGUAUGCUACCGGACCCUUUCGUUCCAGAAUCUCAUAAGGACCAAUAUACCUCGGGGCUGAUUUACCCUUUAUUCCAAAUCGUUGUACUCCUUUCAUCGGGGAUACCUUCAAGUAUACAAAAUCUCCGGUAUGAAAUUCCAAGGACCGUCUCCUUUUAUCUGAAUAACUCUUUUGUCGAGACUGGGCUAUUUUCAAAUGUUUACGAAUUUUCUGGACCUUUUCCUCGGUUUCUAUAACCAAAUCUGAUCCCAAAUGUGUCAUUUCCCCUAUUUCUGACCAAUUCAAGGGGGUUCGGCAUCUUCGACCAUAUAAAGCUUCGAAAGGUGCCAUCUUGAUACUAGCUUGAUAGCUAUUAUUAUAGGAGAACUCGGCUAGGGGCAAACAUUCGUCCCAUAGCUUAGAGAAGGUAAGGACACAUGCUCUUAACAUAUCUUCCAAGAUUUGGUUGACCCUUUCUGUCUGUCCUCCAGUCUGGGGAUGAUAGGCAGAGCUUCUGAUUAGAGUGGUGCCCAUGUCUUUUUGUAGUUGUUCCCAAAAUCUGGAAACAAACUGGGAGCCUCGAUCGGAGAUAAUUGUCUUUGGUACUCCGUGCAAGGAUACAAUCCGGGCUAUAUAGAGUUUAGCAUAUGUCGACACUAGAUAGGUAGUCUUGACUGGGAUGAAGUGGGCUGAUUUAGUAAGUCGGUCGACAAUAACCCAUAUGGAAUCAUAUUCUUUUGAAGUGGUAGGCAAUCCAACUAUAAAGUCCAUGGAAAUAUCCUUCCACUUCCAGACAGGGAUUUCCGAAGGUUGAAGCAAACCCGCCGACUUUUGUAGUAUGGGUUUAACUCUCCGGCAGGUGUCGCACUCGGCUACAUAUCUUGCAAUUUCAAGUUUCAUCUUGGCCCACCAGAAUCUUUGCUUUAAAUCUUGGUACAUUUUAUUGCUUCCGGGAUGAAUAGCGAACUUAGACAAAUGUGCUUCAUCUAAGAUAAUCUUUCUUAGGCUUUCAUUCUUAGGAACUACUAUCCUUUUCUUGAAGUAUAGCCCUCCAUCUUCUUCUUGAAUGAGUUCGGGAAUCUUUCCUUCUGCCUUCUGUUGAUAGAGCACCUUAAUCCAAGGAUCUUCUUUUUGGGCUAUUAUAAUUCUUUCCUUUAGGGUAUCUUGUACAAUAAUGUUUUGGAGGGCGCCUUGUUUUACUAUUUCCAAACUUAAAUCUUCCAUUUCCUCACAUAAGGUCUUAAGGUUAGGUUGGAUGGUAGUGCAGUGGCAUUGGGCCUUUCUGCUCAAAGCGUCGGCCACCACAUUAGCCUUACCAGGAUGAUAAUGGAUUUCUAACUUAUAGUCUUUAAUCAGCUCCAACCACCAUCUUUGUCUCAUGUUCAAGUCCAUUUGAGUGAAGAUGUACUUUAAGCUUUUGUGGUCAGUAAAGAUACGACAUUCACUACCCAAAAGAUAGUGUCACCAUAUCUUUAAUGCAUGGACUACAGCAGCAAGCUCUAAAUCAUGGGUAGGGUAAUGCUCUUCAUGACGCUUCAGUUGACGAGAAGCAUAAGCAAUAACUCUGCCUUCUUGCAUAAGAACACACCCUAUGCCUGUUCCUGAGGCAUCACAGUACACAUCAAAGGGCUUCUCUAUAUCAGGUUGAGCUAGCACUGGACCUGUUGUCAGCAAUUUCUUUAGGGUUUGAAACGAUUCUUCACAUUCGGAUUUCCACUCAAAUUUCACUUAUUUCUUUAACAAUUCUGUGAUUGGCUUGGAAAUUUUUGAGAAAUUGGGGAUGAACCUACGGUAAUAUCCGGCCAUUCCCAAGAAACUUCUUACUUCAUGUACAGAGGUUGGUGAUUUCCAAUCCAAUAUGUCCUUGACUUUUCCGGGAUCUACUUCAAUUCCUUUCUCGGACAGUAUGUGCCCAAGGAAUGGAACUUUCUUUAACCAGAAUUCACAUUUACUGAACUUGGCAUACAACUGGUGUUCCCGGAGUCUAUUUAGAACAAUACGCAGGUGUUGCGCAUGUUCCUCUUCAUUUUUAGAAAAGACGAGGAUAUCAUCUAUAAAGACGACCACAAAUUUAUCUAAUUCUGGCAUGAAUACCGAAUUCAUGAGGUAUAUAAAAUGCGCUGGGGCAUUUGUCAGUCCGAAAGACAUAACUAAAUACUCAUAUAAUCCAUAUCGGGUUGAGAAGGCUGUUUUAGGUAUGUCUUCGGGUUUUAUCUUAAUCUGAUGAUAUCCUGACCGAAUAUCGAUCUUUGAAAACACCUUGGCUCCAGCUAGUUGAUCAAAUAACAAGUCAAUCCGUGGUAACAGAUACUUGUUUUUAAUGGUUACCGCAUUCAAGGGACGGUAAUCCACACAUAACCUUAAUGUGCCAUCUUUCUUUUUAACAAAUAGAGCAGGGCAGCCCCAUGGUGAAGUACUAGGUCGGACAAAACUUUUAUCUAGCAAUUCUUGGAGUUGUACUUUUAAUUCUGCUAAUUCCUUAGGUGGCAUCCGAUACGAUCUUCUCGAGAUAGGAGCAGUGCCCGGUUCUAACUCAAUGGUAAACUCUACCGCUCUAUCAGGCGGUAGUCUAGGCAGAUCUUCUGGGAACACAUCUAUAAACUCAUUAACCACAGGAAUAGAUUCUAGAGCCACUGCUCUAGUCUUUUUGACCAUCUGGUCCAAACAGGGAUGAGUGGGUAAUUGGAGCUCAAAAGGGUGGCCUUGGUCAUCUCUCAUACUAAUGACCCGAUUAUCCAUAUCGAUUUGAAUUUUAUGUUCCUUCAUCCAAUUUACCCCCAAAAUAAUAUCUAUUCCUUGAUCUUCUAGAAUUAAAGGAUAAGCACCCACCUUAUUUCCUUCUAAAUUCAAAAUCACAUUACGAGCUACUUGAUUUGUAUUCUGAGUAGCCCCAGUAGCUUGAAUGGCAUAUUUGACAUUUAAGGUGUGUACUUCUAGUUGGUGUUGCGUAACAAACUUUCUACUUAUAAAGGUAUGUGAUGCACCCGAAUCAAAUAAAACCAUGGCAGGAUAAUUGUUAACAAGGUAUAUACCUGCCAGAAUAGGCUCUCCUUCCGAAAUCUCCUCCACAUUCAUAUAAUGAGCCUGUCCUGUCUUGGUGUUCAGAAAUUUGCGACGAACAAACUUCUGUCCGGUGCCCUGACCAGAGGUUUGAGCCCUCAAAUUCGCGUUUCCCCCAACCUUGGGAAAACGGCAGUCCCGGGCAAAGUGUCCCGGUUUCCCACAAUUAAAACAAACCUGUGGAUUCCCUGGAGGAGUCGGGUUACGAAACCCAAGAGGUGGUGCAUUUCCAGGACAAGGAGCAUUAAUAGGAGCUCUGACAUUCCAGGGCUGAAAGGGCCUCUGCUGAAAAGAAGGUCGAUACGCGGGUCGAGGAGGACCUCGAUAUACCACCUUCAUUCUCUGUGGGGCACUCCCAAAGGUUCCAAAAGGAAUAUUCUUCCUCUUCAAGGAUUCUUCUUUCCUUAAGGUUUCAUCUAAGAUUCUCAUCUUUUCUUCUGCAGUAAUGGCUGUGCUUACCGCAGAGCUAUAGUCAGCAAAGGUGCAGGUGGACAGCUUUUCCUGCAUCCGCGCAUUAAGUCCACGAAGAUAACAAUCUCGUUUUUUGGACUCUGUAUUGACAUGUUCCGGUGCAUACUGGGCUAAGUGAUCAAACUCAUUGGUGUAUUCAAGAAUGCUGCGGUUCCCUUGCUGUAGCCCUAAGAAUUGCUCCAGCUUCAUUCGCAUGAUACCUUCCGGUACAAACUGUGUCCGAAAGGCUUCCUUGAAGUUUUCCCAUGUAACCUCCCUUCCAACUGGUUGCCUAGCCAGAUAGCUGGUCCACCAGGUCCCAGCGGGACCUUGGACCUGGAGUCCUGCAAACUCUGCCUUCUGGGUGGUGGUGCACUGGGGAAUUACCUGAAAUUUCUGCUCCAUCGUCUGAAGCCAUUCAUUAGCUUCCAAUGGGUGCUCAGCUUUCAAGAAUAUUGGAGGACGAGUUUCCAGGAACUGGGUGUAGGAUACACCCCCUUCUGGGUCUCGUCGAUUUCCACCAUUGCCGGUGUUUUGCAUGAUCAUUUGAAGCAGUCCAGCCUGUUCGGCUCCUGAAUUCAUGAGGCUGGCUAUAGCAUCUGCCAGCGUUGGAGCUCUCGGUAAAUUCUCCUCGUGGCCCCCUGACCCUGAAGCUCGUGGACCUCUUGGAUCCGUCAUGCUGUCAAAAGCAAACAGAAUAUUAAUAUCUAAGUUACAUUCCACCAACAGUUCUCUGCGCACAUUAGUAUUUCACACAUCACAGCAUGACCAUACACAAACCACACUUAUAUACAUAUUUAUUUAUAUUACAUGACUUGAAGUUACUUUUUACAAAACCACCGUACUACUUCGUCCACUGCCUUUAUCUUACAUAACUACAUCACAACAUCUCUUGGUUAAGGUCUUGCUUCAACCAUCAUAAGGGUAGAUGCCUAGCUCUUUGGCAUUUAAUCCUAGCCGGGCCAUCGCAGCAUGCAGAAUAUCCUGGUCCACUGUCAUCAGCAUCUGUCCCGGAGGAGCGAUAGGUGGGGCCUGAUUUACUGAGUUCUCACUUUCUGACUCUAGCCCGGGGUCACUCGAAGUAUAGGAAGUGUAGGAUGCAGAUGUACUAACUCCGGAAUUUCCCUCCAUUUCUUCGGGGUCUUCUUCUUCUUCCCCGUCUUCCUGCUCCGCUUCACCCACUGCUGCAUUGGUCCGUAGCCUUGUGGAUCUAACCCAUUGGCGUUUGCAUUGGCCUAGGCAAAUUGUUGGUUUCCCAUGGGAGCUUCACCCUGAUCAUCUUCCAUGUCAACAUCAAACCCUUCUAAGUUCUCGUGAGCGUAUAAGUCAAUCUCGGGAGCUGCAGGUGGAGCAAUAUCACCCUCCACUCCUACAACGUCCACCAACUGAUCUGCUUCUUCUGGGUUCGGUGGCUGGGGUUCUUCUGGUGGUGGAGGCGGUGGAACAUUGACUAUGUUCUGAGCAGGUACCUGGGCCUGCAUUUCCUCCAAAGCCAGAUGAAGAGAUAAGAUUUCGUCCAGCUGCUGGAAUCUUUCUGCCUCGAGCCUAUUAACAUUGGAUUCGGCUUCUUCUCUUGCCCUGUCUGCCAUACUCCUACUGGCCUCUAUGAAUCCUUGCAUUACCCUGAGCUUCUCUUCAUAUUCAUCUAUUCUUCUGGACUGCUCUCUCAUGAUUUUCUCCAUGUCGUGUUCCCUUGCUAAUGCCGCCUUCUUGUACAACUCCUUAUCGUGUCUGGCACCCAUUAACUCCAUCUUGGCAUCUUCAUUUUUCUUCCUCUGAUUAUAAUACUCUCUGAUGCAAGACUGGUGCAAGUUGUACAUGGCCGUCAUGUAGUCGGAGGCAGCAGCAACCAAGAUGUCAUGCUCUACACGAGAAGAGUUCUUCAGGGCUUUAAUCCUUCUCUUCCAGAUUCCAUCGUCUUGAUGCUUUAUAGGAUAAAAUCGAGCAGAGCUCGACCCUAUCUCUACCUUGUGCUUCUCACAUAGGUCGGUGAGAGCAGUCAUAGCUGCCCUUUCAAUUGUGUCGUUGAACUCGAAGCCCGACUCCAUCACUUCUUCUAGACGCCAAUUGGGGUUGGUGUCUUCAUCUGGAAUAUGCACAUAAACAGUGCAGCACUGCUUGUGACACGUGUCCUCCUUCCUCCAAUAGUACUCUGGAGGGUUAUGGAAGCCUAACUCUUGCAGCGUUUUCCAUAGCAGCUGCACAAACCCUGGCUUAUCCAGGUAAUGCCCUCGGGUCCAUCCGUCCUGGUCGGUGUAGCCUUCUUGGAACAUCCUAUAAAAGAAACGGGGUUAGGUCUAAUGGCACUCACCAAAACCCAAAAGUUUUUAAAACAUGCUUAUGCAACAUGAUGCAACGACUCCUACAGACUCACAGACUCAUAUACACACUCGUAGAGAAAUUGGUGGCAUCGUAAUCUCUCCCUAAUAAUAUACUACCGAAUACUAGCGACACGCAGCAAACAGCUAGCAUCUGCAAAACAAACAACCAGUUAACACUACUGCCACCUGUGACUCAUGUUUUCUUUGUUUAAAAUAGAGUCUCAGUAUUUUAAAUGGUAAUAUUUGUUGAUUAUCCCAACCUACGGCUCUGAUACCAGUUGUGGCGGAACCGUCCAACUUAAACUGGUUUAAAUGCGCCUAAUUGCUGCCGACGCAGCAAUUAUCCGAAACGCACUUAAAACAGUAUAAGUCCGGUCGUCCGUCGAGUGUCCCUAGGACUCCUCGAAGGAUCCACGUCGUGCCUCAUAGCCAUACAUCAGGAUUGUAUCCGCGAUGGGAUAGCAUCAACAAAUAUUACAUUUUUACAUACAUAUAUGAGGUACGAGUUAAUACAAGACAUAGUUUGAAGCAAACUUAACAGUGUAGUGUUAGACAGAGUUCUAGGACUUAAAACAUUAACGGUUCGGUGGAGAUGAGCAUUAUAACACUUCUUCUAAGGGUAUCGUGAGACUCGUAACAAUACCCUAGGAUUUUGGGGCUUCCUCUUCGGUGGACUCCUGCGGUGCUUCUGAAAAUAGCCACAAGGGAUAACCCUGAGUACGGGGUACUCAGCAAGUCUUACCCGACUAACCAAUAUAAUAGUUUUUCUUGGAAGUACAUGAUGCGCGACGCUAGUGCAAUCUGCCAGGUACCUUGAGAGUUUAAGGCGUUACCACGACCGCAACAUCAAGGAACGAUCUUUCAACUUGGGCGAUAUGGUCCUCAAGCGAAUCCAAGACACAACAGGGUUGCAUAAACUCAACUCACCCUGGGAGGGUCCUUACAUCGUAUCCAAGGUUAUGAGACCUGGAUCUUACAGAUUGCAAGAACUUUCAGGAGAACAAGUACCAAACUCUUGGAAUAUAGAACACCUUUGUCGCUACUACCCGUAGCAGCACCAGAGUAAUUGCAUCAACGCAAAAACUCAUCAGCUACUCGGGUCAACAGCUCGACUACCAACUACAAGAUACACUACUCUUGACAAGAUUAUCAACUCAACAAGCAUUACUGCCCUGGUACAAAGUUUCAGUGGUGGAGUAAUUCUUUACUCAGGACCAAAGAUACAUCAACAAGUUACAUACGAGUCAACGUACUCGAAAUACAAAAGGACUACAAGCAACUGCCUACUGGCGGGCUGCAUUUAAGCCUCAGGCUUUUACAAUAUCACAAGGCCAUUCAGGUCUGCCGACUACAAUGGGGAGGGCCUACACGCAAGGAAGCUGCGUAAAAUGCAGCCAUAUCCAGAUCCUCUACCCAACGCAACGCUAGGAACUCCUGCACCGCCGCUGCCUUGACAACGGUAACGAUAAAUCCCGCGCGACGCGCCAAGAGGGAACCAAGGCUGCUCUUUUGCUAGCCUUGCCAUUCCAACCCACCCUACGGCCACACCUCCACCUCUAAGAGAGCGGGAUAAAGACCGCGACACUCGUCACCUAGUACUCGCGAGUUUCAGCGCGUACUCCACUAGAUCACGAGCUGCAAGAUGAGGCGCGUGAUGAAACCUCCUAUGAGGAUUCUUCUAGCAUCACGGCUAUCCCUACGAGCGCUGGAGUUUGUGGAGGGAAGGUGGUCUCAAUCUACGAGGAAUCUUCUAGCAUCGGUGCACUCUCUGAAGGCUCUCUACACUCAAACAACAGCAACCGAAGGCAAUCCAUUGCUACUCCAAAACAUGAUUCGGGUCGACCUCUAGGGGGAUCUAUUUAUAGCCAAGCGCUACAACUACCACCCACCCAGGAGUUACUAUGCGCCCGUAAUUAAUAAGUCUGACGACCUCUGACUGCCCACGUGAAGGCAGUUAUGCUACAAAGGACAAAAGAGUACAGUACACCCGUGCAUUCGCAAAGGACAAAAGAGUACAGUACACCCGUGCAUCCCCAAAAAGUAGAGUACUCGACAGCAUCACGACUACUCGACACUCAGAACUAUUUUAGCCAAGCAUGACCUACGGGGGCUUGGAGAAGGCCGACCCUCUACCUAAGGGUCGGGCAAUACGAAGCCUUGUGACAAGGGGUCGGGCGCAUCCGACCCUGGGCCAAGGGUCGGGCGAAGCGGAGUUCCAUGCUCGAAGGGUCGGGCGCAUCCGACCCUGGGACCAAGGGUCGGGCGAGGCGGAGUUCUCCUCCCUCAAAGGGUCGGGCUCAGCUGACCCCGGGACUUUGGGUCGGGCGAGGCGGAGUGAACUACUCCUUGUGGCAGAACCGUCCAACUUAAACUGGUUUAAAUGCGCCUAAUUACUGCCGACGCAGCAAUUAUCCGAAACACACUUAAAACAGUAUAAGUCCGGUCGUCCGUCGAGUGUCCCUAGGACUCCUCGAAGGAUCCACAUCGUGUCUCAUAGCCAUACAUCAGGAUUGUAUCCGCGAUGGGAUAGCAUCAACAAAUAUUACAUUUUUACAUACGUAUAUGAGGUACGAGUUAAUACAAGACAUAGUUUGAAGCAAACUUAGCAGUGCAGUGUUAGACAGAGUUCUAGGACUUAAAACAUUAACGGUUCGGUGGAGAUGAGCAUUAUAACACUUCUUCUAAGGGUAUUGUGAGACUCGUAACAAUACCCUAGGAUUUCAGGGCUUCCUCUUCGGUGGACUCCUGCGGUGCUUCUGAAAAUAGCCACAAGGGAUAACCCUGAGUACGGGGUACUCAGCAAGUCUUACCCGACUAACCAAUAUAAUAGUUUUUCUUGGAAGUACAUUAUAGCUUUUUUGGUGUACUUGGCUGAUACAUUUUUGUCAAAAAGCUUACUACAAGUGAGACCUUAGUUUUAUAUUUUAUUUGGGUUAAGUCGUUACCUAACUAUUCUAGGUGAUGAUAAAAGAUUAAUUGCGAAUAACAAGGUAUUAAGUCAUACACCAAACCUUAUCAGAAAGAUAUGACAUUCAUGAAUUUAUGCUACGAUGCUCAACAGUGAUCAAGUGCAUUUAUAAACGAGAAUUGCGGCGAUCCGGAUCAUAUUACAUCCUGCAGGAGAGUACCCUGAUCACCAGCUAUAUACGACUGUCCAGGUCGUACGUAACGACUUUUCGAUUAGCAAAAUCAAUGAUUGGGAAUAAGACUACCCGGACCCAGGGAUGCACCCCCACAUGGGACCCCACGUCUGGCCCGAUCACCAUGUGAGUUUCAGGCUACACCCCUGCCAAUCUCCAGCACGUCAAGCGCGGGUACGAAGUAUUCCCGAUCAGAGAGUUUACUAACCUACUGGGCUUUACUGGUCCCAUACCCAGUAAGUGAUCAAAUGAUUAUCACUUGAUCAAAGGUUAAGACAACGAAUCGGGCCUUAACCAAAUUAAUCUAGCAGACAGAACUACAUCCUUAGCUUCUGUCCGCUUCUCAAUUUUCCAAGUCGUCUUUCCAUGAUUAGUAUGUAUGACUCAAAAUUUGCCUUAAGGUUUGGUAAACCAAGUAUUUAAACAACUAAGCAAUUCUAGACUUGGGUUAUCUACUAAAGGUUUGAACAAGUGGCAAAGAUGUCCUUAAAACAAGGUAUGAUAAUGCACAAGUUUCCUUCAUGAUAGAGUUGCAAGCCAACAAGGACUAUACAAUUUAUCAUGAUAAAGUUGUAAGCCAACACACAAAAACCCGAAAAGAUUAGCCCACAAUUUUUAUUUCCUUAAUUAUCCUUACUUAAGGCCUUUUCUUUUAUUUUAGAAAAUUUUAUAAUUAUUUUCUAGCUUUAAAACCUAAUUUCCUAUGAAUUAAUAAUAAUUUGUAAUUAUGAAAAUAUUAUUCCAUAUUUUAUGCAUUUAAUAAAGAUUAAGUAUUUAUUUAAACGCCUUAAAAGAAAGGCAUUAAACAAAUACUCAAAUUUUUAUUAUUUUUCUAGGGUAUAAAAAUUUUAAUGCAUAAAGGAAAAUAAAACAAGCCUAACAAAAUUGGUUUCACUAAUUUUGGACACUCCUAGAAAUUUCUGUGAUUUAAAUGGUGAGACUCGGAUUUAAACUAAUUAUUCUAUAAAGGAAAUCUAAUUUUUCCCGAAAAACACCCCCCGGAAACUUUUCUCACGCGACACAACUCUACCCCCUCUCUCUUACACUGGGCCCGUGGCGCGGACCCACCCCUUUUCCUAUUCAUCUUACCCGCCGGCCUACCCCCUCCUCUAACGGGCUCUCUGGGCCGAUUUCUUUUUCUUUCUCUUUUAUUCACUGGUACCGGCCCAAUGGCCCACCCUUUUCUUUUCUUUCUCUCCUGCGAAACCGGCCUACUGGACCACCUGGGCCUCCGGCCUUCUUUUUCCAACAGCCGCUCGCACGGGCUCUUUGGGCCAACUGGACUCCAGCCUAACUGACUCUCCCGCUCGGCCGGCCUCCUUCUCUCCCCCGCUUCCUCUGACGCGUGGGCCCACCGACACCAGACUCUUCUUCCUCCUCCCGCCAAAACCGGGCGUGACAGGGGGUGGUGCGGCUCGCCGGCCGGCGCCCCACCGGCGACGGGGCUAGGUCGGGGAAGCAUCCCCAUGCCCUAGCGCACUCGUGCGCGGCGAUAGCUCCUCGGGAGAUGGCCGGAGCCACUCCCUCCACGGCGUCGGGCGGCGGCGCCUACGGCCGGUCGCGGCUAAGCACGACGACGGCGCAACCUACCCCGACAACUCCCUCUACGACUUCCUAGCACCCCAAGGACCCGCCUACGACUACCCAAGAAGAAAAAGAACAAGCACAAGAAGGUGCUCACCGUGAGCAGGAGGUGCGGCGACGGCGGACAGAAACAACGGCGGUGUAGGGUAUUCCGGCAAGGAUGUUGGACAACGACUCGACUGGGGUGUAGCUGGGGUAUCUGUGGAGGAGUGGGCGAGAGGAAUCGACGGGAGCUGCGGUGUGGUGGGAGAAUUUUACCCGACGACGGCGGCUUGGACAGAGGAGCGGCGGCGGUAAAACUAGAACGGCGGUAAAAGGGGCGGCACGGGAGCGGUAGAUAUAUGAACGUUUUACCGCACGCAUGAACGACACCGUGGCCUACCUAUGGACUCGCGUGGCAAGGAGGUGGCGUAGCUGUCGCGCUGGCGGGCGACCGAGAGCACCGGCGGCGACACGUCGAGCUCGACUCUGUCACCCCCCUUUUCUUUGUUUUCUGACGCCCGAAACUUCAGAUACAAAUCACGGUCGAUUUUGAAUCCAACGGCUCCACGGUCCUUUAAGCAAUGUUGUAGAUAAACUUGAACUCUCCAAGUUUUAUUUUUGCUCUGACCCGAGAUAAACAUCCUAGCACAGUGAAAUUUUUAAUUUUCCUUUCUUCUUUAACUGAAUUUCUCUGAACUCAAAGUUCAGUUCGUCAGUUAUAUGAUAGGGCCAUUUACCUCACUUUGUGAACGAUUUCAGUGAUCCAAACCCUUUCCUUGUAGUCCAACUUCUCCCUAUUUGUGUUUACAACCUUCAAGGAUUCCAUUUUUCCCAUAAACACCUACACCUUUUGAUCUACAUUUCUCUGAAAUCAGCUCCAAACUCGGCCACAUAUUACUGUUUUCAGACUUAGUCGAAUUCAGUAGUGCAGUCCACCGUGACAAGAUGCUGACUUUGGGCUUUGAUUUGAAUUUGUUCCCCUUACUGUUCCUGCUCAACAACACCCAAAUCUAUUUGUCCAAAGUCCAUACUUUAAUAUGGUAUAGUUGUUUUGAUCCACUUAUUUGAAAAAUUCAGCAGAAUUCAAUUUCCAAAAAUGAACUCUGUGCUGUUUUUCUGAAAUUCCUGUUGUCGGACAGGGAGCAGUAACUUUGAUUUUCAAUUUCUUUCUUUGAUUUUCUUGAGGUAUUGAUAUUUAAGUUCUAAUCACCCUUACACCUCUAUUCCAUAUUUUUUCCAAAUUUUUCUGAAUUUUGAAUUCAAAAUUCAAAUUUCGGUCAAAUUUGACCCGAAUUUGAUUUUUAGCCAAUGUCUUCUCCCUUUCUUCAUGAAUUGCUUCCAUUUCUUCAAAGAUACUUUGAUGACUAAAAAUGGCAGGUAUUACACUCCUCCCCACAUAAAGACAACUACUUCAAGCUACAAGAGAAAGAACCAGUAUCCCUUUCUUAAAGUAUCGUUCAAAGUACUCGAAAACAACUACAAGGGUACAUAAAAGUUCAAGGCUCCUCCGAAGAGACAAAUUCAGACAUCUUGGACGUGAUCGGCUCUGCCUCCUCGAGGUACUGCGCAUAUGCUUCUUCUAUGUAGUUGCGAGCCAAGCCGUCACCAGCCGCCGACAAAUCUGUCCUCGGGUAGUAUGACUUCACCACAGAAAGGACUUGUUUGCAAAUAGCCUUGCAGAAGACCUGCCACUUUACCAGGGGGCAGCCUUCAAUCGCUCGACUAGCGAUUGGUGUCCUGCGUCCUCUUCCACGGGGGCUAUGGCGUUCACUAGAUCUUGAGCUGCCACAGACAAUUCUUGGAGUUCGCCCCGAAGUCUUCCUAUGGUUUGGACAUGAUCUCUGCAAGACACCAUGGCCAUAGCAAGCAUCACCCCAUUCUGAAUCUUCCUGUCACGCUGAUGCUCGCAAGCAGCCUGUGCUUCUAUCAGCGCAGCCCAAAGACGUUCAGCUUCAUCUGCCACUCGGUCGUGCGCGUUUCUCCAGUCAAGGAGUUGGCUACUUACAGCAGCCUCCUGCCUCUUGAGCUCUGCAAACACGGCCAAGUUUAAACACCAACCGACUACAGUCGGACAUACUCGAAAGAUACAAAGUACUCACCUUGAUACUUUUUGUUCAAAGACUUGUAGCGGCUCUCCAGCUUCUGCUGCAAGACUUCGUGAUCCGACCGCUCCACAGGAAAGGAUCUCGCUCCAGUUUCAUGGACCCUUAAGGCUUCUGUAAGUCGGGCACACUCCCGCUCCAAUUGAUGCCUUCGUUCCUGCAGGGCCCGAAUGUGUAAAUCAAUGCGAUCAGUCAAAGACCUUGAAAUUACUCAAUUUGUUCGACAGAGCAAAAGAAACACACCUGGAAGCUCCGAAACACAUCAACAGCUCUCUGAAACUCUAACUCCGACGAAAGGCUGAGUACUGGACUUUGAGUACUCUUCGCAAGAUGAGGAGUAGCACCCAAAGCAGUACCUAAAGAGAUUAUCAUCAGUCACUUGACUACUAUGACCACAAUACCAAGACUAUUGAUACAUACCUGGAGCAGUUGAUUCUUUGGAUUUUUCCACAUCCACUACAGUUAUAGCUCUGCCAGUAGAUGUCGACACAGAAGCUUUCCCAGAACCCGAAGCAGCGGAGGGAACCUCCACCGAACGAAUCACUUCUUGAAGCAUAGACAUGGUAGCUCCAAGGCGACCAGCGUCAACUUCGGGUACUUCCUCGAUAAUAAAAUCUUCCAGGGGAGCAGAUAAAGUAGUCGGGGGAGACAACUCUAUUCCUAUCUCCACAGGGAUAGUUUCCUCCGCAUCCCUACAUCAAAGCACAGUCAUUAUACAACUUCAAGACAACUUAAUGAUAUAUACCAAGGGCAAACAAACUCACCGAGUUGAGCGUGGUGGAAACCGCACACGUUUCUUCUCGGCAACAUGUGGCCGCGUACUCGGCGCCACAAGAGCAGCUACUGACGCCGUCUUCUUGCCAAGACCUGGGAAACAGAGAGUCAAGACCACAGUACAAUUCGGACUAACACAGCUAGUCGCGAAAGACAGCUUACCACUGGCAAUUACAUUAGACAACAAAGAGCCAGUAACAACAACUGGCGACACCUUCUUCGCUACUCCAGCAGGCAAUCCCAGGACUGCCUGGUCAGCAACCAGCAGAGCGUCGCCGACGGAGCCUAUGCGGUUAGCUCGGGGGCUACAUAGCAUCCGCUGGGGGCACCUCCUCUGGCACCUCCUCAACAGACGCAAUACCAACGCCUGGGUCGGUCACGACUACUUCUCCAGAAGCAGUCUCAUCAUCACUAAGUGCCGCAUCGACAGCCUUUCGAACACAACAAAGUAAUCAAAAGAUUGCAAGAUUCAGUCUAUUAGCUACAAUUGAGUACACGGUCACAUACGUUGGCACCAUGAGAUUUCUCAGGAGUUGAAGCAGACUUAGCCGCAGACAUCUUGCGGACUACUCUCCGUUUCUUCAUAGGAGGAGAGGGCUCGUCCUCUGACUCCUCAAUGACAAUUUCUUCUUCUUCCGACUGCGCCAAGUAGCCGGCAAGAACUCAGGACUGCAAAAAACAAGUCGAUAUUUAAAACAAAUAUCGUGAAGGCCAAAAAGUACAAGUCAAGUGCAAGGACAUACCACUUCUGGUUCCUACCAGACAUCAUAUUGCCGAAGAGCUGCAGGGAUUACUAGUACUCCCUAGUAGUUCCUGAAGAACUUGGCCAACAACGCCUCCACAUCAUCAUCGGAUAUAUCCUCAUCGGGCAUACGCGAUGGAUCCUUAAAACCUGUGUACUCACUUCCCGAGUGAGUCCGUUUCUGAAGCGACUGAACUCUUCUGUUCAGAAAACUGGCCAUCACGUUAAUCCUGGUGAGACCAAGUGCUUUCAACUUGGUAAUCUGCUGCAGCAAAUGGUCAAGCUCCGGGGUAUCUUCGGGUUCGCUCACCCAGUUCUCUGCAUGCUUCGACACGUGACCAGUAACCACUGGCAAGCGAGGAUCAUGGUUCCCAACAUAGAACCACCUUUUCUUCCACUCCCCAUGGGAGUCAGUCAAAUUGUACUCAAUAUACGUGCCCGAGUUCCUGAGUUGGAACCCAGCGCCUCCAAAGACCUCUGUCCUAACUGCACUAGGCUGAGGUUUACAGCAGAACAACUUCCUAAAUAGCUCAAGGCUCGGAAGAACUCCCAAGUAAACUUCGCAGAGGUAUACAAAAAUUGACAUAUGCAGUACACCAUUGGGAUUCAAGUGAACAAGUUGAAGCUUAUAGUACUUGAGGAUACCUCUGAAGAAGUCGGAGGUAGGCACGGCCAAUCCUCUCUCUACGAAGUGUGCAAGCAUCACUGUCUCGCCGGGGUGUUGCUCGAACUGCCACGCAUUCGCAAAAGCAGUAAUCCACUCGAGUACCUUCUUCAUCUGCAGAAGCUUGGUGUCAACUAGCGCCUGCACGGCCUCCUCCUUUAUCACCGAAUGCUGCCACGUCGCUCCAGGCGGCAGCAGCGCAGUCUGGUUCAUCGGCCCCACCAUGGGCGCGGCAGCACCAGCUCCUUCCCUUUCUUGGAUUUCACCUUACCCGCCACUGGAGCCUUGCCUUGGAUCCUCUCGGGUUGCUUGCCCAUCUUCUUGGUGCGCAUAUGCCGAUUUCAACCUCAGCAAAAUGCACUCACCCUCGGAUCUCUCUCAAAGAACAUCAAUGGCGGCGGCAGCACUUGGCAAUCGCAAUGGCGGAGGAAAAUAGGAACGGAAAAGUAGGGAAAGAAGAGAAACAGAUCUGGCUACAGUGGGGCGUAAACCCAACCGAAAGGGGGCCCUCCAUUUAUAUCUUUGUCACCUCCGGAUUCUAAGCGUCAGUUACGCAACGGGUGGAUUUCAAGCAGAUUAAUUGCCUUAAACACCCAACUUCUACUCUUUUCAAUGGGUUGUUGACCACUUCAACGACAAAAAUCGCCUAAGUGCUCGGGGGCUGCGGGUACCGUACCUGAUGGUCAGAUUUUUCUUUUUCAAAUUUCCGAGGGUAAAACAGUCAAAAAGCAAGAUUGACCCUAAGCCUGACUCUUCGACUCAACCUAAGGCUCGGGUGCUACUCCAUAUGGAGUGCGAUUGACAUCGCACUACCAUAUAAAAACUCUCGGAACAAAAGCAACUCAAAGGAACAAGAAGAGUACCUUCCAGCCACGUGACAAUACUCGAGCACUUCGGACAUUCCAACCUCUACAACAAAACUGCUCGGAUGGUACUCGAGACUGUGGCGCACGACUACAAAGUACUCAGGGGCUUGUCGGGCAUGCAUCCUAGGCCCACGAGUAGACCCUGGAUGGCCCACUGUUGGGACGUACUCGGAUAUGAUCAGGACGGGAUAGGCGCAUCCCACUCGGACUAGUUAAGUAUGUGUAUGGAAAACUACUCGGGCCAUAACUGAGUAGAACUCUAUAGUAGUACUCGACUAGGACUCAGACUUGUAACCCUGCCCUCCCGUGCAUAUAAGGGCGGGCAGGGACCCCCCUCAAAGAAGGAACAACUCUGGUUCAUCCAAGAUCAAUACAAACCAACACACAAGACGUAGGGUAUUACGCGAUCUAGCAGCCCGAACCUGUCUAAAUCGUGUUCCUUGCGUCACCACUGAUUCCUUGAUUCUCGACGAUCCUUACCGCACAAAAGGCCACCUAGGGUACCCCCUAGGUGGGUUGCCGGUCUAAAACGCCGACACCAGGAAGAGACCCAUGGAGAACCGGUCUGACCGGCGGAGGACCGGUCAGAGCGGUCGGAUGCGCUAGUCGGAGGUGCCGACGGAGUGGUCGGGAGCGGUUGGAUGCGCCAGUCGGAGGUGCCGGUCGGGGGCAGCGCCAGGAUGCGCCUAGAGGGCGCCUGCCGCCACUGGGUGUUGCUGCGGCCUGGAGGGGCGUCCACCACCACCGAGGCGGUCAGGGGCGGUCGGGGCGGCCGGAUGCGCGGGUCGGGGCGGUCGAGGGUGGCGCUAGGAUGCGCCUGGAGGGGCGCCCGCCGCCGCCGGGGGCCGCCGCGGCCGGGAGGAGUGGAGGACCACCCACCGCCGACCGCCGGGGUCCGCCAUGGGGGUGCGGCCUGGAGGGGCGCCCGCCACCGCCAGGGGCUACCACGGCCUGGAGGAGUGGAUGGGCGAUUUGCUUGCUGCUUGACCACGAUCGGCACGGUGGAUCAGAGGGAUCGGCCGCGCAUCCUACAAGGACGCUGCCCCAGGCGGAGAUUGAUCUCCCCGGGGGCGACGCGAGGGUAGCGGAAGCCGGAGGCCUAGGUUACAUUUGUAACCUAGACUCGUGAUACCAUAAAAACAAUAGGGAUUGCAUAUAAUGCGUGGGAUAUAUUACUUGAGCCCCUUGGACUAAUUAUAUAGGAGUACAUGGCUUGGAGGGCAAGUAGCCUCUCCUAGAGAUAAGGAAGAUUAUUCCGGGAUUACAAUAAAUCCUAAACUAAUCAUAUCCGGAGUUUCCUAAUAUACUCUAACAGAUAGGUCAAACAUAAAACGUAUUACACAGCAUGUCAAACGUUGGUCAGGAUAUAUAGAGAUAUCGGUAGCAUGAAUCAAAGCUACAACAAAGGCAUCGCUAGUCCAGCCUUCAUCAUCACCAAAACAUGGAAUUGUGUAAAUGCCACAAGAUGGAAUCGUGGUAGAAGGAAUAUAAUCAGAAUUCAGAAAAGACCAUAAGUAAUUCUCAUGAUAAAUGAAAUUGACAGAAAUCCAUGCACGAUCAAACCAGUGAGUACAAUCAGCAGGCCGCUGAAAGUGCUACGAACUGAAGAAGUUAGCAUCACAAUUCAUAAACAAUGUAAUAUCCCAAUAAAAAUUACCACAGAAAGGAAGGGGGGCUCAUCAAACAUGAAAUGAUACAGCAUUUUAUAGAGCUAGUAACAUCAACACUUACAACCAUUUGUGCUAAUUGGAAGUUGAAACAUGUCUACCUCCAGAAAGGAAAUGCUGAGAAAAUUAAAAGACUGAAAUGAGUAGCUGCAUAUGUAGAUACAUCAACAUAAUUAAGAGUAAAUCAUUCCCUCAAGGACAUCAUGAAACAUGUAGCCACCUUCAAGAACAUCACCAAAAUGGGUCUUUAACAGAUAGAUCAGAUGCUUUAGCGAAGCUCCAUGUGUUAUCUAACUUAGGCCCCACAAGCAACACUUUACAAUCUUUACCGACCCAUGAACAUGUAGUUAGAGCCCUCAGCUGGCAAUUCACUUUACGCACCUCACGCACUGAAGCGAAUGUUUCUUCGGUCAACACAAGCACCAAAGUCUGGAGCUUCCGAGUGAGGAAAUAAUGGGCUGGCCCAUUCCAAUUUUAGAAAUUCUAAAUAAAUCUCAGAGGCCCAUGUGAGCAUGAGCAAGCGGUUGAGUGGUGCAAACCUUUAGUCCCACACUGCUAGUGGAUGAGGAGGAUAGCCAACUUAAAUAUGGAGGUUGUCUCCACUCCUCCAAACUAUGUGUGUGGGGAGAGAAGGAAAGCUCUAUGUGCGCUUGCCUCACCUUGCCGGGUGGGGCGAAGGGUGCGGGCAUGCGACGCCUGCAUGAAUGGUCCGCCAAAAUCCAGUCUCGUCUUGCAGGGCGCGGUUUCCGUUUGCCAUUUUAUUUUUUGGUUACUUGUUCUUUAAGUUAGCGAGAUAUAUGGAAGCCCCUGCUGCGUCGCCACCGUAAUCUACUCUAUCCCAAGCGUCCGCGUGCACCGGUGAACGGGAGAGCAGGUCUUUGGAACCUCUCGCUCUUGUGAUCCUGCACCGGGAGAGGGUAAAUAAGGUUUUUGGGAAGCACUCCGCGCGACUGCUCAAGGUCUUCACCACGACUCGUCUUCCGUCCCAGUCCGGCGUUGCGGCGGCCCAUCAUCUUCGUCUUCAAUACCUAUUCACCUGUCGCUAGACUGACCUCUGUUCGAGCACUACUUUCUCUAGCUGCCUCGUAUAGUCUUAUCAUCCACCAGAUGGAUGUAAAGACAGCUUUCCUAAAUGGAGAGUUGGACGAGGAGAUCUAUAUGGAUCAACCUGACGGGUUUGUGGUGAAGGGUCAAGAAAGUAGGGUGUGUAAGUUAUUGAAGUCGUUGUAUGACCUGAAACAAGCACCUAAGCAAUGUCAUAAUAAGUUUGACAGAACUUUAACUUUUGCGGGCUUUGUCAUUAACGAGGCUAAUAGAUUUGUGUAUUAUCGCCAUGGUGGGGGUGAAGGGAUUAUAUUGUGCCUGUAUGUGGAUGACAUACUGAUCAUUGGCACAAACAUUGACAUGAUCAAUGUGGUCAAGUCUUUUCUAUCAUAGAACUUUGAUAUGAAAGAUUUGGAAGAAACUGAUGUUAUUCUGAACAUCAAGCUAAUUAAAGAUAAGAAUGGGAUUAGUCUUUCGCAAUCCCAUUAUGUGGAGAAGGUUUUGAACCAUUUUGGUUAUAUGGACAGCAAGCCUUCUCCAACACCUUAUGAUCCCAGCGUGAUACUCAGAAAGAACAAGAAAACUGGUAAAGAUCAACUGAGAUACUCUUAAAUUAUCGGUUCACUCAUGUAUUUAGCUAGCGCAACGAGACCCGACAUAGCUUUUGCUGUGAACAAAUUGAGCAGGUUCAUGUCAAACCCGGGUUCUGAUCAUUGGCAUGCACUUGAAAGGGUUAUGCGCUACUUGGUGGGUACUAUGUGUUAUGGGAUUCACUAUUCUGGGCAUCCUGCGGUGCUUGAGAGAUAUAGUGAUUCGAACUGGAUUUCGGACGCUAAUGACCUAUAUGCCACUAGUGGGUAUGUGUUUAUCCUUAGAGGUGGUGCAAUAUCAUGGAGGUCUUGCAAACAGACCAUUCUAACGAGGUCAAAUAUGGAAGCAGAACUUACUGCUUUAGAAACAGCCACUGUUGAGGUAGAGUGGCUGCGUGAUCUCUUGAUGGACUUAUUUGUGGUUGAUAAACCAGUGCCGACAAUCCUUAUGAACUAUGACAAUCAAAUGGUGAUAGUCAAGAUGAACAGUGCUAAGGAUAACGCGAAGUCAUCAAGACAUGUCAAGAGACGACUAAAGUCUAUUAGGAAGUUGAGAAACUCCGAAGUAAUAAGUGUGAUUUAUAUUCAAAUAGACAAAAACCUGGCAGAUCCCUUCACAAAAGGGCUAUCACGGAAUAUGAUAGAAUGUGCAUCGAGGGAGAUGGGUAUGAGACCCGUUUGAGUUGCAGUAGUGGUAACCCAACCUAUGUGAUCAGAGAUCCCGUAAAUUAGGAUCUGGGGAAAACAAGCUAUCAAUUGACUGUGGAGAGUAAUUAUUAAAGUAAUUAUGAAACCCUCUCUAUAUGAAAAUGCAAUACUCUCAAAUGCUAUAAGGCAGGUUAGCAAUAUGCUUUAAUGUGUUUCUGUUAGCUUGGUUAAGUGAAGAUGCUGUCCUAGAGAGCAUUCUUGAAAGAACACAGCUAUAUAAGCCUGACCGUAAAACAUCAUAGUCUAUGAGACUUGGGUGAUCUCUAGUAAACUCAUGAAAAGAUCAAGGAGUACGACGAAUAUGCUCCACCCGCGGGGUAGGUUACUGGCAGCCAGGUACUAGUUCCGAUUUUGAGUGAAACUUGUCUGCACAAAACUUGCAAUUCAAGGUUAGUCCAAUUUUCAAGUUGUGGAUGAAUGUAGCUUGAAACUCUAGGUGAGAGUUCAGCUUAACAGUCCUUACUAAAACACUGGUAUAUAAACAGCAGUGAGAAAUAGGCAAAAUCUCUUAUGGACAUCUGAGAUCUGGUGGGGGAUUGAUGAAAUAAUGGACUUGGCCCAUUCCAAUUUCAAAAAUUCCAAAUAAAUCUCAAAGACCCAUGCGGGCAUGAGCAAGUGGUUGAGUGGUGCAAACCUUUAGUCCCACAUUGCUAGUGGAUGAGGAGGAUGGCCAACUUAAAUAUGGAGGUUGUCUCCACUCCUCCAAGCUAUCUGUGUGGGAAGAGAAGGAAAGCUCCGCACGCGCGCGCUCACCUCGCCACGCCACGCCACGCCUCGCCGGGCUGGGCAGGGCGGGGCGAAGGGCGCGAGCGUGCGGCACCUGCGUGAAUGGUCCGUCGAAAUCUGGCCCCGAGCCUUGCGGGGGCGCGAUUUCCUUUUGCCGUUUUAUUUUUUUGUUACUUGAUCUUUAAGUCAGCGAGAUAUAUGGAAGCCUAAUCGGUUUAGAUCACGAUCGCGACAUGAGAUCGUGGGCUUUCCUAUAUAUACGACCUAUCGGCCUCUAACGAAAAUACAUCUAAUCGAGCUAGAAUUUUUACCUCUUCUCGCUGCUGCGCCACCACCGUAAUCUACUUUAUCCCAAGCACCAGCGUGCACCGGUGAACAGGAGAGCAGGUCACCAGAACCUCUCGCUCUUGUGAUCCUGCACUGGGAGAUGGCGAAUAAGAAUUUUGGGAAGCGCUCCGCGCGACUGCUCAAGGUCUUCACCACGACUUGUCUUCCAUCCCAGUCCGGCGUUGCGGCGGCCCAUUGUCUUUGGCGUUGUCUGUUGUGCUCCGUCCGCAACACUGUCGUUGUUCCGUCAGCACCGCUUGCUAUCACGACUGCUAUGGUGGAACCGCUCAAACUAACUUAGCUAAAGCACAAUUAAGUCGCCUAACACACGAUCAUGCACUUUAAUCAAGUUAAUUCAACCGUCCGUCGGAUUCCAUCCGAUAAACCACUUCACAGGACUGAGAAAGCAUAGCUCACACGAAGGUGAGUGGUUCCAGAGAAUACAAUAGAUCAUCCAAAUUAACCAAGAGCAUUAAUUUAUUACAGCAUCUGGUUCGAAAUUCAAACAUAGUUUGCAGAGUUCUUAAGCAGUGGAAAUAAACAAAUGGAAGCUAACACCGAUGCCGGACGUCAUGAUGAGGCCGAUCAUGACAUCAAUGGUCCCAGUCCUCGCCGUCUGAGGAGGGAUCCCACUCGACCGUCCACCUAGGAGGAAGCUGGGGAGGCCAAGUGCCACUUGCAGCAAACUCAGGGGCGUCAACAUCACCUGAAAAGAUGUGCCACAACAAGGCUAAGCGACUACACUCAACAAGAUUUAACCGACCGGUGGUUCUAAUCCACCAACGCCUAGACAUGCAAACUCUUUAGCUAUGGGGUUUGUUUUGCCAAAAGCGACUAUAGUAGGUCCUUCAUUUUAAUAUUUUAGCCACAGGUUCUAAGUUCAUUUACUUGUCUAAGUUAGCAACUACACUAAACAAGCAUAAUUUCUCAGACAAUUAAUGACAGGCAUUAAUAUUGAAAUCAUCAUCAAGUCCGUUCUUACUCAGUGUAGCAUAGCGAUCAAGUAGUCCCAAUCUGUGAGAGGCAGACGAAUCGAUUCGAGUUUCUUAACCAUGCAUGGCGAACCUAAUCUCACAACAUCCAUGCACCAUAAAGGGUCGCUUCACUUGUCCGUUGUCCCCAUCAAUUCCCAGACCCGUGUCGGGCCCACUUCCCUUGGUACAAGACUCCAUAGACCCAGCCUCUACCGUCCUAUGACCGCUCUUGUCACCACAUGCGGCCGCAAGGGAACUCCAUUCCAGAGAUAGUGGAACGAACCGCUCACGUCCUGGUUCAAUCAGGUACUAGGCUUCCCCAUCUCAUACUAGGCAUGAGUUAGUACUUUCAAACACUUGAUCAUGAACACUAUCACAUCUCGACCUUAGCCCAAUUUCAUGUAGACAGACAGGGCAAUCCACUGACCACCAAAAUAGUUCACAGAGCCCUACCCCGUCCAUCAUCCUUAUAGUUGUAACAAAAAGGAGAGCAAACAACUCCUAUAACUCGCGAGUGACAGACGAUCACUCGACUUUUACCGAGACCUAUUAAGCAUUGCAACUACUUGGCCUAUCAUACUAGUGUUCAGAUCAAAGAGCACUAAUUCAUGCAUCUACGGUUUCAAGCAAUUCCUAAAAACGUAAAUGCACAAUCAAACAACCAAAUAUGUUGCAAGUAGUUAAAGAUAGGAAUUUAUGCUCCGGGGCUUGCCUUCAAGUGGGGAGGUAGCGAACUGGUCUUCGGUGUGCUCGGGCUCGGCUCCUGCAGGCGGCUCAGCUAUGGCUUCUUCCUCCGACGCCAGGUGAAGCUCGUAGGUUCCGUUUGCGAGGUUCAACUCUACACGAAAUGCAAUGCAUCAAGUUAAAUUCUCAACUUUUCAUGGAACGCAAACACAAAUUAGUGCUGAAGAAGAAGAAGUUAUAUAGGCCACAUUCACCUAAACAAGAUUCUGAACUUUCUUUAUUUACAUGAAGAAGGUGGGGUGUGGUAUAGGCCGGGGGUUUGUUUGAUAGAGAUUGUCUACAUAUAUGUAACAUCACUUUGUUAAGCUUUAGAUCGGAAAGUUAUCCUAUUCCUAAAUGUUCUUUUGUACCUCUUCCAAUAUAGCCUUUAUUACCUUAAGGUAGCUGGUAUUUAUCAAUUUUUGCGAAAAGGUAUCGUUUUCUAUGCAUUUGCCCUAUUUAUUCUUCUCUAAACAGGAAAGGGGUUCACCUAUGUAAUUCUGGUGGUUUCCAUAUUUUUCCCAUAAAUUGAGUUACAUCACCGAUUUAAAUCAGAAGGUUUCAUAUUUUUCUCAACUCCAGAUUAAUUGUUAUGCAAAAAGAUGGAAACACUCUUAGAUUUCCAUGGCAAAACUUGAACAGAUGACUUAACUUCUGAGCUGGGCUCUAAAACAUUUUUCCUAGCUUCUACUGCUUGAAACAAACAUAUAAGAGUUGGUUUCAUCUUUUUAUCAUCUUUCUAUGAUUUGUUAUGAUUUAAAUGGCUUAAUCAAGAAUUAAAACAUACCACAUUAAUUCCAACAGUGACAUAUGACAAAAGUAUUUUUAUUAAAAACUACUCUUUAUUCUAAGCCUAGCAAAAUUGGUUUGGCAUUUUUCUGAGUUUUCUACGAAUUUUGGUGAAUUUCCAAAGUUAAACACAAUUUCUGCCGAUUAAAUCAUUUAAACAGAGGUAAACUUGCGGACUAACCCCUAGGUCUAGGGUUUAAUCGCGUAAAGGUCCUAGGUUUUAACACUAAGGUCCCUGGUUCACCUUUCCCAAAAGCAAUUGGGUCCUCGGGCGCGCGGGCGGCGGCAGCGGGUAAAAUCCCGGCGAUGCGCCGGCGACCUUGGGACGGUGAGUGGCCGGGAGGGCUUAUGGGCUCACCUUGGUCCGGUUUGAAGUGGUUGGGGGUGAUGGGGAGGCUUGGCCGGGGCGAAACGGCGGAAGGCGGAAAGCUUCGGCUGGCGGCGAGGUCCGGCAGUGUUCCGACGGCGGUGGUGCUUCUCACGGGCAACAAGCAAGCUCUAGAGCUGCGCGAGAGGUUGGCGAAGCGGUUGGUGGUGUUGGCAAGGCGUGGGGUCGGACGGAAGGGGGAGCUCCAUGAAGAGGGUGUGCGGCAGAGUAGGGAGUGGAAACAGGGGAGGCACGGGGAGGUUCGGGCGAGCGGGGAAGGGGGCACCGGCGGCGCUGGGCUCCCCUUUUAUAGGGCUAGGGCGAAGCGGUGAACGAGGCGGGGUUGUGGCUCUGGCGGGCAGAAUCGGAGGGAAUCCGGGGCGCUGCUACGGCCAUUAAUGGUGGUGGCGCCAUUGGUGGACAGGGGAGAGGGAAGGAGCACGACAGGCGAGGGCGCUGGAGGCGAGGUGGCAGGCACAGGUGGAGCGGGCGUGCGCGGGAGUGAAGGCUUUGUCAAGGUGGCGGGUUGGCGAGGCUAGGCCCGAAGCGUCGCGGCCGGGGUGGCAGUUGGCGGAGGCGGUGGCACACUGGCAGGCGGGUGCGGGGGCGCGUGCUCGACAGCGGCGGGGGUCUUGAUGGGAGGGUUGGGAGGCGUUGGGGCGCGGCUGAAGAUCCUUGUGGGCGGAUUGCACGUGGGAGGCGAGGUGGCACCGGCGCGGCAGCGACCGGUCUUCGGUCGCGGAGUAGCUGGGGCGACGGCGGAGCCGCGGGCAGCGCGCCUGGCGCAGCCGGCGAGGCCUCGGGCAGGCGAGACGGGACGGAGCGGAGGGGCUACAUUUCAUCAUCAUGCGCGACUGGGGAGCGAGGCGCGUCGACCCAUCUUGUUGCGACCGACGACUGGGCGAGGCGGCGCUUGCCGGUGAGGCCGCGCCACGCGGCGGCGGCGCUCUGGAGUGCGACACACGCGCGCUCGGGCGCGCUCUGACCAAUGGAUUCGCGGGAUCUUUUGCUGGGCCUGUCUUGGAGCAUCUGGAUCUCCCGAUUCUCAAAAACAUUGGUAUAGAGCUCGGCUCCAGUUCAUACUAGAAAUUUCAAAAUAGAGAGCCCCAAAGUUGGGACCUUGCCUGUUUUAAAACAAAACAAUAUUUCGGAUUUUUGAAGCUCUUCUGCUCAGAUUCAAGCAAAACACCAAAAAUAAAAAGUUGUUAGGAAGGUUGAUUUCUACAACUCUUAGUUGGACAGAUUUUUAAGUUCUUAAGCAAAAAAUGGAGUUACGGUUUGGGCAGCGUUUUAACCUUGUGAGGGCAAAAGGGUACAUUCAUUUGCCUUAUUGUUGCCAAAGUUCUUCUUUAAGCACUAAUGACUUUUUUUAAGAUCAAAACAUAGCUUAAUUAAUCUAGGUUGUUACAGCUGCAUCCGCAAAGUACGUACGUCGUGAUCCGAUCUGUGAUUUCAGCAUGUUUUCUAAGAUAAUGAAGUUGUGCUUGCUGUUGCCUAAUAUGUUAGAGAAUUGCAUGCUAGAUUUUAUUCUUGUUAUGACAAAUCUAGUUCGAAAAUUAAUCAUGCAGUUGUCUAAUUUCCAACACCGAGCACGCUUGGCAAUGAACUUGACAAAUUAGAACUCGCUUUGCUCCCCUUGAAAUUUAUGGAUGAUAAUUUGUUGACGUGUGACUUCACGUACUUGAUAGGGUCAACCUCCUGCCAGAACUUGUCAUGGUGACUGCCAGUGGCUUCACCAUCUCUAGAAGACUGCAAAAUCAGUGAGGAAUUCAGUCAGUGAUGAACUGUGGCCAAUUUUUUUUUCCAAACUAUGAAGGAAACUGGGUGAAUGUGAUUAGCAAAUGACAACUGAAUGAGUGAGUGGAAUGCUACCACAAUGUGCAGUGUCUCAACGUUGGGAAAGCAUCGGAGGAAGCUGGUUAGCAUAUUGACAUCUUUGGAAACACCAAAAUUGAGCUCUAAAGCCAAGAUCUUGACACUUGGGACAAUGCAACUUGGGCUCACUUUUGUCCGAGCCUGCAAUGAAACAUAGAAUGUUCACGGACCAGUGAGAUGGGCAGAUCAAACUUCCUUACUGAGAAAUAGAUGAAAGGUACUACUAGUACAUUGAUGAUGGUGUUUCUAAUCUGCAGUUGGUGAAGUCUUGGAUCUAAGCGACCAAGCACACGCAGAUCAGGUGCACCAUCAAUCUUGAGUACCAUACGCUUACAAUCACCAACCACUCGCCAGAGGACGAGCCGCUCCAGAUGCGGGGCAUCCACCACAGCAAGCUCCUCUACCACUGUACCACACCCGCCCAGAGGAGCAUGCCCUUGAGGCUUUGGCUGCGGAGGUGGAUGCACUUGGCCAUUCUGCUGAUGAUGUGCGCGAGGGUCUCUAGCUCGGAGAAAUUUUGAUAUUUGACGCUCAAUUCACGCGCUUUACCGGAUUUGACAUCCAAUUCGUAUGCCUUUCAAUAUUUGACACUCCGCACGCGAAUUAUUUUGAUUCAAGGGUUUCUCUUCCUCUUUUCUCAAUUUCCAUCUUUUCUUUUUGUUUUCUCUCACCAGGCCUAGUGAACGGAUAAUAAUAUCUCUGUUCUUAACGCUUUGCAAGAACCAAAACGUAAAAGCAGAGUACGUCUUCACUGGUUCUUCCUCCGGCUUUUCUUCCCCAACAUCACAAAUUCAAUCAUGGAGCUCACCCAUCGAACCGGAGAAUCUCAACCAUGGAAUGGAACUAGAGAAAGAUGCAAUAGAAUGAGGGAAGGGAAAUGAGUCUGAUUUCGUGUUUUUUUAGCCGGAUGGGGAGCGCUGGCGGUAUCCGAGAACGUGCAAGUUGCAAGGAAGAGUCGGCGGAGUGAGGUGCAUCGGAGGUUGUCGGCGGGGAGUCGACGGAAUGAGGCGCAUUGGAGGAUGUUGGCGGAGCACCACGGCAAAGGUGGAUUGUCGAGGAAGAUGAGAUCCUGGAUGCCCUUGUCGGCGAGGAGGUGCACUAAAUCGCCAAGCUCGCGCUCACAGGAUGUAAGGGAGUAGUGGGAGAGGUUGACAUUGCGGAAGGGACCCAGGUGGUCGGUGAGGAUCCGACCGAUUGCUGCAUCGUCGGAUGCCAAGAGGACGAGUGGGGCGGCAUGCUAGCAUCCGUGCUAGUAGGGGGCGAGCGCGGCGGUGUGCGUGGCAUCGUGGACGAGGAGGCGGGAGAUGACAUUGAGUAGGAGCUCGUCUAGGAGGGCGCUGAUGUGGUCCACGCUGUCGGUGGCUGAGGUCUCGGCUGCAGUGGAGGAGAGGGAGGGGGCUACGGGGUGGUUGUGAGCGCCAAGAGAAUGGGCGUUCCCCGAGGAAGGCGCUUACAAGUGGGAGCUGCCUGCAGAAGGGAGUCACCACCGUGCCAAGCCAAGAAUGUUGGGCCAAAAGAUACAUAGCCUAGGAAGGGCCUAAAAAAUACCACUUCCAUGCCGUGGGGGCCUACUGAGGACCCCACACAGUGUUGUAAAAUGCGGCCAGAGGGACCUCCCGGGAAGCUUCUCGGGAGGGUUUGCUUCCAGGGUAAGCAGACGAUGACAUCUCCUGGCAUGGCAUUCGAGGUGGACUGUCAGCAGGCACACCGUCCCCGUAAAAAUACCAUCAUUACAGUUGACACGACGUGUGUGGAGGCCUCGGGGACUGGUGGCCGCACCCGUUCCAUCCAACAGGCGGCGAACGCCAUCCUCAUGUCAGGAGCCCUCACCUGGCUCCUAGCCACCCUCUGCUAGAAGGGUGGGCCUGCCGCCCAGACCUGGGAGGCUACAAAAGCCACCCGGGGACUUCGUCGGGAGGUGGGGGGCCCGGGAAGCGGCAAAAGAUUACCAGGAAGGAUCCCGAAAUCCAAGAUCAUCACCUCUUGUCCCGAGGUGGUGGGCUCGGACUUGAAGAAGUAAUCAUUACUAAAGUAAGAUGGUAAAAUAUGAAGAUUACCAUAAAGAGGACUUGGACGAGGAGCUCCGGCACCAACCAUACCAAGGCAAGGAAGCAUCAGGGCAAGAGGACGGUGUGUCAGAAGAGCUGUAGCAAGGAGGGAGGCCACUGGGCCGCCGUGUUCACACGCAUACAGUGUAAAGGGAUAGGUUGGGAUGCAAGGCUCGCCUCUAACCAGUCUCCCCAGACUUGGCCUAUAAAAGGCUGGUUCUUGUACCAAGCGAGAAACAAGGGAAAAGAAGUUGAAACAACUAAAGCAACACAACACACAUGACGUAGGAUAUUACACUUUCGAGCAGCCUGAACCUGUCUAAAAACUCUCUUAGCCAAAUCACACACUAACUCCCCUAACCUCCUCUCAAAUCCCUAUGCACGAACUAACCCCAGGCUGGAUCUCAAAAAGGGGGUCCUAUCAGAUCCCCGCUCCCGGUGCUCGACCACCGUCAGCUGGCGUGCCAAGUAGGGGGAUGGUGGUGUGUUGAGAUUUGAAGCUUCCUAUCCGCGCAGAGGCAAUGGGAGCUAUUUCAAUCAUCGCUAGGCUCACCACAAUGAGUCAGACAAUGAGGCCAGCGGGCGACGGCGUCUCAUUUGGCGACGCCCGUCUCUGCUCCGCGGUGGCCGGAUGUUGCGGCUUCAGCGCUGCCAUGCAUCAACACUCCCAAUCGGUCUCCGUUGUCCCAGGCACCUCUGCCUCCCAGGGUCUUUGAGAAAUGGCUCCCACAACCCACUGCUACGGUAGCCGACCAUAGCGAAGGGGAAGCAUCACUACCGUGCGAGAGGACCCAGGCCUUGCCACAAGAGGGAAGCCCUGUGCUCCCUGGGACCAUCGUGGAUGGACGACAUCCGUGGCUUCCUGAAAGAAAACAUCCUUCCCGAGGAUGAUGCCACCGCAAAGAGGAUUGAACAACAGUGCAAAUGCUACAUCAUGAUAGAUGGGGAUCUAUAUCGACACGGCACAGACGGGGUCCUCUUGAGAUGUAUAUCUCGGGAAGAGGGCGGCGAGCACCUCGCUGAGGUCCACGAAGGCAAGUGCGAGAGUCACCCCACCUCCCGCAUGCUGGUCAAGAAGGCUUUUCGGUAGGGUUUUACUAGCCAACAGCCCUCGAGGAUGCAACUAAACUGGUUAAGCACUACAAGGCAUGUGAAUUCCACGCAAAGCAGAUUCAUCAACCACCACAGGCACUCAACACCAUCCCUCUUUCAUGGCCAUUUGCGGUCCGGGGGCUUGACAUUUUGCGACCAGCCUUGUCAUCUCUGAGUUCAGCAGUGGAUCAUCAAUCAACUGGAUGUCCUCUAGAGUGAUCUUGCUAGCUUUUCCAAUAUCGGCAUCCACGCUUGCAUGAGGAACCAUGGCAAGAUCAGUGUUCGUCCCAGGUUCAGAAGAUGAAUUCAUGGUCGUGAUCCCCUGGGUUAUCACCAUUCUGACUUCUAUCUCUAGCUCGGGGGCUACAUUUGCAGCCACGGUGCUAGAGGUAGUCGCUAUUUCACCCCCAAUCGGCUGCGCGGAGGCUGUAGAAGUAGCCGCCAUGUCCACGGUAGCCUCCGUCUCCUCGGGUACUUGUUGCUCGGGGGCUAGCACCACGACAUUAGUCAAAGAUGAUAUUACUUUCUGCAUCAACGCUACUACAAAAGACACAACACCUGGACUACUUGUCGUCGUGGGUUGAUUUUCCGGCUGUGGACUUGCUUGGGCCGGGGCAACGUCCUGGACUGACAGGCUAUUGCCAUCGGUCGUGGGCCUAGAGCUAGGUCCUCCAAGGUCCAGAUGAGAGGAUUUCCUGCACAAGAUAAAACCUUAGCAACAAAAAGUUACAAUAAGUACUCGAAAGGAGAGGAAAGAUUACUUUGACGAUAUCCUCAACUUCAAUGUGGGUUCGCUAAACAAUCGCAAUGGCUUGACAGAUGAAGAUGGCGCUUUCAGUGGGGCCUGCACGUCCACAAGAGGAUCUUGACCAGCCUUGAGCUUCGCCUCGGCUGCUCGAGUUGUCUUUGCGACAUUGAGGUUUAUCACUUGUGGAUCAUCCUGAACUACAUCUUGAGGCUCUAGAUCAUCCUCAUUCUCAAUCAGCUCCUCGGUGAUUGGCACCUUGCUUUGAGCAGUCACAGCAUCCGCCUUCUCUCCUUUGGUCGCCUCUUCGAGUACCUACAAACCACCAGUGUCAUCCUGAGUAGACACGAUUGGUGAUACUGGAAACACCUUUCGGGAGUACACGAUACUUAGGAGCUUGUCCUUCCUCAUAAGUAAUUACCGUGGGAGGCACAUCUUCCGCAGGUACAGACUUAUUCACGACCCAUUCUGCAAUAACAGAUCGCUUCUUCUUUAGCGGUGGAGGAAUGGUGUUUUAUACCCGGCAACCUACCGAGGGGUAUUCCGAGGUAGUAGAUUGGUUGGUGGGGGAUCACCAGACCUGGAACUCGAAGGUAAAAGCAAGGACACAAGACUCAGAUUUAUACAGUUUCGAGCCGCCAGAGUAGCAUAAUACCCUACGUCCUAUUUGUGGUGUUGUAUAUUGCACCCUGCGCUUGGGUGUUGUUUUGCCUUGGUUCAGGCUUGAGGAUUUGUUCCUCUGUUGUGGUUCUAUGAUGUCUUCACCUACCGAUCUAGAGACCCCUGCCCUCCUUUAUAUACUCCAGGGGGCAGGCUUACUAGGUGGUUACAAGGUAGGAGUCCUAGUACGAUUACAAGGUAUGAGUCCUAGUAGGAUUACAGGGAAAUCCUUAGUAGGAGUUCGUCUUCUUCCUUCCUUAUGAGUACCGGGGAUCUAUCCCCGACAGAGGAAUCACAGCUCCAAGCUCAUUAGCAGCCAAGCGUUUCCUUCUUCCAGAGGAAGACCCAGCCUUAGCAGAUGGCUGAGCCUUGACUUCAUCUGUGGCGUCAGAACUAGUGCCGCUGGAGGACUCGACUACCUACUACUCCUAGUCAUCUCCUAUCAUGACUUCCCGCAUAAACACACGAGGAGCAGCUUCACAGGAUACUUCGGAUCUAGGAGGAGGAGGAGCAGAGAAAUACAAAUCAACAUCUUCCUACAAAGAAAGAUAAGUUAGCAAACCCAACAACUUCAAAUAAAGUACUCGGGGGCUACGGCCACGGGUACUUACAGGCUUUGGUGGGUUGGCGGCACUGAAUUCCUGCACAAUAGUGGUGAUCUCACCCAUAUUUUUUAACAUCCAUUUGAGCCACACCAUGACUUCAUCAGUGCUAGUCUCUUCUGGAGAGAAUCUAGAGGGAUCAGCUAGGCUGGUGUACUGAUAGCCAUAGUGGCACCUUUGCUGCCGGGGCUGGAUGUGUCACUUCAUAAAGCUGAACACCACUCCAAUUCUAGUAAGGCCCUCUUGUUUCAACUGCGCUAUUCGACCCAUUAGAUCGGGUAGUUGGAGGCAAUCUCCAUAUUUUGGUUCAUCAAGCCAGUGGUUGUUCCAUGAGGGGUGAUGCCCUGUCAUCUUGGGUAGUUUCAGAUCAUGGUUGCCAAUGUAGCACCACUUUUCCUUCCACCCGGCAUUGGAGUCUAUCAACUCGUAAUCUAGGUGCUGGCCGCUUGCUGUCUCCCGUAUCUGGAUAUCGGCGCCUCCAACCAAGAGAGUAUGAUCCUUUGAGGGUUGUGGCUUCACACGAAAAAACUUUCAGAAUAAUUCAAAGUGCGACUUGAUCCCCAGAAAGGCUUCGUAAAAAUGAACAAAGAUUGAAUUAUGGAGGAUCCCAUUGGGGUUCAGAUGCACCAGCUCAAUUUAUAAUAAUGCAGUAAACCUGAGAAGAAAUCUGAAGAUGACAAUGCAAAGCCUCACUCAAUGAAGUGGGUAAAAGUUACCAUCUCACUGGGGUAGGCCUCCAAAGGGCAGGCGUUGCCAUAUGCAGAUCGCCAGUUGAUGAAGUCCUGAUCUUGGAGUAAAUUGGUAGCUAUGAGCGUCUUCAUAUCCUCCUCCUUCAGAGUUGACCACUUCCAAGCUCAGACGGGAUAUGGUGGCACGGUUUGAUCAGUUUUUUCGUACUUGGGCACGGGCAACUGUGGCUCUUUCUUCUUGUCAUAUGUUUUCUUCUUCUCACCUUCGCCUGAUUUGGUCGCAGCAGCUUUCCCACCCCUCCUUGAUGUCACGAGCUUCUUCUAUCACAUACGCUCGGGGGCUGCUUGGUGGGGGGACAGCGGCGCUAGUGUUCGGAGAUCGAACAGUGGCAGUGGCGCUAGGGCUCAAAUGUGGAAGUUGGAAAGGCAAAUGGCAAGGGUAACACAGAAGGGAUAACUUCCUCCGUUAUUUAUCACAACGGCUUGGUAACAACGGCGCAAAUGAAGGGAUUUUGAUUUAAAGGAUCCCUAGAAUUUUGGACUCUUGAUUGGCAGUUACCUUUAUUUCAGGAGGAGAUAAGAUCUCUUUCCAGAGAUGGUCACGUUGAUCAAAGUUUGACCCUUAUACCCACCAAACUACUUGGCUAAAGGCUCAGGGGCUAUGUGCCACGUGUCCAUCGACAGAAAGUUUUUUUUUUGGGGUUUUAAGAAGAAAGUGAUGCGAAUUACAGAUUGACCCUCAGCCUGAUUCUUCGAUUCAACCUAAGGCUCGGGGACUACAUCAUUUGGAGUGCGACUUUUGUCGCACUUCUAUAUAAAAUUCAAAAUUGAAGGAUAUGAGACUGAGUUAAAUGAGGCUUGAGCAUAUUCUAGCCGCAUGGUAGUUUUUGUACCUUUGAAGACUCAACCAGAUGAAAUACUUGAAGAGCACUAAAACUAGUCGGUGAAGUCUACAAAAGUACUCAAAACUGUUGCGUUCGAGUAAAAAGUACUCGGGGGCUGGUCAUACAUACAUCUAUGAGCCUACCAGAAGGUUUGAACAGUCCUAAAUAUGCGGCUAAACACCCAGACACAUCUGACAUGGAGACCAUGGCACAGGACGGUGUAGUUUACAUGGAAAGAUAUGAACUAGUCAAGGAUUUGGAAAGUACUCAUUGUAAUAAGAGUAAAACUCUUCUAGUCGUAUCCAACUAGUAUUCUUGUAACCAACCGACCUGUAACCCUACCCCCAGCAAUAUAAGGCGAGGCAAGGACCCCCUCCAAAGCAAUUCCAUCCAACCAACACACGGGGUGUAGGGUAUUGCGCAAUCUAGCGGCCCGAACCUGACUAAAUCAUGUGUCUACAUUUACCUUUGAGUUCCUGAUCUCGACGAGCCCCACUAACCUAUUGAAGCAAAAAAUCGGAUAGUGAUCCCGACUCCUGCGUCGAGCACACGACCCGAGAGAAUCUGCUUAACUCCUGUUCGGGUUAUCGCCCUGGUGCGUUUCGCACGGCGUGCCAGUCAAUUUGACCUAUUGAAUGACAAGGAAGAAAAGAUAUCAAAUUCCGAAGAUUUGAUCGGCUGAAGUUCCGAUCUACUCCAAAAGAUGUAUCAGCGGAUUGGCCAAUUUAGUAUAAGGAUGACCGGCUAUGAAACAGCCGAUAAUCACGUAGCAAAUGUAAGAAAAACUACUAGAGUAACCUAAACAAUGAUACAGAGACAACACCUGAGAUAGAUCUAAUCGGAUGUAUGAUGAUAAAAAAAGUGUAUUAAUAUAGCCGACAGUUCGUACCUCAAGCUGGAUAACUGGUGAUAAGAAAUAAAAUAACAGGCAAAACCUAUAAUUCUAGCAAAUAUCGAUAACUGGUAAAUAAAUCUAAAUGAAACAACAGUGAUGCGCCCAAAGUUAAAGCUUAGAUAUUAUUCAAAACGCGGAACUUACAAAUUGGUCGGAGAUCAUGUUGAUGCAGCCCUGCCAACUCGCACGAACUCGUGAAAAGAAAAGGAUUUGACGAAGUCACCGACUUGAAAGUAAAGUUGCGUGAAAAAGUAGAUUUUGUAUUGAUGUUUGUUGAUUAUUUUGCAAGCUUCACGAGGCACCUAUUUAUACCCUGUUACAACUUGUUUCCUAACCGACUACGACUCAACAUUCUAUUUCUUAUUCAAAGCAGCAAAUAUUUACAUACGGAUACAACCCGCAUCGGAGUCGAACACCAUCCAAUCCUCUAUGCGCCAACCCUGUUUUCUUGUUACCACCUUGGCCCAUUCAGGCCCAUAUCGGCCGAGCUAUUCUGGCUUCCAAUCGGCUAGUCCCCAUCGAUCUCAUCGGCUAAUCGGAUGAAACACUGUAGCUUUAUCGGUCGAUUUCUCUAUCCAUAGCCUCUUGUCUAACCGCAUCGGCCACUUUCUUCUCUUGACUUCGACCCUGAAACGUGUCAAAAACUGGCGUCAACACAUGCCCCCCAGUUUCGAAGUGAAACAUAUCUUUUGCUCCGAAAUUUUCUCAAGUCCAAUUCCUUCCUCCGAAGAGACGCAACAAUAAAUGUAGCAAAACCCUCUUUGCUCCCAAAAUCUUCUCCUUGAUGAUUGCAUUUUUUCGAAAAGAGAGCCCGCAGGCAACCGCUCUUUUCGAAAUUAGCGCAGACGUCAUGGUAAAAAUUCCGUAUUUACCCUUUUCUUGAGCCAUCCCACAGAUACUCAUCUCUUUCGCCGCUUCUUCUUCCUCCGGGCGAAAAGGGUUUCCUUUCCGGCGAAUCAUCUCCCGGCGCAUCCCAGCGACAUUGCUCGUGCCGCCUCUAGGCACAUCCCAGUGCACUCCGGUGACUUGCUCACGUCCUCCACCAACCGCACCGGCUUCCAGGUUCCAAUGGCAGCACCCACAGCUACCAUGGCCUUCGUUCCUGAGGUAAGUCUUCUAGGCUUUCCUCAUCUUUUCGUGAUUUUGGAUCUGUUCUUAGUCUUUCUUCACAUUUGCUCAGGAACUCAGGUAGAGAAUCACCAUCCCCAUGGCCGACACCCCUGGAUUCAUCGGCCUUGGCCCUAUGGGAGAUCCUGACCCAACCAAUCUGAUUAGCCUAGAAACUCACAGGAUCCCUUUUAAGCAAUCAACCAUCGAAUUAGACAAUUGGGCGAACACCUUCAAGUCUUGGCUGAAUCAAACCCUCGAAUGGAGAGAUUGGUUUUUCAGAAUGUCAAAUUCCAACAGAGUCUUUUGGGAUGAGCAAAAAAUCGACCAUUGCAUAAAUCUAUCUCUAUCUCAUAUGGAGAAGAAUGAAUCUCUGCUCAUCACGGCAUCUUACUUCUGGUCCGACGCUCUCAAUGCGUUUCUUUUUCAGCCAUGGACCAAUGACUCCAACCUUGGCCGAUGUCUUGAUGCUGAAUGGCCCAGAUGUUUCCUCUGCUGAUUCACCUUUUGAUUUCUUAAUCAAACCUACCCAUUGGCUGGAGACGAAAGCAAUCGGCGGAUGGAAAGGUUUUAUUAAGAAGAACAUGAGGACCAGACCCAUUACGGAAAAGGAGCACACUGCCUUCUUGAUCAUGUGGCUGGAAAAAUAUGUCUUCUGUGGCAAAUUGGUCGGUCCUACUUCCAACACACAGGCUUUGGCCGAAGCACUAGUCAGAGGUGCCGCAGUCCCUUUGGGAAAGCACCUGCUAGGGGCAGUGUAUUACAUGUUGCAUCAUGUCACCAUGAAGCUAUCAUCUGGAGAACCCAUCGGGAAUCCUGGUGGUCCUUGGUGGUUUGUCAAUCUCUGGCUCAAAUUAUACAUGAGUGAAAUCUUCAAGGAGCGGAUUGAGACCAAGACUUUCCCCAAUGUUGAGUCAGAGACUGACCCAUUGGCAAGACGCCGAUGUACUUCCUUUGGCGAAGCUGUGUCCUCUUUCCCAGGCGGCAAACUCGCCCCCUCAAGAAUAGUCGAGCAUUUCAGAUGCUUUUAUAACGGCUUUAGAGAAGCAGUGACGAAACUAGUAUCCAUAUUAGAGAGAGAACCCAAAUUUCGAGAAUCCUAACUGCUUUGACUCGGUUGCCAACACCUUUGACGAGGGAAUCGUGGACACCCUGAUCAAACCUGGGAUUCUACCGGCAAAUUUCUUCUCAGGCAAGGACCCUCCAACAUAUGAGUUCUAUAAUAUGUCGGUAGCAGCUCGGUAAUUCGGCUUGGGACAGAUGCCAAUCGGAGUUCACUUCGUCGGCCGAGUGAAAUUUUGAGAACUGGUUUCAAAAGGACUGGAAUACAACAGAUUAUGUAAUCUGGCACCGGAUUCUGACACUAUUGACCUGAGCGUUUGGCUGGUGGUCCCCUUCUCUACAUAGCAAUUCAAAUUGUGGUGGGCCGAGUGGAAAUAGUACCUUUUCUACGUGGCCCCUACAGUGUACUGCAAUCAACUGGACCCUGCUCAUGCUGAACCAAAUGUAGAGGUAACAAUGCUUUUUCUGCCGAUUCCUUACUUUUUAUUCUUACAUGCCACGGAACUUUUCCAUCGUUGUCCUUUUUUCUCUGCGCAGGUCGAUAGCCAAGUGCCUCCAACACACAGUCGGAGCGGCAGACUGAUAGAGACCCGUCAUCCGUACACACCGUACCCUCUCAUCGGCUAUCACGCCCCAUCAAUGGAAGACGUAGCCACCGGCCGCCAUAAGCUCAAAAUGUCUACCACAAAGAAGACGAGUCACAGGGUGCGAGCUCGCACUGAAUCGACGACAACUUGGACAACCUACCAAUCGGCAGCAACAUCGGCUGAGCUUUGAAGACUCACGUUGAUCAAAGGUUGACCAAUAUACCCACCAAACUAGUCGGUAAAAGGCUUGGGACCUGUGUGCCACGUGUCCAUCGGUAAAAAAGUUUUUUCUCUGGGCUUAAAAAGGAAAAUGAUGCAAAUUACAAGUUGACCCUUAACCUGAUUCUUCGAUUCAACCUAAGGAUUGGGGGCUACUCCAUAUGGAGUGUGACUUUCGUCACACUUCCAUAUAAAAAUUCAAGAUUGAAGGAUUCAAAACCAAGUUAAAUGAGGCUUGAGCAUAUUCUAGCCGCAUGGCAGUGCUCGCGUACCUUUGAAGACUUAACCCGAUGAAGUGCUCGAAGAACACCAAAACUAGUCGGUGAAGCCUACAAAAGUACUUGGAACUGCUGCAUUUGACUAAAAAGUAUUCGGAGGCUUGUCAUACAUACAACAAUGGGCCAACCAAAAGGUUUGGACAGUCUCAAAUAUAGAGCUGGACAUCGAGAUGUAUCUAACAUGGAUACUAUGGCGCAGGACGACGUAGUCUACGUCGCAAGAUAGGAACUAGUCAAGGAUUAGGAAAAGUACUCGUACCAAUCAGAGUAGGACUCGUCUAGUCGAAUCUGACUAGUAUUCUUGUAAACAACCGACCUGUAGCUGUAACGCCCGUAAAAAUCUACCCAAAAUAAAUCACUCGUUAAAAAUGCUUUCCAAAAAUUUUCCGUCUGCUGAGCUCCAUCAAAUCUUUUCCCUUCCAUCGGACCCGUCAUUCCAGCCCCGACUCGUCAACCCUCUUUUUCCGUCCCCGUAAUUUUCACCGCGUGCCCGUCAAGUCCAUCACGCGUGCCGUCGAAUCCCGCAAUUUUCGCCACCUUUCCCUCCCCUUUAUCCUCCUCUUUUUCCUUUCCUUUCCUCUUUUUUUUCCCUCUCUCUCUCUCCUUCUCCCUCCUACUGCCGCGCACCUUUCUCUGGCGUUUGGCUCCGGGCCGCCUGCCGCCAGACGCCGCGCACGCGCGCCGGGCCGCGCGCUGCGCCGGGUCGCGCUCGCCCGCGCCGCGCGCCUGGCCGUGCUCGCCCGCGCCGCUCGCUCACCCGCGCCGCCUCCUACCACGCCGGUCCCACGCCACGGGUGCCUGCUCGCCCACGCGCGCGCCCGAGCGGGGUCAACCGCGCCGCGCCACCCGCUCCGCGCCAAGCCGCCAUCCCGUCGCCGCUCCUGUGGCCAUCCCGCCCGCCGGUCACCGAACGCCGCCCUCUCCCAGCGCACCUCCCCACACCGGUCGCCGCCCCUGCUCCCUCCCCUCGUCGACCGAGCCCACGCCAUCCACGAGCUCCGCUAACUCCGGGCACGCCACCGGCCGGAAGGACCGAUUGCCAUCCUUGCCGGCCGCACACCGCCCCCUCCCGUCGCCUAUAAAAGGGGGGGCAAGGCCGGGCGUCCUCAUCUCCACAACGUAACAACCUCAGCCCGAGCGNNNNNNNNNNNNNNNNNNNNNNNNNNNNNNNNNNNNNNNNNNNNNNNNNNNNNNNNNNNNNNNNNNNNNNNNNNNNNNNNNNNNNNNNNNNNNNNNNNNNNNNNNNNNNNNNNNNNNNNNNNNNNNNNNNNNNNNNNNNNNNNNNNNNNNNNNNNNNNNNNNNNNNNNNNNNNNNNNNNNNNNNNNNNNNNNNNNNNNNNNNNNNNNNNNNNNNNNNNNNNNNNNNNNNNNNNNNNNNNNNNNNNNNNNNNNNNNNNNNNNNNNNNNNNNNNNNNNNNNNNNNNNNNNNNNNNNNNNNNNNNNNNNNNNNNNNNNNNNNNNNNNNNNNNNNNNNNNNNNNNNNNNNNNNNNNNNNNNNNNNNNNNNNNNNNNNNNNNNNNNNNNNNNNNNNNNNNNNNNNNNNNNNNNNNNNNNNNNNNNNNNNNNNNNNNNNNNNNNNNNNNNNNNNNNNNNNNNNNNNNNNNNNNNNNNNNNNNNNNNNNNNNNNNNNNNNNNNNNNNNNNNNNNNNNNNNNNNNNNNNNNNNNNNNNNNNNNNNNNNNNNNNNNNNNNNNNNNNNNNNNNNNNNNNNNNNNNNNNNNNNNNNNNNNNNNNNNNNNNNNNNNNNNNNNNNNNNNNNNNNNNNNNNNNNNNNNNNNNNNNNNNNNNNNNNNNNNNNNNNNNNNNNNNNNNNNNNNNNNNNNNNNNNNNNNNNNNNNNNNNNNNNNNNNNNNNNNNNNNNNNNNNNNNNNNNNNNNNNNNNNNNNNNNNNNNNNNNNNNNNNNNNNNNNNNNNNNNNNNNNNNNNNNNNNNNNNNNNNNNNNNNNNNNNNNNNNNNNNNNNNNNNNNNNNNNNNNNNNNNNNNNNNNNNNNNNNNNNNNNNNNNNNNNNNNNNNNNNNNNNNNNNNNNNNNNNNNNNNNNNNNNNNNNNNNNNNNNNNNNNNNNNNNNNNNNNNNNNNNNNNNNNNNNNNNNNNNNNNNNNNNNNNNNNNNNNNNNNNNNNNNNNNNNNNNNNNNNNNNNNNNNNNNNNNNNNNNNNNNNNNNNNNNNNNNNNNNNNNNNNNNNNNNNNNNNNNNNNNNNNNNNNNNNNNNNNNNNNNNNNNNNNNNNNNNNNNNNNNNNNNNNNNNNNNNNNNNNNNNNNNNNNNNNNNNNNNNNNNNNNNNNNNNNNNNNNNNNNNNNNNNNNNNNNNNNNNNNNNNNNNNNNNNNNNNNNNNNNNNNNNNNNNNNNNNNNNNNNNNNNNNNNNNNNNNNNNNNNNNNNNNNNNNNNNNNNNNNNNNNNNNNNNNNNNNNNNNNNNNNNNNNNNNNNNNNNNNNNNNNNNNNNNNNNNNNNNNNNNNNNNNNNNNNNNNNNNNNNNNNNNNNNNNNNNNNNNNNNNNNNNNNNNNNNNNNNNNNNNNNNNNNNNNNNNNNNNNNNNNNNNNNNNNNNNNNNNNNNNNNNNNNNNNNNNNNNNNNNNNNNNNNNNNNNNNNNNNNNNNNNNNNNNNNNNNNNNNNNNNNNNNNNNNNNNNNNNNNNNNNNNNNNNNNNNNNNNNNNNNNNNNNNNNNNNNNNNNNNNNNNNNNNNNNNNNNNNNNNNNNNNNNNNNNNNNNNNNNNNNNNNNNNNNNNNNNNNNNNNNNNNNNNNNNNNNNNNNNNNNNNNNNNNNNNNNNNNNNNNNNNNNNNNNNNNNNNNNNNNNNNNNNNNNNNNNNNNNNNNNNNNNNNNNNNNNNNNNNNNNNNNNNNNNNNNNNNNNNNNNNNNNNNNNNNNNNNNNNNNNNNNNNNNNNNNNNNNNNNNNNNNNNNNNNNNNNNNNNNNNNNNNNNNNNNNNNNNNNNNNNNNNNNNNNNNNNNNNNNNNNNNNNNNNNNNNNNNNNNNNNNNNNNNNNNNNNNNNNNNNNNNNNNNNNNNNNNNNNNNNNNNNNNNNNNNNNNNNNNNNNNNNNNNNNNNNNNNNNNNNNNNNNNNNNNNNNNNNNNNNNNNNNNNNNNNNNNNNNNNNNNNNNNNNNNNNNNNNNNNNNNNNNNNNNNNNNNNNNNNNNNNNNNNNNNNNNNNNNNNNNNNNNNNNNNNNNNNNNNNNNNNNNNNNNNNNNNNNNNNNNNNNNNNNNNNNNNNNNNNNNNNNNNNNNNNNNNNNNNNNNNNNNNNNNNNNNNNNNNNNNNNNNNNNNNNNNNNNNNNNNNNNNNNNNNNNNNNNNNNNNNNNNNNNNNNNNNNNNNNNNNNNNNNNNNNNNNNNNNNNNNNNNNNNNNNNNNNNNNNNNNNNNNNNNNNNNNNNNNNNNNNNNNNNNNNNNNNNNNNNNNNNNNNNNNNNNNNNNNNNNNNNNNNNNNNNNNNNNNNNNNNNNNNNNNNNNNNNNNNNNNNNNNNNNNNNNNNNNNNNNNNNNNNNNNNNNNNNNNNNNNNNNNNNNNNNNNNNNNNNNNNNNNNNNNNNNNNNNNNNNNNNNNNNNNNNNNNNNNNNNNNNNNNNNNNNNNNNNNNNNNNNNNNNNNNNNNNNNNNNNNNNNNNNNNNNNNNNNNNNNNNNNNNNNNNNNNNNNNNNNNNNNNNNNNNNNNNNNNNNNNNNNNNNNNNNNNNNNNNNNNNNNNNNNNNNNNNNNNNNNNNNNNNNNNNNNNNNNNNNNNNNNNNNNNNNNNNNNNNNNNNNNNNNNNNNNNNNNNNNNNNNNNNNNNNNNNNNNNNNNNNNNNNNNNNNNNNNNNNNNNNNNNNNNNNNNNNNNNNNNNNNNNNNNNNNNNNNNNNNNNNNNNNNNNNNNNNNNNNNNNNNNNNNNNNNNNNNNNNNNNNNNNNNNNNNNNNNNNNNNNNNNNNNNNNNNNNNNNNNNNNNNNNNNNNNNNNNNNNNNNNNNNNNNNNNNNNNNNNNNNNNNNNNNNNNNNNNNNNNNNNNNNNNNNNNNNNNNNNNNNNNNNNNNNNNNNNNNNNNNNNNNNNNNNNNNNNNNNNNNNNNNNNNNNNNNNNNNNNNNNNNNNNNNNNNNNNNNNNNNNNNNNNNNNNNNNNNNNNNNNNNNNNNNNNNNNNNNNNNNNNNNNNNNNNNNNNNNNNNNNNNNNNNNNNNNNNNNNNNNNNNNNNNNNNNNNNNNNNNNNNNNNNNNNNNNNNNNNNNNNNNNNNNNNNNNNNNNNNNNNNNNNNNNNNNNNNNNNNNNNNNNNNNNNNNNNNNNNNNNNNNNNNNNNNNNNNNNNNNNNNNNNNNNNNNNNNNNNNNNNNNNNNNNNNNNNNNNNNNNNNNNNNNNNNNNNNNNNNNNNNNNNNNNNNNNNNNNNNNNNNNNNNNNNNNNNNNNNNNNNNNNNNNNNNNNNNNNNNNNNNNNNNNNNNNNNNNNNNNNNNNNNNNNNNNNNNNNNNNNNNNNNNNNNNNNNNNNNNNNNNNNNNNNNNNNNNNNNNNNNNNNNNNNNNNNNNNNNNNNNNNNNNNNNNNNNNNNNNNNNNNNNNNNNNNNNNNNNNNNNNNNNNNNNNNNNNNNNNNNNNNNNNNNNNNNNNNNNNNNNNNNNNNNNNNNNNNNNNNNNNNNNNNNNNNNNNNNNNNNNNNNNNNNNNNNNNNNNNNNNNNNNNNNNNNNNNNNNNNNNNNNNNNNNNNNNNNNNNNNNNNNNNNNNNNNNNNNNNNNNNNNNNNNNNNNNNNNNNNNNNNNNNNNNNNNNNNNNNNNNNNNNNNNNNNNNNNNNNNNNNNNNNNNNNNNNNNNNNNNNNNNNNNNNNNNNNNNNNNNNNNNNNNNNNNNNNNNNNNNNNNNNNNNNNNNNNNNNNNNNNNNNNNNNNNNNNNNNNNNNNNNNNNNNNNNNNNNNNNNNNNNNNNNNNNNNNNNNNNNNNNNNNNNNNNNNNNNNNNNNNNNNNNNNNNNNNNNNNNNNNNNNNNNNNNNNNNNNNNNNNNNNNNNNNNNNNNNNNNNNNNNNNNNNNNNNNNNNNNNNNNNNNNNNNNNNNNNNNNNNNNNNNNNNNNNNNNNNNNNNNNNNNNNNNNNNNNNNNNNNNNNNNNNNNNNNNNNNNNNNNNNNNNNNNNNNNNNNNNNNNNNNNNNNNNNNNNNNNNNNNNNNNNNNNNNNNNNNNNNNNNNNNNNNNNNNNNNNNNNNNNNNNNNNNNNNNNNNNNNNNNNNNNNNNNNNNNNNNNNNNNNNNNNNNNNNNNNNNNNNNNNNNNNNNNNNNNNNNNNNNNNNNNNNNNNNNNNCCCUCUCACCGCCCCUGCGCCACCCGCCGCCGCCGCCAGGAAACCACCACCUCCCUGCCGCCGCCGGUCCCCUUCCCCUCGCCCUGGCCACCAAUCGACCGAGGUGACUCCUCAAAUGGGUUCCCCACCCUCUCCUUCCCCUUCCCAGCCACUCGGUCUCGCCGCCGGAAGGCCGAGGCGGCCGGUCCACCGCCGGCCGUGCGCCCCCCCCCCCCUUUCCUCUGUUCUGAAGCCAAGGAAAAAAGGAGGAAGAAGGGGGCUCGAAUUUCGAUCUGCCCCUCGGUUUCCUCCUAUUUGCAACCCGGUCCCUCCACCUCUGUCCAGGGAAUUCCACAAAUAAGCCCUUCCACUUUUUAGAGUAUUUACAAAUAGGUCCUCGGUUUUCACAAUUUAGUCCUAAACCACAUUUUAAAGCCCCUAAUACUCCUUUAACCCGUCAUUUCAUGCGCCAAAUUUCCUUCAAUCGAUCCCAAAUUCGACCACGGCCUCCUCUCAUAUAUUUCCGCCGAGGCAUAUCCAAAGUUCAUGAAAAUACCCUUCCUACCUAUUUUCCGUUCAUAUUUCCUGUUCGGAGCUCAACGGGUAAAAUCUUUUUCCUUUUUAUUUAUUGUGUGCUCGUUUGUGUGUGCCGUAGAUCGCGGAGUACCCGAGGAGGAGCGCGAGGAGGAGUUCGACCGCGAGCCCGAGCCCGAGGACCAGUACCGCGAGCAGGAGCUCCCGGAAGGCUUUGAGAACGGCAAGUCCAAUCUCACCCUUUGAUACAUAUUUAAUACCCAGUUUUUCAGACACAACCUAUUGGCCUGUUUUAUAAAAUGCAUGUUGUUUUAUCGCAAGACAUGGUUGGAUAGCCACCCCUUGAUUGUUAUGAUUAUUCCUUGUCGUCCCAUAUUUAUCUCUAGAUAUGAGUUGCUCUGUUUAGAUGAUAAAUACUGCUAGAAUGCUUAGGAACUCAUUAUCCAAAUUCAAUCAUGACUACAUCUAUUUAUUCGGAAAAUAAAUGUGUGAGUGUAUUCAACUGAGGAGUUGGGUUUUUCGGGUGAAAAGAGAGGUGGUGGAUGAGAUGGAUGGGCGUUUCUUGUGUGGAAUGCCGGUUUGUUGAGCUCGUACCUUAGUGGUUGAGCAGAGUUGGGAGAUAUCCAUCUUGUCAUGGCUAAGGAUCGAGUUGAUGUGUCAUCCUACCUAAUUCCAUCAUCGUACAACCACUCGACCGUUGUAUGGGCAACGGCUUAGCAUAAACCCCACUAGCUAAACUGCUAGGCUUCAGGUGUGCUGGUGAGCAACAGGAGCCCUUGGAAAAGGACUAAGCUCUCGGUGACUUAGGUCCCGGUUUUGGCCCCGUGGAUGGGCUGCUAACCCCUUGGGUGCUUCCGUGUUGUCUAGUCAGUGUUGGCUAAGGUGGGUAAUGGCUUUGUUAGGAUCCGUACCAUCACUAAGGUGAUCGUGAUACGGUACCCUACUUGUGGGAAAAGUGUACAACCUCUGCAGAGUUAAAACCUAUCCGGGUAGCCGUGUCCACGGCAUUGGACGAGUUACGGCUCGGUCACACAACUAGCUUUUGGGAGAUGACUGGUAUUUACGGUGUGUGUGUGUGUGUAGGAUUUUGGAAGUGUCCGGCAAUUGUGCCGUGCGCUACGGCGGACGGGGAGUCCGGUAGCGAUAAAACUUGGAUCUUUUGUGUAGGAUCAACCCCACUUGGUAUAUCGUUUAUUAAGAAAAUGUUUUAUGAAAAUUCUUUAAAAUGAAACCCUGAAUAUGUCAAAAAUCCAGCUUUAUUGCAAAUAAACCCUAACCAUAUCCUUGUUGAAUCAUAUGCAUAUUCUUGUUGUAUCCCCUCCGUGGAGGUGUUGGACUUGUUGAGUACUUUUGUACUCACCCUUGUGUUGUUGCUUCAAAGGAGGAUCCGGACUUCGUCGCCGAGAACUUCGAGUAGGAGGUUGCGUCUGCACCCAACGCUGCCUGCGAUGUUGGCCCUUUUGCAGGAUGCUUCCGCUGACGCAUAGUUCCGAUUGCAGUCCGGAGUCCGACUGGACUGCAACUUGGAUUUGUAUUGUUAUCGCUUUAGUCUUUCUUUGGGUGUGGCUUGCCCGCCCGCUCCUUCGGGAGUUGUACGGUUUCUGAACUAUCUGUUGAAUAAAUGUGUUAUCAGCCUCCUGGGACUGAUAAUUGGAUCACAUUUAGUCUCUACUUAUGUGGGGACGCUUCAGUAGCCCUACCCCGAAAAUAUAAGGUGAUGCAGGGAUACCCUCCAAAGCAAUUCAAUCCAACUAACACACCUUUGAGUUCCUGAUCUCGGCGAGCCCCAUUAACUAAAACACUACCUCGGGCACCCCAAGGUAGGUUGCCAGGUCUAAACACCAACAUGGCGGCCACUAGACCGCCGUGUUCACACGCAUACAGUGUAAAGGGAUAGGUUGGGGCGCAAGGCUUGUCCUGAACCAGUCUCCCCACAGGCUUGGCCUAUAAAAGGCCGGUUCUUGUACCAAGCGAGAGACAAGGGAAAAGAAGUUGAAACAACUAAAGCAACACAACACAUAGGACGUAGGGUAUUACGCUUCCGAGCAGCCUGAACCUGUCUAAAAACUCUCUUAGCCAAAUCACACACUAACUCCCUGACCUCCUCUCAAAUCCCUACGUACGAACUAAUCCAGGCUGAAUCUAAAAGGGGUCCCAUCGGAUUCCUACUCUUGGUACUCGACCACCAUCAAUGGUGGCUGGGGAAGUGGCCGCCAGGGAACGCGCCUAUGAUUCCCUUGAUCUCGAUGUACCCCGCCAUGGCGGAGAGGGUUUGCAUUUGGUGAUUUUUUUUUUUGCUCGUCAAGGAGGGGGAUGAGAGUGAGUGAGUGACUAACUAGCAAGUGAUGAGAGUGAGGUACCGAGGUGGUCGGUGGCCUAGGGUUUUGGCGCUGCCUUCCGCCGUGCGCCGUGGGCCAAAAUGCUGGAGGCGGAUUCCUAGCGGGCCCAUGACAUGCAGACAAAGAAAGAUGUUCUUGCAGUUGCUUCUGCCUCCGUUUAUAUGUUGGCCCACAAGCAAGAAUUUCCUUCCCGUUUUCCCUGUCUUCUCAAGUAUAUCCAACUAUGAUGAGCUGAGUAAUUAUGAGGUUUAAAAAGGACUGUAGAAAGGCUUAAAAGAGGCAGAUUGCAUGUACUGUCUCCGUUCCAAAUUAUCUUGUUACAAUUACAGAUGGCCAUGACAAUCUAUUUGAAAAUAUUUAUAGAACGCACGUGAAUGACCAUCAUGAUUGAAGUGUAGCUUUGAAAACCAUUUCCUUUUUUAAAAAAAUUGUUGUAGAACACAACAAAUUUGUGAUUGCAUGAUAUUACUCUCUCCAUCCCAAAUUACUAUUUAUUUUAGCUUUUAUAGAUACAUUGAUUUUGCUAUGCAUCUAAAUAUAUAUAUUAUGUGUAGAUAUGUAGUAAAAAGCCAAAACGAAUAGUAAUUUGGUACGGAGGAAGUACUUUUCACGACAAAUCAACACAUAUGAUUUGGACUGAAAUCAAAUAUUUCAGAAAGAUAUUGAUAGACUAGACGAGCUUCUACUAUCCAUCCAUAGCAACAAAGGAAGAAUGUAGCUUCUACUCUUCUUGACAGUGAAAUGCUUUGCCUGAUCACCCCUCCGCCGCCUCAUUCAGAGCACAUUAGCUCGAACGUAAACAUUACAUACUACUAUGACAGAAAUAAGAACUUUAAAUAGUGUAAUUAAUAGCAGAUUUUCUACGGAAUUAGGCACCGAUUAGGGUGGUAUGAGGCUAAAGCAUCAGUAACAAUUAAUCAGUAUUAAUUUCUGAAUUCCGAAAAAAGGAUCUUCAUUGGCAUCAACAGAACAGCUGCAGCAUGUUCAAAAUCUGAACCAACUAGAAGCAUAAUGAGUCAAAGAUACUGUAACUUUAAAAGGUUUGUGCAAGAUCAAUCAAAACGAUUGUCACCGAAUAUUGCAACACAAACAGACUGCAACAAAUAAAGCAUAACUACCACUGUUGCUGCCAUUACCAAUUCACCAUAAUGCAUUGGUAAAUUAGUCAACACAACUCAACAUAGCUUGCUCUUUCUUCACGGCACAGUAAAAGAGAACACUAAUGACUACAACCAUUAAUGAAAACUAUCAGGUAGUAGUAACAAGCAGAUGUCAACUGUUUGCAUUUUUCUAUAACACCAACCAGCAAAAUUGUCGAGUGCUGCCAAUUUCAGCACUAACAAUUUCUCAUCCUAUAUGCUACUACCAGCCAACAGUUUAAGAUGGUAACAUGCGUGCAGAUACUGCAAUAAAACAGAACAUACCCAUUUUCAGGAAAACGUAGCUUGGAUCAUGAGACACCCAGGGUAUACUGAGUUCAGAAGCAAUAAUAAAAAGGGUCAGUAACAGAAAAAUCAGAUGCUACUUGGUAGCUCCAAGAAGAACCUCCUCCAAAAUUACUGCUCUCCAAGACCACCAGGUCACAGUUCCCACUGGCCCGUUUCACAUAAGAUGAUCCUGUAUCAGUUCGGCGGCCGCCACAACCCCUGAAGAGAAACUGUCAUUGGCAAACACAAUUGCCAUCUGCUGCAACGCCUCUGCAUUCUCCAGGAUGAACUUAAGGAAGGCAAGCUCACUUUGUUUCCCUCAUGGAAAACAAUCUCCCUGAUGUGCGACUGCACGCAUUCGGUACGACAGGCCUCCUGCCAGAACUUGUGACUGAGCGUACCAGUUGGUUGAUCAGCUUUCUCAGACUGCGAAUCAAAUCAAUCAGUGGUUUAGCUAGCUAGCGUUGGAUCAUUCAGUGAGCAUAAAUCAAAUGCUAGUGACAAUUCAUAUGGGUGCCAGAUUAACAGAGCAAGCAGGAUCAACUAACCUCGAUAUGCAGGGUCUCUACGCUGGGAAAGCAUCUGAGGAAGCUGGGAAGCAUCUUGGCUCCAUUGCGGACUCCGAAAUGCACCUUCAAGGCCAAAAUCUUGACACUUGGGACGAUGGUGUUUGGGCUUGCCUUUGUCCCAACCAGCAACAUAGACGGUUUUUCAAUGGAAAGAUCACAGAACCUUUGAUGUACAGAUACAGACUAACUAAGAAUUGCUUAAAUAAAUGGAAGAAGAACAUGAGCAUGGCACCUUGAUGACAGUGUCGCCCACCUCAAGAACAUGUACCCCAGGCACCAAAAAUCCCACUGAGCGCAGAUUGGAUCCAUGCCCAAACUUGAUCCUGGUGCGAACCCUGUCGCCGGGCACACAACGAAUCGUCUCCCACAGGAAGAGCCGCUCCAGAUGGGGAGCUUCCACCACCGCGACAUCUUCGACAAUGCACGUGCACAGCUGCACACACCGCAGGCUGCUGCUGACAAUGCGGAGGUUCACUUGCUUCUGGCUCGAAUAGAGCACGAGAGUCUCCAGGACGGGGCUCCUGGCGAGGACGAAGUCGAGGUCCCUGUCCUCCAUGACGACGCAGCCGAGGGUGAGCUCCCGGAGGGCACCGCGCGGGAGGUCCGCAGUGUUCGGGAACCUCCAAAGACCGAGGUGGAGGCACCUGACGGACGCGAGGCUGAAGAUCGCGGGCGGGGCGCCGGGAAGCUGUUGUGGGGGGGGGGGGGGGGGGGGGGGGGGGGGGGGCCCCACCCCGGGGGAUUUUAAAGGUCGAGGUGCGCGUCCAUGUAGCCGAUGGUGAGGUCGACGCAGCAGCGGAAGGGGCCCGGGUGCACCUCCAGGACGCGGGACACCGCGGUGAUGACGGCGCUGGACUCGGCGUCCCGGGUUAGGCUCCCGUCGUGACCAGCGCCCGGGACGAGGAGGGUGUGGACGAGGACGAGCGGCGCGGAGCGCCAGCGCGGCGUUCUUGGCGGGGAGGCGCGAGACGACGUUGCGGAUGAUCUCGUCCGGGAGCGCGCUGAUGCGGUCCUCCUCGGCGCCGGCCCCGUCGCCGGCGGACGAGAAGUCGGCGGAGAGGUAGGCGUCGGCGUAGACGGGCGGGUCGGGGAGGCUGGAGCGGAGGAAGUCGUACAUGAGAUCCAUGCCGUGGAGUACAUGCGCGUCCAUCCCCUGACUCACCAUCUGGAGCAGCAUACCCUCUGCCUCCAGGGUGAUCUGCGGCGGCUGGUCCAUGGUGGCCGCCGUGCACCCGACGGACGGGGAGCAAGGCGAAAGCGAGGGGGUUGGGCUUUGAUGGGGAAAUUUUGUUUGGUGGAUGAACUUGGCUUUGCUGGCCCAGCACUACUAUUUAGUGGUGAUUCAUAAUAAGGUGAUCCUAUUUAGUGGGAUAACUAUAUUCUUAAUGUUUAAUGCUAAUUAUGUGCAUAUGAGAAAUGAAAUGGUGAUGGAUCAGCCAAUUUCAUUUCUCAAAGCAAAAAAGAAUUUUGAGGGUGAGGAUGUGAUGAACCAUUCCAUUCUUCUAGCCAAACCCAUCUUUAACAUGCCUUUGGUGAAAUUUCAGUUAGCAUUUUUCUGUCAAAAGACUUAGCUAACUCAGGAUUCUGGGUAGUACUUUACCAUCAGCCGAAAAUACCUUUUCCCUUUACAAAACCCGGUGAAAAUUUGAAUCCUUGUGUCUCAGCAGUUUCUUUUUUAUUCACUUCGUACGUGGCUGCUGCUGCACUAGUAACUAGCAAACUGACAGCAGGGAUAUGUUCAAAACUGUACAGAUCAUAUUUUCGAUCAGAGAGUUUUUCAUUAAGGGGCCGUCCUGUUAGAGCUAAAAAGCCAAAAGAACAGGUGGAAUGGCAAACCAAAUUUUAACAUCCUAAAAUUCGAGUGGACAAAUCAAUUUAAUAAGCUUCGGUUGUUGCCUCCAUACGAAAUAUGAAAGUAUAUGUCAAAUAAGUUGAAGACACAAAUAAAAUUUCAACACAGACCACAACUGAAUCUUGUCAAAUUUGGCAGAUUCUAAUUCAAAAAAAAAAACUUGACAGAUUUUAGGACGCUGUAGCCCACGCGGACUUCGCUUUGGCCCACGCACACCCAGGGCUGCCUGUCUGCAACCGCUAUAUAUUCAAGCCGAGCUCGGCCGAAAUCGAAUCAGCAUUUCCCUACCAGCACAACUUCCCCACCAACUGCCCGGCCAUCUCCACGGCGACCGCACCGUCAACUUUGUCCUGCUGCCCCCUCCCCACCGUCACCAUGGCCGCCACCCUCGCCGACGCGGAAGGCGAGGGCCACGACGGCAGGGACAGCUUCAGAAUCAGCGACCUCAUCUGCGACCACGACGACGACGACCUCAUCAGCUUUGUCCUGUGCUGCUGCCCCCUCCCCACCGUCACCACGGCCGCCACCCUCGCCGACGCGGAAGGCGAGGGCCGCGACGGCAGGGACCGCACCAACGACCUCACCGACGACCUCCUCCGCCAGGUCGUCUCCCACCUCCCCAUCAGGGACGCCGUGCGCACCACCACGCUCUCCACACGCUGGCGCCACAUCUGGCACUCCGCGCCGCUCGUCCUCUUCGACCAGCAUAUCUCCGCCGCCACCGAAGCCCAGCACGUCGCCGCCAUCAGCAGCAUCCUCGCCAGCCACACGGGCCCGCGGAUCCGCACCGCCCACCUCACCGGCUUCAACUUCCACGAUCGCAAGCCCGAGCUCGCCCAGUGGGCGCGGAUCCUCGCCGAAAAGGACGUCGAGGACCUCGUCCUCAUCACAAGGCCCCGCGUCGGGUUCGGGAACGCCCUCAUCACCAGCACCUUUGGCUAUCCCGGGCUCGACCUCCCCGCCGACAUCCUCCUCCGCUGCAAAAAACUCCGCCGCCUCUACCUCGGUUAUUGGGCGUUCCCAAAGAUCACCAACCUCCCUGGUGGCGUCGGCGUCUUCCCCGACCUUGAAGAGCUUGCCAUCCUUAACACUUACACGAAGGACAAUGACCUCGACCACAUGCUCGCUUCCUGCCCCGCGCUCAAGAAGCUGGCGCUCGUCCUGAACUACCUCAAGCCAGAGCAUGUCCGCCUCCGCGGCAAAGAGCUCGAGUGCGCGAUCGUCUGCUCAUCCGUUGCGGACGUCGCGCUGGAGGCAAAGUGCCUGAAGCGGCUCAUCAUGUGGGAUAUGUGGGCACCUGAUUUAGCGAUCCGAAUUGCUGGAGAUGUACCUGCGCUGAAGGUGCUUGGAUACUUGGAUGCAGGAUGCCACCAGCUCCAAUUUGGGGGGGUCCAGGUGAUGUCUGAUGAUAUGAUACUCCUGUGUAUGAAUGAUCACCUCAUAACUAGCUGUCUAUGUUCUAGUGUCUGAUGAUAUGUGGAUGCAUUGCAGGUGCAGGCUGGCACGAAUGCAAGCCCAAUGCGCAGGGUCCCGAGUGUCAAAAUCUUAGCAAUAAGGGUGGAUUUCAGUGAAUUCAGGCAAGUUCAGAAGCUGCCCAGUUUCCUCGGAUGCUUUCCCAACAUCGAGAUAUUGCAUGUGGAGGUAACUAUCUUCAUGAUAAUCCAGUCAUUUGACAUUUUCAUCGUCACUAGCAUGGUUCUUCUGUAAUAAUUCUGGUGUUUGCUAAUUUUCAGUCUUCUGCAAGUUAUGAAUUGAGAAAGAACUACGCCAAGUUCUUCGAGGAGCUCGGUCCCAUUGAAUGUUUGCUAUUCCACAUCACAAAGGUGUUUCUCUACGAUUUCCGAGGUCAUCAAAGUGAUAUGGAAUUCCUCAAAUAUCUGGUCUCGAGAGCAAGUCAGAUGCAAAAGUUGACACUUGUGUUGCCUUUUGAAGAUCUUAAGCAUUCUGUGGAUGAGAAUAAGAUCAAGGUUCUACUUGGUGAACUACUACUGGAACCUGAAUGGGCUACUGAAACUUGUAAGGUUUUGCUUCUGAGGCCUGUAGCAGAGCUUGUUUGCUUCUUCCACAGGGCAUUUGAUCUUUCUAUUGAGGACCCGUUUCUCAAGGAUGAUGGGGAGGAGCUCUUCAGCUCCAUGAAAAGGAGAGAACAAGAUGUUAACUGAACAAGCGCCAGUAGAUGAGUUCACCAGUAUUGAGGACCCUUGUAAUCUGAUUGACAAGAAGGCGGUUAAAUGUUUCAGAAUCUAAACUUGUUUUUUGGGGUAGUAUUGUCAAGCUAAUCAUGAAACAAAAUCUGAACUGCGUUGCAUAGCGUCAGCAUUGCAGCAUGAUGGCUGUAUUUGUUGAUAUUCCGUAACUAUCUGCAGUUUGAUUCUGAAAGACUGACAUUUGAGACAGUAUAUUGCGUAACCCUCGUAUACUUACAUUAGAAUUUCACUUUUGAAAAUCAUUCCAUGUAUUCAUCACUAUGUGUCCUUUUGGUCUCUACGUGCAUGUGUUAUGAAUUUCAACAGGUUAUUUUUCCUGUUGCCCAGAGUUGCUAUUCUGGCCUGUCUGUGUUUGAAUCAGUGCAGAAACAAGAAUUUGGUCAUGAUGACAAGUACACCUGCAUCUUUCAAACUUUUCUUUCCAGCAUGUUGUAUGUAACAGAAAUUUAGCAUGUUUAUUCUGGGCAAUUGGUGAAUGUCUGUGCUUUGCCUGAUAUAUGUUGCUUUUGUCUCUGAAUUUUCUCUCAACUUGUUGCUUCCACAAAAUCUUGUUAGUCAUGCUUUCAGAUAGGUGCUGCUAGCACGUCAACUUAACUAUGCAUGCUUUACUUCCAGUAUUCAAGCUUGGCACAGUUUGCUCCUAGCAGGUUAACUUCAUUUCCAAAGUUUUACUGCCGUUUCAGCUUGGCACAGUUGCCAUCCUUUCUUCUUGCUUGCCUUACCUUGUACUUGAACAUGCAUACUGGGCUACUGGCCAUUUCAGAUGACCUAUGCUACUUGAACAGGCUGUUUGUUCUUGAGGGGGCACUGAAGGCCAGCUGGAUCUAUUUUGCAAGAACAUUCCUCCUCUCUGAUGGACCCUGGACCCCCUCCGCUUCAAUUUGAGACUCGCAAGGAGGCACCGGCCGGAAUCCUCUCCUAAUCGAAUUCGUCCCCUCCCCUGCAAAAUCAAAUCCCCAUUCCCCCCACCGCCACCGGCCGAAACCUUCCUCUCCUGUUCUCCGCACCGGCCGCCAUGGCAUUGGCCUUGUUUAGGGAAGUUAUCCUCCGUGACGUCCUGUCCUACCGCCCCGGCCUCGCCGUCACCAGGCGCGCCACCCUCCGCGCCGCGGACGGCGAGGACCGCAUCACCGCCCUCCCCGACGACAUCCUCGGCCUCAUCUCUCCCGCCUCCCCAUCGACGACGCCGUGCUCACCACCAUGCUCUCCUCCCGCUGGCGCCGCAUCUGGCACCGCGUGCCGCUCGUCCUCUGCGACGACCACAUCCCCGCCUCCACCGAAGCGAGCGCAUCGCCACCAUCGACCACAUCGCUCACACGGGCCCGUUCCAGUCCCUCGAUCUCGCCUGCUGCUUCAAGGAGAAAGAGCGAGAGCUCGCCCAGUGGCAGCACCUCCUCGCCGACCGGGGCGUCCAGGACCUCGUCUUCGUCAGCAUACCGGGAGAUUUGGACCUGCGCCUUGCCUCGGACAUCCUCCGCUGCGACAAGCUCCGCAGCCUCUGCCUUGGUUACUGGACCUUUCCGGACACGCCCAACCUCCCCGACGGUGCGGGCGCCUUCCCGUACCUCGAGAAGCUUGCCAUCCUCUUCACCAAAAUGGAGGACCGGGACCUCGACCACAUGCUCGCCUCCAGUCCGGUGCUUAAGACCCUCACGCUCGAGCCAAUGCAGUGGCGUGCCCAACCACAUCCGCCUGCUCAGUCAAAGUCUCUAGUGCGCGCUCAUCGUCAAAUCCGGGAUCAUGGAUCUGGCGGUGAUGGAUGUCCCAUGCCUGGAACGGCUCAUCCUGCAUGGUAAUUCUGUCAACUUACCUCUCAGGAUUAUUAGAGCACCUGAGCUGAAGGUGCAUGGCUACGUGGAUACCAAAGCCCACCGGUUUCAAAUUGGGGACAACGUCAUAAAGGUGCAAUGUGCUUACAUGAUUCCUCGUGUAUGGUUGUGUAAUUACUUGGUACACAUGUGCAUGAUUCAUGGGUGUUUUUUUUGUUGAAGGCUGACACUGAGGUAAGCCCAAGCUCCGAGGUCCCAAGUGUCAAGAUCUUAGCAGUGGAGGUGAAUUUGCAUAUCUUCAAAGAAGUUCAGAUGCUGUGCAGCUUCCUCAGAUGUUUUCCCAACAUUGAGAUACUACAUUUGGAGGUAACGAUUUGCAUGAUAAUUCAUUUACUUGUUUUUUUCCAUCAUCAUUAGCAUGGUUCUUCUGUAAUUUUGUUGUUUGCCAAUUUCUGUAGUCUGCUGGAGCUGAUGAACCCAGUGACAAGCCCGAUGCCGAGUUCUUUCAGCUGCCCAGUCCCAUUGAAUGUGUGCAAUCACACAUCAAGGAGGUGUUUCUCAAUGAGUUCCAAGGUCAUCAAUGUGAGAUGGCAUUCCUUAAGUACCUAUGUCGGAGAGCAAACCAGAUGCAAAAGUUGACACUAGUGUUGCGUGGUACAAUGCUUGACUCUGUGGAUAAGAUCAAGGUUCAACUGGAUGAUCUAGUUCUUCCAUCGGUCGCUAGUGAAGCUUGUACAGUUUUGCUUCUAGGGCCUGCAGUGGAUCUAUAUUGGUCCUCCUUCUAUAGGGCAUCUGAUCUUUCUAUCCAUGAUCCAUUUCUUUCAGAUCAUGAGAAUGAGCCCUUCAUUUCAUUAAAGAGGGAGAAUAAAGUGUGGAUAGAACAAACAUAAGUCCAGGAUUGUUUCACGACCCAAACUGUGCAGGGAGGAGGAAAUAAUCCAGAGCCUAGAGCUGAAGAAGAGGCCAUGGGCCGUGGCGAAAGGAUGAAGAAGCCUCUGAAGCGAAUGAAUCUGUGAAGACCUUGUAGUGGCAGAGCCCUGGUCGAUGUAAUAUAGAUACUGGAGAGCUCGUGAGAAAGGGUAUUGUUGAUGUCAUGAGUUAAUAAACUCAGACCCUAGCUUCUAUACCAACUUCCCUGUCUGCCUCGACUGUUCCAGACUUCCCAUCGAAUUUUACCAUAUGCCUAUCCAAUUAUCAUGUUUUGUGUUGAUUGAUCGAGAUUAUUGUGACGAUGGGAAUGAGAUCUUCAGUGACAUUAAAAAGGGAGUACAAGAUGUUAACUGAACAAGCACCAGCACAACACAGAUGGAGAUGAGCUCACCAGUUUUGAUGAGUCUUGUAAUCUGAUUGACUAGAAGGUGGUUAUAUGUUUCAGGGUCUAAGGUAGCCUUAUAAGAAAGUAUUGUCAUUCUGGUCAUGAAACAGAAGAUAUGAACCGUGUUACAUAGCGUAAGCAUCAAAUUGUGCACUAUGAUGGUUCCCUUUAAGAAUUUUUGUUACCUUUAUGAGGUUCGUUACUAUUUACUACAUCAUAGAUACAUGUGUUUGAUGGUAUUCCGUAGCUAUCUGCAGUUUGAUUCUGAAAUAAUAUAGGGACAUUUGCAACACUAUAUUGCUUAAACCAUAUACAUUUAUGUUAGAAAUUUUCCCUUAUGAAAAAUAUUCCAUACACUCAUCACUAUGCAUUACAUGCCUAAUUAUGCAUCCAAGUUGAUCAUGCCUAUGUCUAUGAAGUGCUUCCUCAUUACUCCCUCUGGUUUUUUUACAUGUCACAUUAGGUUUGUCCUAAGUCAAAGUUAUCCAACUUUGACCAAAUUUAUAGAAAAAUAUAACAACAUCCAUACUACCAAAUAUAUGCUCUAUCAAAAUAUAUUCCAUGAUGAAUUUAGUGAAACAAAUUUGAUAUUGUAGAUGUUGUUAUAUUUUUCUAUAAACUUGGUCAAAGUUUGACAAGUUUGACUUAGGACAAACCUAAUGUGACAUGUAAAAAAGAAUGGAGGGAGUACUUUUGUGGCAAGGUCCUGAUUCAUGUGUUGACCUUCUCCGUCUGGUCUCUCUAUGUGUAUGUGUUAUGAACUUAAAUUGGUUAUUUCCUGUUGCUCAGAUUUAACACUCCUAUCUGUGUUUAUUUAGUUCUUAGUGCUGAAUCAGUGCAGCAACAAAAAUUCGAUCAUGUAUGACAGACAUCUGCAUCUUUCAAAUAGAACUAUUUUGUUAUAUGACUUCACUUUUGCUUUCUAUCAUGUUCGAUGUAACAAAAAUGUGGCAUGUUUAUGCUUGGCAAGUGGUGAGUAUCUAUGUUUUGCCUGAUAUAUAUUGCUUGACUGCAUUUCCUCUCAACUUGUUGCUUCAAGUAAGUCUUUCUAUACAUGCUUUUGUAUAGGUGCUGCUAGCACGUCAACUGGACUAUUCAUGCUGUACUUUCAAGUAUUCUAGCUUCGCAUAGUUAUGCUCCUAUCAGGUUAAUUAACUUCAGCUGUAAACUUUUUUCAGCUUGGCACAACCCUCUCUGUUUGCUUUCCAAUUAUCUUGUGCUUGAAUGUGCAUACUGGCCAUUUCAUAUCACGUAUGCUCUUUCUGGGGUCUGCAGUUUGGUUCUGGAAGGUAGUUACAUGUGCGACAACAUAUUGCUUAAACCUUGCAUAUUCAGGCUAGAAUUCCCCUUGCGAAAAUUAAUCCAUACAGUCAUCAAUAUGAAUUAGGUUUAUUUGCCUGCAAUGCAUCCAUGUAUGCAUACCUCUAUUAAGUGCUUCCUCGUUACAUUCAUAUGAUGAGAUUACCCUUUUGGUUUCUCUAUGUGUAUGUGUUGUGAACUUCAAUUGGUUAUCUUUCCUCUUGGCUAGAGUUACUGCUCCUAUCUGUGUUGAAUCAGCGCAGCAACAUGAAAUUGAUCAUGGUGUGACAGUCAUCUUCAUUUCCUGAAUGGAACUAUUUUAGUCAUAUGACUCCGCAUGUGAUGGAUGUUUAUGUUGUGCCUGAUAUAUGUAACUAUUUUCUGAAUGGACCUUUUCUUUCUAGCAUGUUCUAUGUAACAAAAACUCAAUCAAGUGAUGGAUGUCUAUGUUGUGCCUGACAUAUAUUGCCUGUCUCUGAAUUUUGUCUGAACUUGUGGCUUCAAGAAAGUCUUCCUAGUCAUGCUUACAGAUAGGCUCUCCUAGCAUGUUAACCUAACUAUACAAGCUCUUCGUUUUUCAGUAUUCUAGCUUGGCUCCGUUUGCUCCUUUAAAAAAAAUAGCUUCUAUUUCAGUCAUCCUUCCUUUUGGCUUGCCUUAUCUCUUAUUUUGCAUACUGCACAUUCCAAAUAACCUAUGCUAUUGCUGGAAUGUGGAGUUUGGAUGGUAUCUUCAGUUUAAUUUUUAACAGCUUAUGCCACAUGAUUUUGGUCGAUGCUUCUCGAGUAAUGACACACAUAGAUGUUUGUCAGUAUCCAUGGUGCAUGUUCUGAACUUCUGAUGAAGGGCGGUUUUAUCAUUGAUAGUCAGUGUUGAGUCAUGUUGGCUGCAAUCUGCAAGGCUUAGUGCAUUUGGUAAUUUUUCUCGCAUCUGGCCUAGCCUAUUUCACCUAGUAGUCUUUGUAACGAGUCCUGCUUCACAUAGUUACAGUUUCUCUGGCUGCCUGCUGUGAAUAAAGCAGUGACCCAGUAAAGGAAUGUUGGCUACCUCUGCCUUUUCUCGUUGUAGCAAGUUUUUUUUCUCCCUUCAGAGUUCAGAGGUUGCAUGUUAAGUUUGGACAGCCAGUAGCAGAGCGUGCUCUGCCGAAUAUGAAAUGCCAGCUACCAUGCCCUCCAUUUCAUGCGAAUUUGGUCUUUAGUCAUGACUCAUGAGCUCAUCUCUUGCCGAUAUUCUGCCAUACACUUGGAAUGAAACUGGACAUGUCCCAACUCCACAUCGAUGAUGGAUCACAAGCUAGGCGCCUAGGGCUCCGUUUUCUUCCACUGACUUAUUUUUAGCACCCGCCACAUCGAAUGUUUAGAUACUAAUUAGGAGUAUUAAACGUAGACUAUUUAUAAAAUCUAUUACAUAAGACGAAUCUAAACGGCGAGACGAAUCUAUUAAGCCUAAUUAAGCCUAAUUAAUCCAUCAUUAGCAAAUAUUACUGUAGCAACACAUGGGNNNNNNNNNNNNNNNNNNNNNNNNNNNNNNNNNNNNNNNNNNNNNNNNNNNNNNNNNNNNNNNNNNNNNNNNNNNNNNNNNNNNNNNNNNNNNNNNNNNNACUGAUCCAGGAAAUUAUAUCCUAGUAACUAGGCGGAAACUGUAGCAAGGACACAUUCACUUAGCAGUAAUUAAUGGGGGUCAUCAUGUAAAUUAUUUUCUCAGCAAAUGCAUAUGUAGAUUCACCAUUACACAAGAACGUUAGUGAUCGUACCUUCGUAACAUCCUUGUUCUUGACUCCAAGCUUCCAUUCUGAGAAUUAAGUAGCAAGAACUUGGCUUAAAGAAUGUAGAUGCGGUUGAGGUUCGUCUAAUGUGAUCGUGUCCCCUUAUCAAUCCUGUUUUACACUCCUAAUUAGUAUCUAAACAUUCGAUGUGACGGGUGCUAAAAAUAAGUCAGUGGAAGAAAACGGGGCCAAAAUUGCUAUGAAAGAUAGUGGCAGAAAUAUGCCUCUUGACUUCAGUAAUUAGUAGUAGUACAGCAUACUCAAGUGGACAAAUCAAAGUUUCGAUUGUUGCCUCCAAAAUAAAACAAAAUGAACGCCAAACAAAUUGAAGACCUUAACUGUUUUUUUUUUCUCGUGAUGAAACCAACCUUAACAAAUUUUUUACUUGAACUACAACUCUGGUCCGUUUGGUAGAGCUUCGGCUCCUUACAAAAUGGCUUCGGCUCUAACUCUUUUGGUGAAGUGGCUUCUCUAGUGGAGCUAAAGCCAUUUUGCAAAAUGUUUGGUAAAACGGCUUUUCAAUGGCAAUAUGGGUAAUUUUAUGAUCACUUAAUGCUUGAAGAGAGAGGAGAAGCCGGUGAAGCCACUUUUUUUGCUCCUCCUCUACAGUGUAAGCUGUUUUGUGGCUUCUCUCCAGCUUCGGUGGUGGAGCCAUUUUGAAAUUGCUCCUUUGAUAGGUGUCGAUGCGGAAUCCGACCGACUAGUAAAUAUUAGUAGUUUUGCCAUGGGUUGGAUCGGAUGUGACCUAACACUCAAUGAUAUAGGAUUUAUUCUGGUUCGGACAACGGGCUCUACGUCCAGUUCAGGAUCAGUUGGUUGACUAUAUUUCUGAGCCUAGGUGCUCAAAGUUUUGCAGUGAGGGUACAAACGAGUGAGGGAUGAGAAGGGGAUGUCCGAGUCCUGAUCGUGCUUUGGUCCAAGUGGGAGAGAGUGACGGGGGCUCAAACGUGCGCUAUGUGUUCGAGAGUGUUCGCCUAUGUUAGAUGUGGAGGGUACGUCCCCUUUUAUAGUGCAAGGGAUGGCCUUACAAGUCAGAGAGAGAGUAUGGGUGCCACCUAGUCUUGCUGAUGCCCACAUCAUCGGGUACAGUAUGGCCACUGUCCUCCAUCCUUGUUCAUCUCGUCAGACCACUCCAUUGUAGCGGGUAGGCUGUGGCGGCACUGUGCAGGGCGUGCGCAGGGUAUGGUGUGGUACGGUCCUUUGUACGGUGGUUGAUCCAGGCGCUUUUUCUUAUCCGUUCCACCUACUCCAUGAGCCCACAACGAGCAGGCGUUCCCGGUAGGUCCCAACCGUGUCGGUCGGGGGGAGCGGUGUGCGUCGGUACGGCACAUCUCCGGUCGGGGGAACUCGGUCGGAGUCGGAUUGUAGUCCUCACCCUGACCAGGCCUUGCGGUCCGGGUGCCGACCAGACCUCCUGGUCGGAGGUGCUGAUCAAUCGCCGGAUCUUGAUCUCGGCCUGACGUUGCGUAGCUGGGCGGUCCAGGCGUGUAUUGUCAUUGCGCCUCCUUGUUGUGCCGAGCGUUGCGGAUAGGCGGGCCUAUUGGGACUUUGGGUCUAUGAACCCGUCAAUAAGACUUUAUCAAAAAUCCGUGGAGAAACACUUUGAGAAGCUUGAAUCUGGUCCAAGUUUAGCAGAUAUUAGGAAGGGGUAGCCGUAGCCUGGUUCGAACGACUGUAUCAUGGGCCCGCACGGAACUCGCUUUGGCCCACCAAGUCAGCAACCGCCAUAUAUACACGACGAGCUCGAACGAAACGAAAUCACUAUUUCCCCACCGGCACCCACCUCCACGCCUCCACCCCCAACUCAAACCAUCUCCAAUCCGCGGCGCCCGCCAUGGACGCGGUCUUCAACUUAUCCUGCAGCACCCGCCCCACCGUCACCAGCACCUCCACCCUCGCCGCUGCUGCAGGCGUGGGCUACGACGACGGCAAGGACCGCAUCAGCGCCCUCCCCGAAGACCUCCUCUACGACGUCGUCUCCCGCCUCCCCAUCAGGGACGCCGUGCACACCACCACGCUCUCCAACCGCUGGCGCGACAUCUGGAGCUCUGCGCCGCUCGUCCUCUUCGACCAGGACAUAGACAUCGACCCAGGGCCCAAGCGCGUCUCCGUCGUCGACAGCGUCCUCGUGAGCCACCGGGGCCCGUUCCGCUCCGUCGACCUCUUCUCGUGCGACUCGAAGGACCACGAGCCCGAGCUCGCCCGGUGGACGCGGAUCCUCGCCGAGAGGGGCGUCCAGGACCUCGUCUUCAUCAGGCCCCGGGUGACCGUCGACAUGGCCCUCCCCGCCGCGAUUCUCCGCUGCGACAAGCUCUGCCGCCUCCACCUUGGUUUCUGGGAGUUUCCGGACACCACCAACCUCUCGAACGGCGUUCCCAACUUCCCAAAGCUUCGGGAGCUCAAGGUCUUCGGCAUUCUCAUGGCGGACGGGGACCUCGACCGCAUGCUCUCUUCCAGCCCCGCCCUCGAGAAGCUGGCGCUCGACAUGAGCCACCGCCCGCCAAAGCAUGUCCGUCUCCUCGGCCAGAACCUCAAGUGCGUGAUCUCCUAUGGUACAAUUGCAGUCGAGGUCGCCGUAGUUGAAGCGCCGUGCAUGCCUGGAGCGACUCGUCCUGUGGGAAACUUAUCCUUAUUCUGAAGUGGAUGCCUCUGAAGAUUCACAUGUGGGGGUCAGGAUUGUUCAAGGCGCACCUGCGCUGAAGGUGCUUGGGUACUCGGAUACAAGAGUCCACCAGCUCCGAUUUGGGGACAACGACAAAGUCAACAAGGUGGCGUCUGAUGAUAUGAUGCUCCUGUGUAUGAUGAUCACGAGAUUGCGCGUGUUCUUUUUUUAGAUAGAGUUCCGAGACUUCAUGUUCUUUGUAUCUGAUGAUAUAUGAUUUAUGGUUUGCAUUGCACUGCAGGUGCAGGCUGGCACGAAUGCAAGCCCAAUGUGCAGGGUCUCCAGUGUCAAAAUCUUAGCAAUAAAGGUGAAUUUCUUUGCAGAAGUCCAGAUGCUGCCCAGUUUGCUCAGAUGCUUUCCCAGAAUCGAGGUUUUGCACAUAGAGGUAACUGUUUACGUGAUACUUUCACUACUUCAGUUAUUUGGGCGUUUUUCAUCUUUACUCGCUUGUUUCUUAUGUAAUUGUGAUGUUUGCUAAUUUUGUAGUCUGCUGUUUCUGAUGAAUCGGAUGAAGAUCACAUUCCCGAGUUCUAUGAGGAGCUCAGUCCCGUUGAAUGUGUGCAAUUAUACAUGAAAGCGAGAUGGCAUUCCGUAAAUACCUAGUCCUGAGAGCAGAUCAGAUACAAAAGAUGACACUUGUGUUGCCUUAUGAUGAAAAGUUUGAUUCUGAGGGUGAGAAAAUAAGAUCAAGGUUCUACUUGGUCAUCUACUUGAUCAAGAAUGGGCUAGUGAAGCUUGUACAGUUUUGCUUCUGAGGCCUGCAGCAAAGCUUGUUUGCUCCUUCGACAGGGCAUUUGAUCUUUCUAUCGAGGACCCAUUUCUGUUGAACGAUGGGGAGGAGCUCUUCAGUGACAUUAGAAGGAGACAACAAGAUGCUAACUGAACAAGCACCAGCGCAACACGGAUGAACUAAUUCACCAGUUUUUUUGACCCUUGUAAUCUGAUUGACUAGAAUAUGGGUUCAGGCUCUGAACUUUAUUCUGGAGAAGUACUAUUCUGAUCAUGAAACAGAACAUAUAACUGUGUGGUAUAGGGAAAGCAUCAAAUGUUGCUGUAUGAUGGUCCACUCAAAGAAUUUCCAUUACCUACAUAAAGUUCUUACUUUACUACCACUUCGUAGAUAGAUAUAUGUGCUUGGUGAUAUUUCUUAGCUAUCUGCAGUUUGGUCCUGACUUCAGAAAGAUAGUGACAAUUGAGAUAAUACAUUGCUUAAGUCUUAUAUAUUUAUGUUGGAAUUUUCCUUAUGAAAAUCAUUCAAUAAAUUCACAAGUAUGCAUUAGAAUUGUUGCCUGCAUGUUAUGCAUCCAGGCAUGCACCUCUAUUAAGUGCUUCUUCAUUACUCCUGAUUCAUAUGUUCGGCUUAAGACAGACAUCUUCAUCUUCUGAACAGAAACAUUUUGGUCAUAUGACUUCACUUUUUCUUCCUAGCAUGUUCUAUGUAACAAAAAUUUAGCAUGCUCAUGCCUCUGAAUUUCGUCCCAAAUUGUUGUUUCAAGAAAGUCCUUCUAGUCAUGCUUUCAGAUAGGCUCUCCUAGUAUGUCAACUUAACUAUAGAUGCUACCUAGUUCCGAGUAUUCUAACUUGGCUCAAUUUGCUCCUAGUAGAUGCCACUUCAAUUUUUAAAUUUUAACUACCAAUUCAGCCAUCCUUCCUGUUGCCUUGCCUUAACUCUUACUUCGCAUACUGACCAUUCCAGAUAACCAGUGCUAUUGCUGCAAUCUGCAGCUUGGAUGGUAUCUCCAGUUUAAUUUGUUGUAACAGCUUAUGCUACAUGAGCGAUGCUUCUCAAGUGAUGACAGAGUUAGAUGUUUGUCAGUAUCCAUGGUGUAUGUUCUGAACUUCUAAUCAAGGGUGCUUUCUCAUUGAUAUAUAUUCAGUGUCGGAGUCAUGUUGGUUGUAAUCUGCAAUGCUUUAGUUCAUCUCUUGGUAGUUAAUUUUGCUCAUCUGACCGCCUACUUCAACGCAAUGUUAGAGUCCUGCACAUAAUUACAGUUUCUCUCUGGCUGCGAAAGCUGUAAGCCAGUGACGCUGAAUGUUAAGUUUAGACUGGUAGUUUCAGAGCAUGCUCUGCCGGAUCAGGAUUCAGGAAACACCUCGGAAUAUUCCUUGUUUGGAUGCUGCACGGCAAUGAGCGCGUCCUCGUAUUUUCCGGGUACAAACACAGCACAUACGCGGCCGCGGGUCCGUGUCGAAGGGGGAGGGCCCACCAGACAGUGUGUGAUCGAUCGAGGGUUUAAAGUGCCCUGACUCCUCUUCGACUUGGGCUAGAAUUGGAAUAGCCACCGCCGCUGCUGCUGCUGCUUUCCCCUCCCUCCCUCUUCUUCCACCUCGCCCGAUGCCCCUCCCCUUUCCCCUGCGCGCUUCGCUCGAUCGCAGCAGGGCUUCACCGCGUCGUCGCGCCGCGGGACCGAUCGAGAUGCACGCCCCGAUCCUCGCGCCGCACCCGCCAGCGGCGAGGGGCUCGCUGAAGAGAGCAGUGGACGAGGAGAUCGAGGCCGACUCCGCCGCCUUCUGCCGCACCUGCCACGAGCCCGGUAUGCACCUGCCUCGAGCCCGGUAUGCACCGAUCUCUCACAUCCCCCGCCUCGUUCGUUCCCGUGGGCUCCUUCCUCGCGCCUCUGGAUUAGCCGGGUUUAAUUGUGUUGGGACCCGGGAGGGGUUAAUUUUCGUGGUGAUCGUGCUGUGCUGCUGUUGCUGGUUGAUGAAGUUGCUUCUCCUUUGUUCCGGUGCAGGUGAUGAGAUUAUCUCGCCCUGUAGGUGCAAGGGGACGCAGCAGUUCGUGCACCGCUCUUGCCUUGACCACUGGAGGUCUGUCAGGGUAAUGCCUGCUUAUUUGCCUUAUUUUGCUCACUUCUGUCAAAUUCGAUCCACCUAUUGCGCCUUGUUUCUUAUCUGUCGUUUUUCUAAGCAAAGCAUAUAUAUCGUUGGAGUUUGUAUGGCAACAUGCCUUUUCUUAUUCUUAUAAAGCUUGUUCUCAGUUAAUUACUUAAUUUUAAUCUACGAAACGUACUCAAUAAACCUGUGGCAGCAGGUUUAAUGUGCUGACAUGUAUUAUGGCUGGCUACUUUUGAUGAUGAAAGCAUGGGAUAAUUGCUUGUUACUGAUUUUUUUUUCGUGAAUACGCAGGAGAGCUGCGUAUCUUUGUAUUAAGAAGAUGUUGUAAAAAGGAUUAGUACAACGCGGGCCGUCCGGGCGCACGCACACGGUUAACAGUUUAUUGUCUAUUACAUGCGAGAUUAACAAUCGUUUUAGAAUGAGACGAAGCUCAGUUUAUCGAUGAAGCCGUUCUCCCGUUGCUUGAGCUUCUGUCGCUGCCGGCCAGCCGAUGGUGACCAAAUGUUUGGCACCCGCUGCUGACCAGAGAACGGUUUCAUCGAUGAGCUGCUGUAAAAGCUGCGCCGGCUGCAAGGGGGUGGCUCUGCCAAACACCCUGUUGUUGCGCUCUCUCCAGAUCAUCCAGGAUAUAAGCAUUAUGCUGGAGUCAAUACCUUUCUUCUGCGUAGCGUUCAGGCCAUGUCUCAUUUGGAGCCACCAUUCAGUUAAGCUCCCGCCCGGCACUGGACCGGGAACGAUAGAGUGCAGGAUGGACCUGAUGAGGUGCCAUAGCUGUUGAGUGUAUGAGCAGCGAGCGAACAGAUGGUCGGAGUCUUCUAGUUCCUGAUCACACAAGGCGCAGGCGGUGCUGUCCUGUAAACCACGACGAUGGCGUCUGGCUGCUGUCCACAAGCGAUCUCUGCAGGCUAGCCACAUGAAGAAGCACACCUUCAUCGGCGCCCAUGCUUUCUAGAUCAAUGAGCCUGCAGGAGAUGUUUGUGAUCCGAUGAAGAACGCCCGGUACGCAGACCUUGCUGAAUAAACCCCCGAAGGCUCCCAUUUCCAAGUGAUAACAUCUUCAGAACCUGGCCUUAGCUGAACGCGCUGCAGUUGGUGCCAGAGAAGCACAUACGGAUGGAUGGCUGGCACUGUUAGCUGUCCAACAACGUCGGAAAUCAAUUUCUUGUCUUGCAAAGCUUCAGACACUAGGCCCCUGUUUCUGACUCUGGACUUGACAGUGUUGCAAAGAUCAGGAGCGAUGGAGCAUGGCGAUGAAUCACCAUUCCACCUGUCAAUCCAAAAUAAAGCUAGGUUGCCGUCCCCCAGUUGUACUUGAAUCGAGGCCUGAAACAUUUUCUGAAGCACGUUGUCAUUAUCAAACUGCAGAGCGAGGUUUCUCCAAGGUCUGUCAGGGUUGGCUCUUUUUAACCACAUCCACCUCAAUCUCAGGGCAUAGGAAGCAAUCGUAAGAUCUGUUGUACCAAGGCCUCCCAGUUCCUGUGGUCUGCAUGAUGCAGUCCAAGCGACAGGGCAUUGCCCACCAUGAGCCUUCUGCCUUGCAGCCCAGAGAAAGCUCCUUCGGCGCUUGUCAAUUUCACUGAUCACCCACUCAGGAAUCUUCAGCGAGAUGAAUGUGUGAGUGCAAGUUGAGGUCAUGACCACUUUUACCAUCGUCAGCCGGCCAGCUUUGUUCAUCAGUGAAGCUUUCCAGGUCGAGAUGCAGGCUGCUACUUUGUCUACCAGUGGCUGCAAGUGUACCUUUUUGAGACGGCCAACAGUGAGUGGGAGGCCAAGGUACUGAAUGGGGAAUUCGGAGAUUCUGGCUGGGAGAAAGGUGCUGAUUCUUUGCACCUGCUCAUCGAUACAGGCAAUGGGGGCUAUGAGGCUCUUUUGAAGAUUGGUGUGUAGCCCUGAAGCGUUCCCAAAGAAAGCGAGUGUUUCUCUAAUGGUGAUCAUGUCCUGGGCUGUAGGAGAAGCAAAAAUCAUGACAUCAUCGGCAUAUAAGGAGCAUUGGUGUUAGAUUGCCGUGUGUGCCGGUGGGUGAAGCACUCCUGCUUGUACUGCUUGCUUGAGCAACUGGUGUAGCACCUCCAUGACAAUGAUAAACAACAUUGGAGAAAGGGGAUCUCCCUGAUGUAAUCCCAGAGCAUUCCGAAUCAGUCUGCCUGGAUUGCCGUUGAGGAUGACUCUGGUAGUGGCUGAGGAGAUAAGUGAAGAGAUCCAAUCGCACCAUCUUGUACUGAAGCCCAUUGCCUGUAGGACUUGUAGGAGGAAUGCCUAGUUGACAGUGUCAAAGGCCUUCGAUAUGUCUAUUUUGAUUAGCAAGGUUGGUUUCCUGUUGCGGUGCAAAGUUCUUGCAGCUUGUUCCACGAACUUGAAGUUAUCAUGAAUGGACCUCUUUUGAAUGAAAGCACUCUGAUUGGUGUCUAUGAGGCGAUGCAAUUCCGGUGCAAGCCGGUUAGCAAGAAGCUUGGCGGCCAGUUUAGCAAAGCUGUGAAUUAAGCUGAUUAGCCAAUAGUCACCGGGGUGUAUUGGUUCUGAACUUUUGGGCAGCAGCGUGAUCUGAGCACCAUUCACCCGGCGCAGUUGUGCGCAGGCGUUUCUGUACAGCGCGUUGAAGGCUCCCAUGAUUGCUUCCUUGAUCACAGGCCAUGCCACUCCGUAAAACUCUACCGUGAACCCGUCUGGGCCGGGAGCCUUGUGAUUUGGGAGUGACUUCACCGUGCUCCAGACUUCGGCUUCAGAGAAAGGGCGAUCAAGCUGGUGGAGAUCAAUUGGCUGAAUAUUCAGAGCGGCGAGGUUGAUGAGCUCGGUUCUGUCAGAGGUGGUGCCUAGGAUGCUGUUGAAGUGCUGAAACAACAUUGUCUCCUUAUCUUCUUGCGUGACAGCCGUGUAUUCCCCGAGCUGCAGCCUAGUGAUGAACUUUUUCUUAGCACGAUGGCCGGCUUGCAUAUGGAAAAGACGUGUGUUGGUGUCCCCAUCACGAAGAUGUGUGAUGCGUGAGUGGAGUCAGAUCAUGGUCCUUUCCAGGGAAGAAAGGCCUAAGCUUUUGAUCUUGAGCUCUUUCCUUAACCGGUAUUCCUCCAAGGUGAGCUGCCUCUCCUCCUGUGCUUUGUCCAACCAGUGAACGAUAGUUUUGGCCACGAGCAAUUGCAGCUUGAUUUGUCCUACGUUCCUUUGGCUCCAGCUUUGGAGUUCCUUGGCAGUGUUUCUGAGCAUGGCGUCUAAACGUGUGAAGGGGUCAGUGACGAGCUCAGAACACGUCCAGACUUUCUGCAAAGCUUCCUCGAAGCCGGGCAUCUUGAUCCACCAGUUCUCAAAAUGGAACCGACGUUUUGCACUGAAGUUUGCAUUCGUUGCAAGGAGGAGCGUGCAGUGAUCCGACAUCCCUGACGCGAGCGCUUGCAAGAGGCAACCGGGGUAGUUUAGUUCCCAGUCCACCGUGACUAAGAUCCUGUCCAACUUUUCCAAGGUUGGGCAAGCUCUCUCAUUACUCCAAGUAUAUCUUCGCCCGUGCAGGUAUACGUCUUUGAGCUGCAGCUCGUUGACAAAACGUCUGAAGCGGCCCAUGUUCCUUCGGUUGAGGUAGUCAUUGCUUUUAUCGGAGGCACACAGGAUGAGAUUAAAAUCUCCUACGUUCAUCCAUGGGCCAGUGAUGCGGCUGUGGAUCGAGCGUAGCUCGUCCAAGAAGACGAUUUUAUCUUCAUCAGGCUGUGGGCCGUAUACUGAGGUUAGGCACCAUGGUUGAGUUUGGGCGCCCGUCGUGAUGGAGACAGUAACGGAGUAGUUCCCGGUUUCAAUGGCGGCACAGGUGAUUUCAGGGCUCCUGCACGCGAUCAGCACUCCACCACUCACACCAGAAGACGGCAAGUAGGAAUAACUCGCGAAGUUACUUCCCAACAUUUCAGAGAGGAGGAAGGGGGAGAUUACUGCCAGCUUCGUCUCCUGGAGACACACGAUGGACGCAUUCGCGUCGUGCACCACUUCCCGGAGAGAGUCUCUACGGGUUCGCGCGUUGAGGCCACGCGUGUUCCAAACUAAAACAUUUUAGUUGCACAAGUCCAUUGCUAUUGUCGACGUUGGUGCUUGAGCAGGUGUAGCGUCAGUGUGCGGCGACCGUUCCACCGGCCAGCGAGGUGAUUCUCAUCAGCUCGUCGUCAGAGAGGGCGUUCGCUGCAGGGAAGAUAUCCCUAAGCGCGGCAAAAUGUUUGGGUUGCAUCGUGGAGUGGAGGAAUUUGUCAAACUCAGCGGUGGACACUUGCUCAGCAUCUUGCUCGCGGGGAACAAUGCCUAGCUUCUUCAUGACCAAGAUUUCACCCUUCUUCGACAGCCUUACGGUGCUGUUCAGAGCCUGAUUGGCCAGGCGGCCACUGCGACGUGGAGUUGGCGCCGCUGCUGGGGUGGUGAUGGCUGGUCGUGCGGCGAGCGGAGCUUGCAGAGCAAGGCGGACGGAGUUGAGGAAUGCCGUCGUCCGCACGAGAGCCGCCUCAAAGCUGGGCCGGGCGGUGGGGGAGCUCACGUUCGUAGCAGGCGACGCCGUAGCCGCAAUACUGUGUUGAGGGCCCGCAACAGGGCACGUCCUGGGCGUGUCGUCCGCAGGCGCGGCGCGCCUGGCCGUGGUGGACUGUCUAGGUGCCGGCAUAGCAAGAUGGUCACCAUGGACUUGCAGCUCGUUACCACUGUCGCGCUGGGCAGCGUGCGGUGUAGGUGCGUCAGGGACCGAUGUUACUGAUAUAUCCAUAGUCCAUUGUUUGGUCAGCAUGGUAGCACUGAUUUUUUUCUGUCUUGUUAGAUUGCUUGGAUCGAUUGCUCGUUCUGUUCCUGUGGGGAUUUUCUUUGCCAUGAGUCCUCGAAUCCAAAUUUUUCUUUCUGGGAUGGGGUGCGCUGAGUCAUUCACCCACUUCGCUUUAGGUUUCAGUCAUUUGGUUAAUUUGAGUUAGCAAUAUAACUUCUGGUGACAGAACUUGUUACAAUUCUCAAAUAAAAACGCCUGGAUCAUGUAUCUAGCCAUAAUCUGUAUGCUUAAACAUGAGGUUUUCCAGUGGGCUGGUACAGUUCUAGAAUAUUGAAGCGUGUGCUUGUACUCAAGGCAUGUAGUGAUCAGUUUUUAUGUUGCUUCGCAUUAAAACAACCACAACCACAACAAGAGCCUGUAGUGAUCAUGUCUUUAUGUUUUCCACAUAUAUCAGUUCCUCUUAUCUUAAUUUAGUGUAUUAAAAACUUGCACAUCAACGCUGCAGAGAUAAUCAUCUGCAUCUAUUGCUUGUUGCCAUUGGUUGUGCAAAAUCUUCCUCAUUGACUUGUCAUCAUCAUUAAGAGCAUAGGCAUUGAUCUUGACAAACUGAAUCAAAUCAAAUUCCAUGUGUUUUCUGUGCGUGCUUUUUCUUAUCAAAUUAUUCUGAAUGUUGGACAGGAGAUGUGAUCAUUGAGCUCGUUUCUAGCAGUUAUAUAAGCCGAUAGCCAAACAAAUAUAAUAUAAGUAAUCAAAUCUGCUACUAGGAAGGAACUCUUUUUCUUUGUGAUUUGCAAGCAGUAUUGAUAGGCUGAUAUAUAAGGUAUGCAACCAUGGGCGAAGUUUGACUAAUAUCUCAAUCUUCAGCUUUAGCAGUCUAUCGGUGUCACAUAUGAACAUACAAGCAAUCUGAAUGUUUGUGCUACUAGCACAUUUCUGCAUCCUGAAUGCAGCUAAUCAUACCGGAAAAGGGGAAGCUGUAGGUAACUUCAUUUUCUUGUGAUCUCUUCUGCAAUAAGUAUUGUUGGUGUACUGUGUGUAUUAGGGCCCAAUAGGCCCAUGUAAGACAUCUAUAUAGCUACCCUCUAGGGUUAGCCCAUAAUCCAUCUAUUACCUUCUAGCAUGGUAUCAGCCUAGGUUUAGGGUUACCUGUGACUGGCUGGCGCCGCCGCCGCCGCCGCCGUCGCCGCCGCCGCCGCCGCCGCCGGCCGGCGCCAUGGCCGGCGACUCCUUCCCCCCUCCCCUCUCUUCUUUCCCCUCUCUCCUUCCCUCGUGGGCGCAGGUGGCGGCCGCUGACCGGCCCCCUGCGGCCGCGGCUCUGGCGGCCGUCGGGGCGGGCCUUACCGCCGCCGCCGCCGCCGACGGGGCGGUGUCNNNNNNNNNNNNNNNNNNNNNNNNNNNNNNNNNNNNNNNNNNNNNNNNNNNNNNNNNNNNNNNNNNNNNNNNNNNNNNNNNNNNNNNNNNNNNNNNNNNNGGGAACCUCGCGACAGCACUCGUCGCUGCCCACGCUGCCGCUGCCGAGGGACAGGGACGCCUGCGCGCGGCAGCCCUGGCCUAGGAGCGGGAGCGGGAUGCGGCCGACAUCUUGGCCCGUCAGAUCGCCGAGGCGGAGCAGCUCCUCACGAUGUCCCACGACAGCACGGCCACCUCCUCCGGCUCCGGUGCUCCCCGUCCGCCUGUGGUGGCCUGGACCGAUCCGGCCGAUCCACUUGUCGCACAGCUCCACUACCAGGCCGGGGGUGUCCAGAACAUCAAGAACUUGGUCCCCGUCGUCCUCGAUCCUGAGUCGCCCUCCUACGCCCGCUGGCGGGACAUGGUCCUGCUCGUUCUCCGCCGUUACGCCCUCGACGACCACGUCCUCACCGACACCUUCCCUGCGGCCCGGACAGCUGCGUGGGUUCGCCUCGACAGCAUCGUCCUGUCGUGGAUCCUGGGGACCAUCUCCCUCGACCUCCACGAUCUCGUUCGCGGCACCCCCGACACCACCGCCCGUCGGGCCUGGCUGGCGCUCGAGGGACAGUUCCUGGGCAACGCCGAAGCCCGGGCCCUUCGUCUCGAUGCGAGCUUCCGCACCUUCGUCCAGGGCGACCUCUCCGUUGGUGAGUUUUGCCGGAAGAUGAAGACCAUGGCGGACUCCCUCGGGGACCUUGGCUGGGCCGUGGAGGACCGGAUCUUGGUUCUCAACGUCCUUCGCGGCCUCAGCGACCGCUACGCCCACCUCCGCACCUGGAUCACCCGGCAGCGACCCUUCCCCACCUUCCUCCAGGUCCGGGAUGAUCUUGUCCUGGAGGAGCUUACUCAGGGCAUCCAGCCUGGGUCCCUUCCUGCGCCGGGGUCCGCGUCUUCCUCGACCGCGCUUGCUGUGACUCCACCGCCACGACCCUCCGCUUCGCCACCGUCGUCCCUUCUUGGUCCUCCCCCUCCUGGGCCGAGCGGGGGUGGGGGGGGCCGUGGCGGCCGCCGUCGCCGUGGUGGGGGACGUGGUGGGGGACGCGGUGGGGGCACACCGGCGGGCACACCGACGCCUCCACGGGGGUCUCCCUGGCCGUCCUUUACCCACCCAUGGUCAGGGCGCAUCUCUAUGUGGCCUUUCCAGGCCACCGGCGAGCCUCGUCCACCGGCCGCCAUGCUUGCUGGCGCUGUCCCAGCUGCUCAGUUCGCGUCGCCGUGGGCUCCUCCUCAGUUCGCGUCGCCGUGGGCUCCUCCUCCCGGGGCCUCGCCUGGGCCUGUUGGGUGGGACCCGACAGCCCUGGCACGCUCUUUCGGCACCAUGGCCCUGACUCCUCCAGUCGGUCAGGACUGGAUCGCCGAUUCGGGUGCCACCUUCCACACUACGCCCGACCCUGGUAUCCUCUCUUCCGUUCACCCUCCUUCUUCCUCCCACCCUUCGUCCAUCAUGGUCGCCAAUGGCUCGUGUCUUCCUGUCACCUCCGUGGGCACUGCUCACACUCCCGGUUCUUUUCGAGUCUCUGACGUUCUUGUUGCUCCUUCCAUGGUUCACAACCUUCUUUCUAUUCGCCGUUUUACCACUGACAAUUCCUGUUCUGUUGAAUUUGACUCCUCUGGUCUUACUGUGAAGGAUUUGGCUUCCCGACGACCUCUUCUCCGAUGUGACAGCACCGGGCCCCUUUACUCCCUCCGGUUUCCUGCGUCCACUUCUUCCGCUUCCGCUUCGCCCUCCGCUUCUUCAGCUGCUUUUGCCGCCACAGCUUCUUCCACUACAUGGCACCGGCGUCUUGGUCAUCCUGGUCGUGCUGUCCUGACACAGCUUAGUCGUAGGUCCGAUAUACCAUGUACUCGGGCUCAUGAUGAGCACCUGUGUCAGGCGUGCCAACUGGGCCGUCAUGUUCGACUUCCUUUUCCUACCUCUUCUUCACAUGCGACCCAUGUUUUCGACCUUGUACAUUGUGAUCUAUGGACAUCUCCUGUUCUAAGCAUUUCUGGCUACAAGUACUAUCUUAUUGUGGUGGAUGAUUUCUCUCAUUAUUCUUGGACUUUUCCCUUGCGUGCCAAGUCUGAUACUUUUCCCACACUUCUCCACUUCUUCGCGUGGGUGUCCACUCAGUUCGGUCUCACCAUCAAGGCCGUCCAGUGUGACAACGGCCGCGAGUUUGAUAACACCACCUCCCGUGCCUUCUUCCUCUCUCACGGCGUGCACCUACGCAUGUCGUGUCCCUAUACCUCCUCCCAGAACGGUAAGGCUGAACGCAUGAUUCGUACCACGAACGACACCAUGCGCUCUCUUCUGUUCCAGUCUUCUCUCCCUGCCCCUUUUUGGGCUGAGAGUCUUCACACCUCCACCUAUCUCCUUAACCGCCUACCUUCUGUUGCCUGUCCCGCUCCCACUCCACACCACGCUCUCUUCGGUACCUCCCCCCGUUACGAUCACCUUCGGGUCUUCGGGUGUGCGUGUUAUCCUAACACCGCAGCCACCGCUCCUCAUAAGCUGGCUCCCCGUUCGACCCAGUGUGUCUUCCUCGGGUACUCCCCGGAUCACAAGGGGUACCGUUGCUUUGACCUCUCUUCUCGGCGGGUCCUCAUCUCUCGCCACGUGGUGUUUGACGAGUCCGUCUUCCCUUACUCCACCACCACCCCACCUCCUUCCACCUCCGACCCUAAUCUCUCCUCUCUGUUUCCCACUGACCCGGUGGACCAGCCACCGCUACCGUUCUGUCCUGCAGGUACUGCUCCGCCGUGGUUCUCCUCGGACUCGACGUCCACCGGUACUGUCCCUGACCCUGCGCUCAGCACGGGUCCGACGGUGCCGGCCUCUGGUGCUGCUUCUUCCCCUUCGCCCUGCACGGGACCGGUGGCACCGCCCGCAGCACCUGCUGUCCGGUUUGCGCAGCCCGUCCGCGUCUACCAGCGUCGGGCGCGGCCGGCUCCACUGGACCUGCAGCCGGCCCCGCCACCGCCGUCGCCGCCUCCGUCAUCGCCGGUGGACUCUUCUCCACCUACACCACCACCACCUCCACCGGCCCCGACUGCCCGUGUCGCGCCGACGGUGUACCAUCCGCCUCUCCUACACCGACACCCGCGUCACGUUCACCCUAUGGUGACGCGACUUGCGGCUGGUACCCUGCAGCCCCGGGCUCUUUCAGCGAUGCCCGGCGCGCCGCAGGUUUCUCCUGUACCCUCCUCCGUCCGCGGCGCCCUGUCGGAUCCUCACUGGCGCCGCGCGAUGGAAGAGGAGUACGCGGCGCUCCUCGCCAACCAGACUUGGGAUCUGGUGCCCCGUCCGCCUGGCUCCAACGUCGUCACCGGCAAGUGGAUCUGGACUCACAAGCGGCGGGCUGAUGGUACUCUUGAGCGGUACAAGGCUCGCUGGGUUCUCCGGGGUUUCACUCAGCACCCUGGUGUCGACUACGACGAGACGUUCAGUCCGGUGGUCAAGCCAGCCACUGUCCGGACUGUUCUCUCACUGGCUCUCUCCCGCGCCUGGCCCGUGCAUCAGCUCGACGUCAAGAACGCCUUCCUGCACGGCACUCUGACUGAGACUGUUUACUGCAGCCAGCCAGCGGGGUUUGUUGACUCUUCACGGCCUGAUAUGGUUUGCCGGCUCAACAAGUCCCUUUAUGGCCUCAAGCAGGCCCCUCGAGCUUGGUAUUCGAGGUUUGCUGCCUACCUCCUGACGCUGGGCUUUGUGGAGGCCAAGUCCGAUACUUCACUGUUCAUUUAUCACCAUGGAGCUGAGACUGCUUAUCUACUGCUCUAUGUUGAUGACAUUGUCCUCACUGCCUCCAGUCCGUCCCUCCUACGGCGGAUCAUCACCUCGCUUCAGCAGGAGUUCGCUAUGAAGGAUCUGGGUGUGCUCCAUCAUUUUCUUGGGGUCACUGUUGAGCCUCGUCAGGCCGGCCUCUUUCUUCACCAGCGGCAGUAUACUCUUGAUAUCCUGGAGCGAGCUGGGAUGACUGACUGCAAGCCCUGCUCCACUCCAGUUGAUACUCAGGCCAAGUUGUCCGAGGCCGCCGGCACUCCUGUGACAGAUGCUACUGCAUAUCGGAGUCUGGCUGGGGCCCUUCAGUACCUCACCUUCACCAGGCCAGAUAUCACUUAUGCAGUUCAGCAGAUUUGCCUUCACAUGCAUGAUCCCCGAGAGCCCCAUCUCACUGCUCUGAAGCGCUUACUCCGUUACCUCCGGGGCACUGUGGACUACGGCCUCCUGCUUCACCGGUCUCCCUCCACAGAGCUUGUUGUCUACACCGACGCUGACUGGGCCGGGUGUCCGGACACUAGGCGCUCUACCUCCGGCUACGCCGUCUUUUUGGGCGGCAACCUGGUGUCCUGGUCGUCCAAGCGUCAGCCGGUGGUCUCCCGCUCCAGUGCCGAGGCGGAGUACCGCGCUGUCGCUAACGGCGUGGCUGAGGCAUCCUGGCUUCGGCAGCUCCUUGUCGAGCUCCACACUCCUUCUUCUCGGAGCACUCUUGUCUACUGCGACAACGUCAGUGCGGUGUACCUCUCCACCAACCCUAUUCAGCACCAGCGGACCAAGCAUGUGGAGAUCGACCUUCACUUCGUCCGGGAUCGGGUCGCCAUCGGCGAUGUUCGGGUCCUCCACGUCCCGACCACCUCUCAGUUUGCUGACAUCUUCACCAAGGGCCUCUCGUCACCCGCCUUCACCGAGUUUCGCUCCAGCCUCAACAUCACCUGUGGCUAGUUGCGUCUGUGGGGGGGCUUGUGUGUGUGCCUUUCUUUACAUGUCCAGUCUGCAACUCCGCUGCGUCGGUAGUUCAGACUGCGGGGGAGUGUUGGUGUACUGUGUGUAUUAGGGCCCAAUAGGCCCAUGUAAGACAUCUAUAUAGCUACCCUCUAGGGUUAGCCCAUAAUCCAUCUAUUACCUUCUAGCAAGUAUGUCUGGUUGCAGUUGUAAUCUAAACACACAGGACGAUGUUAUGCUUUGCAGUGGUUCUGAACUUCUGAUCUACCAAUCUUUCCUGAACCUUUAGGUGUAAAGCUGAGUGAUGCUUCGAAGGAGCUUGGGAAGAAGGUUGCAACUAGAGAUUUUGCUGUUAAGGUAUCCUAUAGGUUGUUCCCUCCUGUCACUAUUGUUUAUAUAUUUUUCCCUUAGCUAUUUCUUGAUGGCAUGUUUCUGUAUUUUUCUUUGUGGUUCUUGCCUCGAGUUCAAUUUUUGCCCUGUUAGAGAAUACGGAAUUAGAUAGGACAGGGGGGAUAUCAUUUCAAGCAGGUAGUUUGAGAACCAUGACCUUUAGUUCUUUACAUUACAGCUUCAUUAUUUAGUUCUGCCUUUAUUAAUGAUACUGUACUUGGUUAAUUAUUUUUUCUGAAGUCUGAACUUUAUUAUCAAUUGAUGGAGUAUUGGAUGCCUGACCUGUCCUACUUUUAUAAAGCAAUGGAAGAUUCUAAAACCCUAGCAUCUGCAGAUUGUUCCCAAUAAGAUUAUGUUUUGUUUCAGCAAUGAGGUUUGUUGUUAAAUAGGAUUCUGUAGCUGUUUAUCUGGGUUGAACACUAAUACAGAUAUCUCAAUCUCAUGUUAAAUCCUACCUGGUUAGGACUAUUGUCAUUAAAAACAUAAGUUUGACAUUCAUUGUUUGCAGAGUUCUACUUCUAAGUUUCUUUAAUUUGCAUAAUGAACAAUGCAAGCAAUCUAUAUUGGAGAAAAUUCAGGCAAAUCAAUUUGAGGCACUGGCCUCUGUUGAGGAAAGAUCUCUGAAAAAUAUGGGGUAAAUAGCCUGAAGUGGAAACCAUUAACAAAAGGCCGGGCAGAAAAGGAGUCAUCACCGGACCAUGUUAGUUUCAUUCUUGUUCUCGGACACACUACAGUACUUGAGUUCCAUCCUUGUGCUCAUUAUGGUUGGGUCCUCUGGUCAGGUAUAUGUGAUCCAUAGGAGUAGCUUCUUGUUUUGUUGGCUUUUUCAUUGUAAGACCUGCAAUUCGUUCUUUUGUUUCAAGCUCGUGCUUUGAUCCUGUAACUUCAAAUGUGAUUUAUUUAUGCAACAAGAGUGUACAGUCAAUUAUUGUUACCUAUCAAUAGAAGGUUACUCUCCUAGUGUGUUGUUGUUUUAUAUCUUAAUUUCACCUCAAUCAUUUCGAUUUGGAUGGAUUAUUGGUGGGUUAUAGAGCUUGUGUUUUAAUUGUCUUAAUUAAUUACUUUAAAUGUAAAUGUCGUGAAGUGCUUAAUAUGCCUUCAACAUUCAAAUCUAUCAAGCAUUCUAGGCUUUUAGCUUGUUUUUUAGAAUGAACUGUGUGUACCAAGGAUUUUUUACAUGAAUGUAUGGUUAAUUUCUCGAGAAUGAAUUGGAUUUGCUCUAAAUAUGUAGUCCCAGCUUACACCCAGGAGAAAACUUUGGCUUCCUUGAAUUCUAUGGCAAUGUUUACCAGGUCCAAUCAAUUGUUGAGAAUGCAAUAGUACUCUUCAAUUAUUGCUGGGUGUGGCCUGGUCCAGCACUCCACCGAGGAAAUAUUUGAACGCUUAUCAUGCGUUCAUUCAGGAAUGUAGCCUUUCUUGCAACUCCGGGUGGUCGUACACAAGAUGCAGUCCACUUAAAAAAUGUUUAUAGUCUGGUGUCUGGACAUGGUGUUUGCAGGUGCAAAAAAAGGUUUUGAGUACGAUAUUUGGUGCUGAUAGCAUUGCAUGGGUGAUGGGUGAGCUCCAGUAAGACAAACAUCACGGCUAUAUAUUUUUUUUCUCUCUAAAGGACACCUAUAUUGCUGGGCUGCUUGAUGCCUCUGCCCACGUUUGCUCGUAGCAACAGCAACGCACGGGCACAUUCCUAGUCUUCUCUUAAUAAACGAAUGAGCUAGACAUUUUUUUUGCGAUCUUUCGGGCUCCCACCCUUCGCUGUGCGUCUGCCAUCGAGCAAUCGCGAUCCUCGCUACGACUUGCGGGCGUCGAUCUUCCCCCUCGCCAAAACAAGAUCAACUCCGCAAAGAUCGCCUGUCAGUUUCUUUCCGUAACUUCUCCUGCUCCUUCUCUCUUUUUCAUCUCCAUCGCACCUCCGCGGUUCCUCCGCACGCCGUCCCUGUCGUCCAUCGUCGCCUACCCAUCCCUCGCCCGUGCCAACGCACGGCUGUCUGCAUCUACACGCGGUCAUUGUCAACGUCGGCGGCGCCAUAAGAGCCCCGCCACCACGCAUAAGAAGGAGAGUCAACAGCCGGCCUCUUCCCUUGCUUCUCGGUUUUUUUCUCUCCAACUGCACGCGAUCAGAAUCGAGCCUCCACGUUCACGCGACGAUGGCGCCGCCUGGUGACCAAGGCAAUUACCUCCUCGCGCGAUCAGUUGAGAAUACAUGCAUGUCUAGAUGCAUAUCAAAAACUAUAUACGGAUGUGCUAGCACCUGAACGUCCGAUAAUUUUUUUUAUCGGACGCUCCGUCGCAACAUUGAAAAAUAACUAUCAAAACAUAAAAAAUCAACACUUGCAACAUGAAAAUAUGCACUAAAAAUAGUUUUGGAACUCAUGCACGCCAUCCAUCUCAAGGAUAAAAAAUCCUCAUGUGGAACAUUUUCAUCAUGUUUCAUGCAACAUUCAUCAGAAGAUAAAUUUGCAACACCUUUACGUGCAUGAAACAUCUCGAAUCGCUUCGUACAACAUUCAAAACAGACACAUUGCAACAAUAAAAAUCACAAGUUGCAACAUCUCGAAUAGAAACAAUCUUGCGAUCCCGACCAAAUCAAGUAUUGCAACAACCAAAAAAAGCAUCUCUUACAGCAUUGCAACAACAAAAAAUCAUCUCUUACAGCAUUGCAACAACGAAAGAAAAAGAGGCCGAAACAAAGAAAACAACCAUAUGCAACAUCGUGAACAAGUUGGUGCAACACCCGAUUGCUAGCAAGUUGGACUGUUGCAAACAGAUGAAACAUCAAAAGCCAACUGUUGCAACAUCCAAAAAUCUCUACUACAACAUCAAGAGGUACCUAUCGCAACAUGGAGUCGUCAGUAGGUGCGCCGACAUGGGUGCCGACUUCUCCUAGCCGAAGACGCCCUCGCCGUCGACGAUGUAGACGAAGGCGUUCCAGCCCUCCAGGACGGGCUGGUGGAUCUGGGAGCCCGGGCGCAUGGUGAAGUCCAUGUACAUGGUCGGGGUGUGCGUGUCGAUGAGCACGUCCAUGCAGAUGACGAUGAAAGUGAGGUCCCAUAGAAAUCGAGCAUCAUUACAAUGCGGGAGUAGGCCAAUCAGUGUGUUGCUGCUCCACCGUAUUCCGCCAUGGCCUACUGCAUCCACAUCGCCGUGCCCUUGCAGCAGCCCCUAUGUGCAGCACGCCCCGUGGCACAACCCGCUGGCCGCUGCCGUCGAGGAGCAGUACCGAGUCCAGGGCACCUCGCAACAGGAUCUCAAGGGACAUGGUGUUCUUCUCUAUGGGAAAGGGAUAAGAGCAAAAGAAGAAAGGAAGGUGAAUGAGUGGUCCAGAGUUACCUGCACUUCAGGGCGCUUUCUAGUAAAAGUUCAUAUGGGCAGGGAUGAGACACGUAUUCAUGGUGGAAAGUUGGCCAGCGAGAUUAAUAAUUAAGCAAGCACUAUGAGCUGUGAGCGAGCGUCCAAUUUUGUAGGUUAGGUCGGACGACCGGGUAGUAGCAUUACCGAACUAUAUAUCUUGAGAAGCUAAAACGAAUAGCAAUCUGAUGAUCCGGUGGGAACUGGGAAGUAUAUAUAUAUUGCCUAACUACCCAUGUUAAUUCCUAAUUAGCCAGGAAAAACGGCAACGGCCGCGGAGUACUCUUCGCAGGCGCCGGAGGAAGCCGCUGCCGCUCGGAGCUUGCCGUCGCCAGCCACACAGAGACCGUGCCGCUGCCGCUUCUUCCCGUGCCUUCUCUGGCCAAGUCGCAUAUGGCCACCGCCCGUCGUAUACCUAGGUGAGCAGCCCCUAUGAUCUUCCUCGGCGCAACUUCUGGCAACCCUCACUGAAGCGCCAGCAAGUGAGCGUGAGCCACCAUUACCAAGGCUAUUGGCUGAUGUCCUUUACUGCAGAAGAAGGGGGAAGCACGCGGAGAUAGCUACAUAGUCACAUAGGGAAGCGACGAUGGCUACCUACGAAGGUGCGGAGUUUAGUUUGUUGUCCUCCACGUCCCUAGCGAGAUGCCCAGUCUAAAUGACAGGGAGCGGGGCAUCAGCCAUCUAAAUGAUCUAAAAUUGAUUUCACUUAACCUUCUUUCACUUUUCUAAGUAAAAUAAAGAACGAACUUUGAAAUUCCUCUGAAGCACGUGUGUUUCAUGACAUGGAUGCAUUCAAUUUUGAGUGUUUGUAACGAAACAGGUGUUAUAAAUUUUAAGUAUCAAUUGCAAACAUGGCCAAAUGUUAUUUUCAUAUCCAAGGCAGGGAUCACUUAUAAGUCUAUGUUAUUUUUUUUAACUCGUCAUUGGUCCUUUAAGAUAGUAGAUAGGAGAAGCUUGUGCAUGUGCUCAAGAGAGCAACGCUGAUUGGAGAUGUAAGAUUGAUACACAUGUCACUGUUAAUUUAACAUUUUCACAGGUUGUGCCAAAAACAAUACGAGUGCAUCUGCAUGUGGUCUAUGGAGAAGCUCUGGUACUCACUGUGUUGCUGCAGUUCCUUCUGUAGUGAAGCUCGGGAUGUUGUUGAUCUCAGUCCUGACAAGCUGCCGCGGUGAAGCUUCAAAACACUGUUAGAAUCAAGUGCGCUUUUUCUAUGAUGUUGAACUGAAUUAUACUAGUGAUGGAAAAUGCUAAUCUCUGAUGGUAUGCAUUCAACUUUCCUAAAUGUAGUAGUUUAAAUUCCAUGGAGGUGCUUUAUGACACAUGUUUUUGUCAUGUUAAGGCACACAUGAAGUUAUGCUUUGAUCUUGUUAAGUUGAUGCUUGUUUCAUAAAUGGCUUGUGUUGAAGAACUCUUCUAGAUUAUGGUAAUUUUCCACCAUCUUUCACAUUUUAGAGUUUCCUUGUCGUUUUUCAUCUAUUAGUGAUGGACAGGGUCCUGGUUUCUCUUUACUGUUCACCGUUGCUUCCUUUUAGAAUUUCCUUUGUAAUUUUCACUAAUAAUUGGCCAUUGGUCACUGGCCUUUUAUGGGUGUGCAUUUGUUUAUUGUGUUGUUGUAUUGGUUUACUAGGAUCGUACCCGUGCCUUACUACAUGCAAAACAAAAAAUGAGUUACACUAUGUUAUAAAAUUAAGGAAUUAUGCAACUCAUGUUUCAACUCAAAGUUUCAAAUUAUACAACACAGACAUUUGUGAUCUUUUUACAUUGCCUAGAAAGAGCAGGAAAGGGCCAUGCCACCAUAGGAUGGGUGAUGUGCUGCCUCCUCCAGGCGUCCACUGUAGCAGCACGUGUGGAUCAGAUUCCAUCGGCUCCCGCAUGCCGGGCUACGCCGGCCGCCGCGCGAACGGAGGCCACUCCUGCUCGGGGUCCGGCUGCGGCGGCGGGCAGUUAGGGCUGAGCGCAGAGAGGCGGCCGUGGACGCGAGCGCAGACGGUGAACCCGGCCAGGGGAUGCCAACGGUGGCAAGGGCAGCUUGGCGGGCGGCAGCGGGGUGGACUGCGAGCCGGCCGACUCUGGAUGAGGAUCGGGUAGGGUGACGGAGUGGAUUAGGAGACGGAUUUUGUGGGAGCAGGUGCGGAAACAUCUUCAGCAGGACGAAAGGGUAGGCAUAGCUCGCGCGAAUGACGGACAUCGGACGGUGAUACACGCGAGUUGGCGAAGCGAAAGGUCAGCCUCCCGUGGGUCGUACGACAAAAAAAAAGUCCCCUUCUUACGUUUUUAGUUGGAGAGGAGAGGAGAGAUUUGCAAGUAGUCAGCAGUUCCUGUGUUGGGUGGGGGAACUAUGCAAGUUCACUGUUCCUAUAUACCCAGAAUAGUUGACAAUUAACUACCUUGGUUUAAGCCAUGCAUUUCUUUUAGUAAUCACAUAUUCCUUCAAAUAUGUUUGGAGUCCAUCUUACAUACAAUCAUCCAUAUAUUAUUGGAAAAAGUCCAAUUUACUACCUUCAAGUAUGGCAUAGGUCCAAAUUGUUAGGUGCAUGCCUAGGAUCUCUAGAUGCAUAUCUAGUUGGGAUCAUAAUAAAUAUGAAGUUCUUGGGGUUUCUGGUGUCAACCGAGAGUGAUAGAGAGAGAGGUAGGGGUACCUUCACCCCUAGGGGUGGAAGCAGCAGAGCUGCUGGCCAUCGCUGGUUCUGUUCUUGAAGAUCUGCGCAAGGCAGCGACGCGGAGUGCAGUUGCAUUGCCGGCGUGGUGGCGGCGGUGCUUCCCGUCGCUACUACGCAAGACCUAGAUCGGUAGGUGUGUCGGUGGGGCGGCUGGCAGCGGCAAACCUCGUGAGCCGAGCCAUAGCCCCCACCCUGUUUAUAUAGCGCAGCGCGACAGGGGCCCACCACCCAAUGCUAGGGUGGGCGUCCCCGAUCAGGGCGCGGAUCAGGGUCCCGAUGGGCCUUUGGGCCCAUUGGGUAGGAGAUCAAUCUAACAUUCUCCCCCUUAUCUCAUCAUUCACUUUUAACUUUAAACUUUUCGCUUUUAUUCGUUUCAUCAUAGAUUAAUGUGUAGAGCAUGCCUCAUCGUCACAGCUCAAUCGCCGAUAGAAUCAACAGCUACAACACACCUCUCUAUUUUGAAACAAUUCUAUUUCUUUUGGGCCUUUACAAUCCAGGAAUCAUAGGCUUUCCCUUAAACCCAUGCCGGCUAAGUGUUCUCUGAACACAUUGGGUGGUAAGCCUUUCGUAAGUGGAUCCGCAAGUAUAUCUUUUGUUCUUAUAUGCUCGAGAUUUAUAGUGCGAUCCUGGAUUUUGUCUUUCACAACAUAAAACUUUAUCUCAAUGAUUUUUGAAGCAUUACUUGAUUUGUUGUUCUGAGCAUAGAAUACUGCUGGCUCAUUGUCGCAAUACAUCUUUAGUAGUCUGUGAAUACAGUCAACCACUCUCAAUCCGGGUAUAAAUUUCUUUAACCACAUCGCCUGCCCCGCCUGCCCUGUGGCCUCAUGACAUGCUAUAAAUUCUGCAUGCAUCGUGGAUGACGCAGUUACUUUCUGUUUUGAGCUUCUCCACGAGAUAGCUCCUCCUGCGAGAGUGAACACGUAACGAGACGUGGAUUUUCUAUCAUCUUUGUCUCCCGCAAAAUCUGCAUCUGAAUACCCUUUUAUCUCUAGGGAAUCAGAUCUCUUAUAUGUAAGCAUGAGUUUUUUUGUGCCUUGCGCAUAACGCAAUGCUUUCUUUACCAUUUUCCAGUGUUCUACACCUUGAUUACUUUGAUAUCUUCCAAGAACCCCAGUAACAAAAGCUAAGUCAGGGCGAGUACAUACUUGAGCAUAUUGUAGGCUUCCGACAGCUGAAGCAUAUGGAACCGCUUUCAUUUGAUCGAUCUCGUACUGGUUCCUGGGACAUUGAAAAUUCCCAAAACUGUCACCCUUGACUAUGGGAGCAGGUGUGGCUUUACUCGCAUGCAUUUUAUACCUCUUUAGAAUCUUUUCUAAAUAUGCCCUUUGCGAUAAUCCAAGAACCCCAUUCUUUCUGUCUCAGUGAAUUUCUAUGCCCAAAACAUAUGAUGCUUCACCGAGAUCCUUCAUAUCGAAAUUUGAGGACAAAAACUUCAUUGUCUCUUGCAGUAGACUGAUAUCACUGCUCGCAAGUAAGAUAUCAUCCAUAUACAGAAUUAGGAAAAUGUAUUUCCCAUUUUUGACUUUGCAUAGACGCAAUUGUCCUCUAUGUUCUCUUAAAACCCAAAUUUCUUAAUUAUAUCAUUAAACUUUAGAUACCACUGUCUAGAGGCUUGCUUUAAUCUAUAAAUAUAUUUCUUUAGAUGACAUCCCAUAUUCUCUUUGCCUUCCAUGAUAAAACCCUUGAGUUGUUUCAUAUAGACAUUUUCUUCUAAAUCCCCAUUUAGAAAUGACAUAUUUACAUCCAUCUGAUGUAACUCUAAGUCAAAAUGUGCAACCAAUACCAUUAUAAUUCUGAAAGAGUCUUUACAUGAGACAGGAGAAAAAGUCUCAUUGUAAUCUAUUCCUUCUCUUUGUGUAAAGCCUUUUGCCACAAGUCUCGCCUUAUACCUUUCUAUAUUCCCUUUGGAGUCACGUUUAGUCUUGUAGACCCAUUUACAGCCUACUGUUUUGGCUCCUUUAGGAAUUUCUUCAAGUUCCCAAACUUUGUUGGAACUCAUCGAUUUCAUCUCAUCUUCCAUGGCCUCUAGCCACUUUGAUGAGUGAACGCUUUUCAUGGCUUCCUCAUAUGAAGUGGGAUCACCUUCUAUAUGAACUUCUUCUGUAUUAUAAACUUUAUAGUCAUCAGAAAUAGCUGAUCUUCUGACACUUUGAGACCUUCUAUGCCCCUCACUUUCGGGCACAUUCUGUGCCUCUGCUUGUGGCACAUCAUCCAGAGGUGGCUUCUGCAACUCUUCCUCAUGUGUAAUGAUGGGUUCAAUUGGCUCCUGAAGGACAGGUUUCAAAUUUACACUCAUCGUUUCCAUGGGUGGAAUCACAGCAGGUGCUUGUACCACAAUAUUAGGAACUGUAGCGGGUGCUUGCACCACAACCUCAGGAACUGUCGGUGCGGGAACAACAGGUAGUGAGAAGAAUGGUUCCUGAAUCAUCGGAUUGGGUGCACACACCCGCUUCUCCUCGAGAUCAAUCUCUCGAGGCACCAUGCUCCCCCUCACCAUUUCAUCCUCUAAGAAAAUGGCGUGUCUCGUUUCCACAAACUUUGUAUAUCUGUCUGGACAGUAGAAACGAAAACCUUUUGAUUUUUCCAGAUAGCCAAUGAAGUGGCAGCUUACUGUUUUGGGAUCUAGCUUCCCAAUAUUUGGGUUAAAUACUUUGCCCUCAGCUGGGCUCCCGCACACACGCAGGUGGUUUAGUGAGGGUACUCUUCCUGUCCAUAGUUCAUACGAUGUUUUGGGCACCGACUUACUUGGCACUCUAUUUAGAAUGUGAAUGGCGGUUUUCAACGCCUCCAUCCACAGUCCCAAUGGUAAGGUGGAAUAACUCAUCAUGCUGCGCACCAUAUCCAUUAGUGUACGGUUACACCUUUCAGCUACUCCAUUUUGCUGAGGCUCGCCCGGCAUCGAAUACUGGGCUACUAUGCCAUUUUCCUGCAAAAACCUCGCAAAAGGUCCAGUAACUUGGCCAAAUGGGGUAUGUCAACCAUAGUACUCCCCCCACGGUCGGAUCUUACUAUUUUAAUUCUUUUAUUAUGCUGAUUUUCAACUUCAGCUUUAAAUAUCUUAAAUUUAUCCAGCGCUUCUGAUCUUUCUUUAAUUGGAUAAAUAUACCCAUAACGGGAGUAAUCGUCUGUAAAUGUUAUGAACGAGUCAUAGACAUCCACGCUUUUCACAGAAAAUAGUCCACAAAUAUCAGUGUGGAUUAUCUCUAAAACUCUUGUGCUACGUUUAACGCCUUUUUUAAUUUGCUUUACAAACUUUCCUUUAAUGCAAUCUACGCAUUGUUCUAAGUCUGAGAACUCUAAUUGAGGAAGAAUUUCAUUCUUAACUAGUCUUUCUAUUCUCCCCCUCGAAAUAUGGCCUAAACAACAGUGCCAUAAUUUCGACGAUGUUUCAUGACUCUUUCUUUUCUUUGUUUCUUGCUCUGACGAGGAUACAUUCAUAUUCACAUCACACACAGAAUUUACUUUUUCACGCAGCGAUAAUAAAUACAACUCAUUGUGAAGGAUGGCAACUCCAACACAUGCAUUAUCAAACCAAAUGGCACACUUUCCAUUUCCUAAAUGACAUUCAUAUCCAUCAUGGUCCAUACGUGAAAUGCUAAUCAAGUUUCUGUGUAAUGAAGGAACAUAAAGUACAUCUCUAAGUAAGAGCAUGAAACCAUCAACUAGCUCUAGAGAGACAUUGCCAACAGCUUCAACGUCUGCUUGGACUCCAUUUGCGACUUCAACGCAUCUUUCGCUUCUUUGCAUAGUCCUCGUCGAACGGAAUCCCUGUAAAGAAUUUGCAACAUGAACAGUUGCAUCUGAGUCAAUCCACCAAGUAUAUUUCGAAUACUGUGUAUACAAGGAUUCAUUUACAAAGGAGAUAGUGUUCUCACCUCUUUUUGCCAUUAUCGACUUUAACCAGUCGGGGCAUUCUUUCUUGUAAUGCCCCUUUUUCUUGCAAUGGAGACACUGAUCUUUGUCUACUGUGAGAGGCUUUUGGUGAUGCUACUGCAUGGGAGCCUUUCAUCACGCCUUGAAAGAGGAGUUAGCAUUCUUUUUCCUGUUGUCCUUCAUAUAGUGCAAUGAACCACCAUAUGAGGAUCUAAUUCUAUCCUCUUCCUGCACGCACAUGGCUAUCAUCUUUUCCAUGUCCCACUGUUCUGGCUGCAUGUUGUAGUUGACAACAAAGGUGUCAAACUCUUUUUGCAGGGAAGCGAAAACCAAAUGAAUAAUGUGCCCAGGCUUGAGCUCAAGAUCCAUUGGCUUCAACUGUGAUGCAAGUUAUACAUCCGAAAGAUGUGCUCUCUUAUGCCAGUUCCUCCUCCAGUGUACCUCUCUGUGGCCAGCUGCUUGAACAGCUGGGUAGCAUAUUGUUGGCGCUAGAAAUCGGUCAACCGAAUUCCCAGCGUCUGACACACGACCCGGGAGAAUCUGCUUAGCUCCUGUUCGGGUGAUCGCCCUAGUGCGGUUCGCGCGGCGUGCCAGCCAAUCUGACCUGUCGAUUGGCAAGGAAGAAUACGUGUCAGAUCCAAGAGUCGCGAUCGGCUAAAUUUCCGAUCUCGAGAGAGCUUAUCAGCGGAUCGGCCGAUUUGCCGUAAUAAAGAAAUAGGCUAUAGGGCAGCCGAUCACUGUAGCCUUGUAGACAGAAAACUACUGGAGUGAUCGGCGCAAUACUAUAGUGACAACACUAGGAAUAGAUCUAAUCGGCAAUAUAUAAAAUAGAUGAAUUUAAUAGCAGAAUAUAAGGAAAGCCGAAACCACCGAUUCCUAGCUGGAUAACUGGUGAUAAAACUAGAAAGACAGGUAAAACCUACGAUUCUAGUAAAUAUCGAUAACUAGUGAAUAAAUCUAAACGAAACAACAGCGAUACGCCCGAAGUUAAAGCCUAGAAUUUACUCGGUAAACGGAACUUACAAGAUCGGCCGGAGGUCAAGUUGAUGCAGCCCUGCCAACCCGUACGAACUCGUGAAAAGGGAAAGUAUUUGGCGAAGUCGCCUGCUUGAAAGUAAGUACGAGGAAAAAGUAGUUGGUUGUAUUGAUUUGUUCAUGAUUACAGAUUUACAAAGGUAGCUAUUUAUAGCCCCGUACGGAUAACUCCUUAACUGACUAGAAUUCUAUCCCUAAUUCAAAUAGAAAAUGAAUAUUUACAAGCACGACUCGUGCUAGGUUGGUUAUUAUACGCUUCGUGGGCUGAUCUCCCCUUCGUCCUUCUAUUCCUUUUCAAGCCCAUACAGGCCCAAUUAUCCCAACCUCCUAAUCGGCCGAUUCCUUAUCGGCAAAAAGGCAACCGAUUGGGAACCCAGCGCGUUCGAUCCGAAGCGAGGCAGAAGUCAUCGGCCGAUCUUGUACUGUAGCACCAUUCGGCCGAUUCCCAACUGUACUUUGCCAAUUCCCUCUCUUCUUAGCGCCGAUUUUACUAGUGACGAAAUCUAGCGUCAACACAUGCCCCCCAGUUUCGGAGUAAAACAUAGUCUUUUACUUCGAAAUUCUUUUCAACUUCUCCUCCGAAACAACCGCAAUGAAAAUAUCCUUCCAUUUCGCGGUCUUCCAGCUGAUGAUUGCAAUCUUUUCGAAACGGGCGCCCACGACAACCACUACUCCCGAAAAACUCGAAACGCCGGCACGGUAAAAAUUCCAAUUUUACCCCUCUUCAGGCGCCCUUUAAAUAGCGGUUCACCCCGCACUUCAUCUUUAAGCUCACGUCUUUCUUCCUCCGCGCGCGCGCCUUCUUCUUCCCUCGGCACUUUUCCCUUGUCACCGAAGCUUCAUAGCGCCAUCCUCCUGUUGCUUCUUCUCUUCCUCUCCAAUGGCGGCUCCUUCUGGCAGCUCUCCAGCGCGCGAUGCUCUGGAAGUAGCACCUCCGGUGGUAGUGGCGACGACAGUUGCUCCAUCGACAGAAGAAGGAGCUUCAUCGGAGAUCCCAAUGGCGAUCCCCAUCGCGGCCUCAUCGUCCGCAUCUGCACCGGCGAUCACGCCGACCACACGGAACUUCAUCCCAGAGGUUAUUAUCGAAUCCUUCUUCUAUCGGCAAUGCAUUUACUUUAGAUGUGUUCCUUACCUUUUUACACCCCCUUUCCUUUUUUAGGCGGUUAGGCAUCGCAUCACUAUCCAUCUUACGGGAAAUCCCGGCCUUAUUUGCCUCGAACCUAUGGGGAACCCAGAUCCAAUAGAACUUAUCAAUUUAGAAACCCAUAGAAUCCCCUUCAAACAAUCCGGCAUGGACCUGGAUCACUGGUUGGGCACCUUUAGGUCCUGGCCGAAUGAAACCCCAGGUUGGAGGGAGUGGUACCAACGGGUAGCCGCGUCGAAGAGUGUCUCAUGGGACGAGCUCAAAAUCGGUCAGUGUAUCAACCUGUCUUUAUCCCAGAUGGAGAGAAAUGAGCCGUUGGUAAUAGCGGCUUCUUACUUUUGGUCUAAUGCCCUCAAUGCUUUCUUAUUUGGUCAUGGACCUAUGACCCCAACACUGGCCGAUGUGGUUCUGUUGACCGGCCUUGACAUUUCUUCCCCGGACACACCUUUCUGCCUUUUAGCCGCAACGUCACAUCGGCUGGACACAAGGGGAAUCGGCGGGUGGAAAGGAUUCAUCAGAUGUAAUAAAAGAGCUGGGUCUGUUGAGAAUAGGGAACACACGACUUUCUUAAUGAUGUGGUUAGAAAAACACUUCUUUUGUGGAAGAGUAGCCGGCCCAUCAACCAACACCCAGGCUUUAGCCGAAGCACUGUCCGGAGGAACCCGUGUUCCCCUUGGGAAACACUUGCUAGGGGCGGCGUACCACAUGCUCCACCAAAUCGGCAUCAAACUAUCCAAGGGAGAGCCGAUCGGAAAUCCAGGCGAACCCUGGUGGUUCAUCAACUUAUGGCUGACCUCUAUAUGAGCAAGAUCACUCAGCAGAGGGUGGACCGUAUGAUGUUUCCCAACAUCGAAUCGGCAGAAGAUCCUACCGAUCGUCGCCGAUGCAUGUCUUUUGGUGAAGCAGCAUCGGCCUUUCCAGGUUGCACGUAUUCUGCUACAAAAGUAGCCGAGUACUUCCGAUGCUUUUACAACGGCUUUAAUGAAGAUGCAACCGUUUGGUUUCCUUAUCAGCGGGAUGACCCAAUCUUUGAACUCCCAACCUGCUUCGACUCAAGCACUGGCCGAUUCGACGAAGAACUCAACGAUGAGUUAAUCAAGCCAGGAAUCUUGCCAGCCAACUUCUUUUCGGGGAAAGAUGCCCCCACGUACGAGUUCUACAACCCCUCUCUUGCAGCACGUCAGUUCGGCAUGGGUCAGCUGCCGAUUCAAGUGUAUUUUGCUGGCCGAGUCAAGUUCAGAGAUGAGCUCACAACCGGUCUGGACUACAGUCGGGUACGAGACCGGAUUCCGGACUCCAACACCAUUGACCUGAACAACUGGAUAGUAGCUCCCUUUGCUGUCCAGCCAUUCAAACUCUGGUGGGCCGAAUGGAAACAAUUCCUCUUCUGCAAUUCGGCAUUGGCAUACUGCAACCUCCUGGAUCCAGCCAACAUUGACCCGAAUGCCGAGGUAUUUUCCUUAGCCGAUUUUUACUCCUCUUAACGCGACUGAACACUAAUGGUUUUACUAUUUCUUCAGGCCGAGAAUCGUACUCCUCCAACACACAGCCGGAGUGGUCGGCUAAUAGAGGGUCAUCAUCCAUACACCUCCUACCCUCUCAUCGGCUAUGAUGCUCCGUCCGUGGACGUGAUUGCUGGCCGAUCGAAACAAGCUCAGAAGAGAAUCGCCAAGAAGACCAGUCGCCGAGUCCGAGCCCGUAUAGAAUCGACGGAUCCUCCUAUGCUCGUAUCGGCAGAGACUCCGGCCGUGCCACCCCCUCAGGCCACCAAAGAUGACGAUACUCAAGUUGUCGCACAAGCUGGGGCAGCCGCCGCGUCAUUGUUGUUAGAGGCCGUUCAGGUAAACUUAUGUUUUAUUCCUCCCGAUUGUUGUUCUGAUAUUAAUCCUUCUUAUCUUAGACUGCACAGAGCACUCCCAUGGACACACAACAAUCGGCAGCAACCCAAUCGGCCAUCGAUGCGCCCUCGCUUCCAUCCGUUGAGGUAUAGCACUAUUUCACCGAUUUUCCCUGGUAUUUGCAUAAUAUACUUAUUCAACCUUCUGACACAGGUCAUCGGCACGCCAAGCGCUCCUCAACCACUGGUCUUCUCUCAGGGAGCUGGUCCAAGCACCGCGCCGAUCAUCGUGGAGUCUUCCUCUUCCGAUGAACCCAUGGUACAAGCCCCUGAGCAAGGCAUGACGGCUUCCCAAAUGCAACAUGAAGAAAUUUUCUUCAAAGUGGUAAGUUAUAUUCCGGCUUUAUUUAGCCGAUUUGCUUCCACCCUCAGCCGAUUUAUUUUUCCUCUUUAUUAUCUCCAGGAACAAGACACCCUCGACAACAGCCUCUUCUCUUUUGCGGUUGCCCUCUCCGACGAUGAAGAAGUCGCCUCUCGUCAAAUCGCCCUGAGCUCCUUCCCUGACGAUGUCCGAGCCAAGCUUACCACCAUCCGAUCCCUUCUUCAAGGAGAUAUCAGCCGAUUGGUAGAAGACGCUUCGCCGAUUCGUCAGCUGUUUGGUGACGUCAGCGGACGAGUGCCCGAAGAAGCGGAGGAAGCAUUGGCACCGGCCGCUUUUAUUGAGUCCAUGAGGAUCCCAGUCUUUCGAGCCCUUCGUCACAUGGCCGAUCGUGCCAAGCUAGCCAAGACUCGUGAAGGGGAAGACGCAUUCAAACGUCAAGCUCAAGAGGUGCACCAGCGUAUCCAUUUUCUGGAAGACUCCCGCCCAGGGAUCGUCGGUGAGAUAGACCGCCUCAAGCGCCGGAGGGCAGAGCUUGCCAAGGAAAUGGAGCAAGUGACCAAGGCAAUUAGCGCCGAAGAGAAAAGGCUCCAAGAACUUCCUUCAGACAUUGCCGAAUUGAAACAGGAGAGGCAGCACUUGGCCCACGAAGCCCUGAAGCUCCACCGUAGUGCGUCAGAAGUCCCUGGAUCGGCGGAUGAAGACCAACGGAUCCUGGACUCUGCCGAUCAGAUCCGGCGUCGGGCAAUCGCGGCUAUCGAUACCCUUCUGGGUAAUCUGUAAAGGCACUGACUAUUUGUACAAACCUUUAAUAACUACUUUGACCGUCCUUUGCGACGCCUCCUUUAUUUAUUGCCUUUCCUAUUUCCGACGGGACGCAUCCUUACCAAAUUUCCACGCCUCUUUUUCUUAUAAGUACCGGCCUAGGCACUUCCUUCCGAGAGCACCAGCUUGGCUUUCGGCUUUAUUCUCUUACCCCUCUCGUCGGCGCGGCCUUCUGUCAUGUCUUCGUCGGCUUCCUCCUCCUCUGUCAACCAGGUGAAACCUUGGCCUCGAUUCCCCUUUCUCUUUUUAGAUCUUGGGAAGAGGAUGCCCCUUUUUAAUUUUUCUUUGUUUCAGCCUCGGCGUCUUAGCCCCGAACUCGAACGCGCCAUUGAGCUCAUACAUUCUGAUGACCCGUUGUCGUCAGAGGAUAAGGACCUGAUCAGGGCUCAUCGUGACAAACUUCAAGAACACGUCACUGCGGAGGCCCGUCUGGUCUUGGACUUCCUGGACAGCAACGGUCGUCGGCGACCUCUAGCCGACAGAAGUCAUCCGCUUCCUCCGCGAGUCGCCCGUGAAGACGCGGCGGCAGGAACGUCACGCCCGGCUUUGGACCAGAGCCACCCUCUCCCUCGUCAAGUCGAAGCGGAGGCUUCGAUGAAGGAAAUAGAAGAAGAGUACACCCGUCUCAUGAUAGAGCUAGGCCAGACUGAGAGAGAGCGCAAGAAAAAGAAUAAUUAGUUAUUGUAUUUUUUGUUCUAAGGGCGACUUGUAUCUUGUCGGCCGUGUAAUCCACCGUCCGUACCGAAUGAAUACAUCGGCCGAUUUGGACGAUUAUACGUUUAAACCGUUUUACAUUGGUUGUGUGCAAUUGUAUUACGGUCGAUCCCUUAUGCUCCGACCCAUAUACUGGGGUAGUGUCUUUUUAAGUACCUUCCGUUCAGAGCCCUAGUAAAUUCUUCUCCCUCUAUUGUUUCCAAAAUGUAAGCAUUCCCUGGAGCACAUCUGCCGAUUUUAUACGGCCCUUCCCAUGUAGGAGACCAUUUUCCGAAUUUAGGAUCUUUCGACCCAAUCGGCAAUACUAACUUCCAUACCAAGUCCCCAGGGGAGAAUUUUUUGACUUUGACCUUCUUAUCGUACCACCUGGCUACUUUCUUUUUGUUUUCUUCAAUGCUUAUCAACGCUUUCAACCGCUGGCCAGCCAAGUCAUCGAGUUCCCUCUUCAUGAGCGACGAGUAGUCGUCGGCCGUUAAUUGGUCCUGGAGCGAAAUGCGCCUUGAUCCCGCCCUUGCUUCCCAUGGUAGUACUGCAUCGUGACCGUACACCAACUGAUAAGGGGAUAACUUGGUGGCUCCAUGACAAGCCAUCCUGUACGCCCAUAAGGCCUCAGUCAAACAUAGAUGCCACUUCUUUGGCUGCUCUUCGAUUUUCCUUUUGAUUAGCUUAAUUAUCCCUUUGUUGGAGGAUUCGGCCUGACCAUUGGCUUGGGCGUAAUACGGAGAAGAAUUCAACAAUUUGAUCCCCAUAUCGGUUGUAAAUUCCUCGAAUUCCCCCGAUGUGAACAUUGUUCCUUGAUCGGUCGUUAUAGUCUGGGGAAUGCCGAAUCGGUAGACGAUAUGAUCCCUUACGAAGUCGGCCAUGAUAGUCGAUGUCACGGCUCUUAACGGAAUUGCUUCCACCCAUUUGGUAAAGUAAUCGGUAGCUACCAGAAUAAAUUUGUGCCCUUUGCUUGAUGGUGGGUAAAUUUGACCGAUAAGGUCUAUUCCCCAUCCCCUGAACGACCACGGCUUGAUAAUGGGAUUCAUGGCCGAUGCGGGUGCACGUUGGACAUUCCCGAACUUCUGACAAUCCUGGCAUCCCUUAUAAUAUUUGAAACAGUCUUCGAGGAUCGUUGGCCAGUAGUACCCAUUAUUCCUGAUCAUCCACUUCAUCUUAUGGGCCGAUUGGUGUGCUCCACAUACCCCUUCAUGGAUUUCUCCCAUUAGAGUCUUGGCCUCCUCUGUUCCCAGGCAUUUGAGUAGGACACCGUCGAUCGUUCGGUAGAACAGGUCAUCUUCGAGCAGUACGUACUAAGUAGCAUGAAAACGUACUCGUCGUUCCACCUUCUUAGACGGAUCUUUCAGAUAGUCGGCAAUUUCUUUCCGCCAGUCAUCGGCCGCGAGUUCUAGAGCCAUAGCGCCUAGAAUUGGCCGAUAUCCAGAUGCGUGCUGGGCGAGCUUGUUGGCACCUUCGUUGUGGUCCCUUGGGAUGUGCUCGAUUACUACCGAUUUAAAUUCUUUUAAGAGUUGUAGACAAUCUUCAUAAUAAAGUCUCAAUACAUCAUCCUUGCACUCAGACCUUCCGGUUAAUUGAUCCGCAAUAAGCAUGGAAUCCCCGAAGACUUCAACAGAAUCGGCCUUGACUUCUCUUAAUAAUUGUAGGCCCUUCAAAACAGCUCGGUACUCCGCUUGAUUGUUAGUAGCGGUGGCUUCUAUCGGCAGAGAAAAAUCAUAGCUUGCCCCCCGAGGCGAUAUGAGAACGAUGCCAAUUCCUGAUCCGACCCCACAUGACGACCCAUCAAAAUAUAAAGUCCAAGGUGCCGGCUCUACGAGGAUAAUCUCUGGUCCGCAGUGUUGGGCGAUGAAAUCGGCCAUGACCUGACCCUUGACGGCUUUUGCCGAUUCAUACCGCAGGUCGAACUCUGACAAAGCUAAGAUCCAUUUGCCGAUUCGUCCUUUCAAGAUCGGCAGAGAUAGCAUGUAUUUUACUAUGUCGUCUUUGCAUACGACCACGCAUUCUGCCGACAGUAAAUAGUGCCUGAGUUUGGUGCAUGAGAAGUAAAGACACAGGCACAACCGCUCCACCGGAGGAUAUCUUGUUUCAGCGUCCAGAAGUCUUCUACUGACAUAAUAAACUACCCGUUCCUUGCCUUCGAACUCCUGGACUAGAGCCGACCCAAUAGCUUUUUCAUCGGCUGAUAAGUAUAACUUAAACGGCUUACCAGUUUGAGGAGGAACCAAUACCGGUGGUGAGACCAAGUAUUGCUUGAUAUCUUCCAGUACUUUGCGCUGCUCCUCCCCCCAUAUAAAUUCUUGGUCAGGCUUCAACUUCAACAGUGGUGUGAACGCCUGAAUCCGCCCAGAUAGAUUAGAUAUGAAUCUUCUGAUGAAAUUCACCUUGCCGAUUAAAGAUUGCAAUUCGGUUUUGUUCUGCGGGGCCACGACUUUGUUGAUGGCCGCUAUGGUCUUCCGAUUCAUUUCUAUCCCUCGUUCGUGCACCAUGAAUCCUAAGAACUGUCCGGCGGAUACGCCGAAAGCACAUUUAUUGGGAUUCAUCUUAAGCCCGUGUUUCUUGGUGCACUCUAGCACUUUUCGCAGAUCAGCCAGAUGCUCUUCGUGUCCUUUGGACUUGACUACGACGUCGUCGAUGUAGAUCUCUACCAGAAUGCCGAUGAGUUUGUGAAAUAUGUAGUUCAUGGCUCUCUGAUACAUAGCACCAGCGUUCUUCAAGCAAAAAGUCAUCACCACCCACUCGAAUAAACCGAGGUGGCCUGGGCAUCUGAAGGCCGUUUUGGGUAUGUCUUCUUCGGCCAUUAGUAUUUGAUUGUAUCCAGCAUUUCCGUCCAUAAAGCUAAUAACCUUGUGUCCCGCGGCAGCGUCGAUCAGCACAUCGACCGUUGGCAUGAGGUACCCAUCCAUCGGUGUGGCCUGAUUAAGAUUCCUGAAAUCGACGCAAACGCGCAGCUUGCCGUUCUUCUUGUACACUGGUACAAUGUUGGAGAUCCACUCGGCAUAACGGCAUUGCCGAAUAAAUUUUGCUUCGAUUAGCCGGGUUAUUUCGGCUUUUAUAUCUGGUAGAAUCUUAGGAUUGCAGCGUCGUGCAGGCUGUUGGUACGGCCGAUACCCUGGUUUUAUGGGUAGCCGAUGUUCAACAAUAGAUCGAUCUAAACCGGGCAUCUCAUGAUACUCCCAAGCAAAACAAUCCUUAAAUUCUCUUAACAAAUUUGUCAAUUUAUAUAUGUAUUCUGGGUCUAAAUUUGCACUAAUAUAAGUCGGCCUUGGUUUGGUACCAUCGCCUAAGUCUAUCAUCUCUAAUAAAUCGGCCGACGUGAACCCGUGCCCUAGCUUCCCAUCUUCUCGGGCGAACUGAUCCAUCUAUUCUGAGUCUUCGGAGCCGACUGCUCGGAUCGGCUGCAGGCCAAAAUCGGUGACCUUCAGGAAAUCGGUCUCCCAUACUCUGCCGGAUAUGCACCUGACGGUUUCGCAGCUCCACUGCUGUGUGUCGGCUGCCGCGAUGCUGUAUGCGGAAUCGGCGUUGACUACCUCGAUGUUGUCGCCGACCCAUUGUACAAGACAUUGAUGCAUUGUUGAUGGAAUGCAGCAAUUUGCGUGUAUCCAGUCCCGGCCGAGUAGCAUGUUGUAGGACCCCUUGCCAGUAAUAAUAAAGAAAGUGGUGGGAAGGGUCUUACUGCCGAUGGUGAGGUCAACGCAGAGAGCGUCGCGAGCGUUUGACACGUUGCCUUCGAAGUCCUUGAGCAUCAUAUUUGUCUUGGUCAAGUCGUCGUCGCUUUUUCCAAGCUUCCAGAGCACGGUGUAUGGCAUGAUGUUGACCGCAGCUCCUCCGUCUACCAUCAAUCUAGUGAGGGGGCGGCCGUCGACAUGCCCUUUAAGGAACAGUGCUUUCAGGUGUUGUCGUUUGUCAUCUUCGGGCUUCUCGAACGUGGCCAUCAUUGGUUCCAAAGCCAACUGUGCCGUCUGUUCUUCUAUCGCCGAUAUAUCCUGUUGAUCGGCGGGAGUCAUGAAUUCCAUCGGCAGUAUGAAAACCAUACCGAUAUCGGCUGCCAAUUCAUCACCCGCCGAUUCGUCGUCCCCUUUAUCGUUUCUUUUGGGGCGCCACACCCGAGGCCUUCCUUCCUUCUUGUCCGUCGUGCUCUGUUGUUCCUCUUCCUGCUGUUCCCAUUGGCGGAGACGUUGGAUUCUUCGUUUUUGAGACUUGGUCAAUCCAUCGGGACACCACCUGGGGUUUAUUGGUUUGCCCCCUGACUUGGCGCGUUCCCACUCCGGUUCGCGUCCUAACGGGUUUUCGUCUGUCACCCGAGCAUCGGCCAUCUCUUCGAGCCGACUGUGAACGUUGGCCUUGUUUUCUGACCGAUCAUGUCGAUCAGUCCUGCCCCCCUGCCUGUCAUGGCGUCUAUCUUCCGACCGAUCAUAUCGGUCACUUCUGCCCCCCAGCCGAUCACGCAAGGGAGGGCGCUGGUCAUCUUGGUUGCGCCAAUUCCUGCUGAUCAGUUCUGGCCUUCCGUCUCUGGAGCGAGACCUGUUGAACGGCCGAUUGCCACGAUAUGGGCCGUUGCAUUCUAGGCAAUUAUCGGCCGAAGGUAGCCUGAGGUUGUUUCUGACGUUGGUAUUUCUGUAGCAGGAACUGGGAAGUAAUGCGUGGCUCUUCCGAUUCGCCAUCGUCGUCCUCCAUCCGCCGCUUCCCCUUGACAUCUUCAAGCGUAGCUUGAUUUCUGGGGUCGACGGCGCCACUCUGUUUAGCCGAUUCGGAUGUCAGCACCUUUGUUUGGAGUGAAUUCUUCCCCGUAUCAACCAUGUUGGUGGGGAAGGGGUGCUGGUCGAUCUUCAUCGGCUUGGCCGAUUUUGUCGGCACUUGAAAUUUAAGUCUGCCCUGCUCAAUGGUCGACUGUAUCUGCUGCCUGAAGAUUUUGCACUCGUUAGUAUCAUGGGAUGUGGCGUUGUGCCACUUGCAGUAUUUCAUCUUUUUUAGUUGUUCGGCAGAAGGUAUUGUAUGAUAUGGCGAGAGUUUAAUCUGUCCUUCCUGGAGGAGAAGGUCGAAGAUUUUGUCGGCCUUCGUCGUGUCAAAACCGAACACUUCUGGCUCCUUUUUGCCGAAUGGGCAUGAUAUCGGCUUCUUUCCCUUGAUCCACUCCGCAAGUCCAACUUCAACGUCUUCCUCGUCCUCCAAUUCUUCCAGGAACGCCACUUUCUUCUGGAAAUUCCUCCGUGGAUCGAAAGAACGUACCUCCUAUCCAGACAAUCGGUGGACGAUCUGGCUUAAACUUUCGAACUCCUGUGAGGCGUAUUUUUCUUUGAUGUGGGGCAGGAGGCCUUGAAAGGCUAUAUCGGCCAGCUGCGCGUCGUUUAGAGCCAAAGAAUAGCACUUGUUCCUGAUUUCCCGAAACCUCUGUACAUAUGAGGAUAUCGGCUCGUCGCUUCUCUGCCUAAGGCUGGUCAAAUCGGACAGCUUCAUCUCAUGCACCACGGCAUAGAAGUAUUUGUGAAACUGUCUUUCCAAAUCGGCCCACGUGAUAAUCGAGUUCGGCGGCAAUGUCGUGAAGCACUGGAAGGCCGAUCCUGACAGAGAUGAUGAGAACAGCCGUACUCGUAGAGCAUCUUGCGUAGCGGCCUCUCCGCAUUGGAUGAUGAAUCUAUUCACGUGCUCCACGGUUGAAGUAUCAUCCAUCCCCGAGAACUUGGUGAAGUCAGGAACUUUAUACCGAUGGGGAAACGGCAGUAGGUCGUACGUAGACGGGUAUGGUGUCCUAUAAGUGUAAGUUUGUACCUUCGGCUUUAAGCCGAAUUGUUCCUGAAUCACCUCCGCAAUACGUGUCGACCAAUCUAGCUGUUGCUGGUGAACCGUUGGCUGAGGUAUUGGCACGUGCUGGUAUACCGGAGGUGGAAUAGCCUGAUGCUGAGUGAAAGCAGGUGGCAUUUGAGUGAAAGUCGGCUGUGAAUUGAAAAUCGGCUGUUUGAAUGAGCCACUUGCUUCAUCAUACAAUAUGAGCUCUGCUGUUUUAUUCAUCUCUGGUGCGACAGGCUGGUAUGGUGGCACGGUCGGCCGAGUGGCCGCCUGGAAAGAUGCCUGGAAUGGUGGGUUUCCUUGACUGGCCGAUUGAUUCUGACCGGCCGUGACUGAUGGUGCCCCCCAAGGCGAUGGGCUAACCGGAGGGAACGGCGCAGAGGACAGUUGGAUGGAGUUAUACCCCAUAGGAACUGAUGAUGAGGAAUCACCUGAACCCCCGACAGAAAAUUGGAUCGGCUGAGAAACCGAAUUCACAUAACUCUGGUGUGGUGGAAUCGGCUGAGUAUAUGCCGGUCCCCUGUAUCCCUGAGGUAUCCCACCAGUGAAGGAGUUGACAACAGCGUUGUGCACCGUAUUUGCAAGCACCGGGGAUUGAUCAAUGAAGGCGUGAUAAACGGACUGUUGAACCAUAUCGGCCAUUUUGGCCGAGUCCUCAGAGAUUGUGAUCUGGCGGGGAGCAGGAAACGUAGACUUUUUGAUAGUCUCCCCGCUUCUGGAGCGACUGAAAGACUGCAGGCAAGCUUUCCGGAACUGCGCCAUAUGCUUAUCCAGUUCUUCCUUCUGGUCGUCCUUUAGAUCUGCUUCCGUUACUUCGAUGACGUUAUCUUCGGAGACUUCAGCAGCUUUCGACAUGGCGGCGGUUGUAUUGGUCCCACCAGGCGUGCCAAAAGUGUGUUGGCGCUAGAAAUCGGUCAACCGAAUUCCCAGCGUCAGACACACGACCCGGGAGAAUCUGCUUAGCUCCUGUUCGGGUGAUCGCCCUGGUGCGGUUCGCGCGGCGUGCCAGCCAAUCUGACCUGUCGAUUGGCAAGGAAGAAUACGUGUAAGAUCCAAGAGUCGCGAUCGGCUAAAUUUCCGAUCUCGAGAGAGCUUAUCAGCCGAUUUGCCGUAAUAAAGAAAUCGGCUAUAGGGCAGCCGAUCACUGUAGCCUUGUAGACAGAAAACUACUGGAGUGAUCGGCGCAAUACUAUAGUGACAACACUAGGAAUAGAUCUAAUCGGCAAUAAAAUAGAUGAAUUUAAUAGCAGAAUAUAAGGAAAGCCGAAACCACCGAUUCCUAGCUGGAUAACUGGUGAUAAAACUAGAAAGACAGGUAAAACCUAUGAUUCUAGUAAAUAUCGAUAACUAGUGAAUAAAUCUAAACGAAACAACAGCGAUACGCCCGAAGUUAAAGCCUAGAAUUUACUCGGUAAACGGAACUUACAAGAUCGGCCGGAGGUCAAGUUGAUGCAGCCCUGUCAACCCGUACGAACUCGUGAAAAGGGAAAGUAUUUGGCGAAGUCGCCUGCUUGAAAGUAAGUACGAGGAAAAAGUAGUUGGUUGUAUUGAUUUGUUCAUGAUUACAGAUUUACAAAGGUAGCUAUUUAUAGCCCCGUACGAAUAACUCCUUAACUGACUAGAAUUCUAUCCCUAAUUCAAAUAGAAAAUGAAUAUUUACAAGCACGACUCGUGCUAGGUUGGUUAUUAUACGCUUCGUGGGCUGAUCUCCCCUUCGUCCUUCUAUUCCUUUUCAAGCCCAUACAGGCCCAAUUAUCCCAACCUCCUAAUCGGCCGAUUCCUUAUCGGCAAAAAGGCAACCGAUUGGGAACCCAGCGCGUUCGAUCCGAAGCGAGGCAGAAGUCAUCGGCCGAUCUUGUACUGUAGCACCAUUCAGCCGAUUCCCAACUGUACUUUGCCAAUUCCCUCUCUUCUUGGCGCCGAUUUUACUAGUGACGAAAUCUAGCGUCAACACAUAUAUCUUUAAGGAACCAGCGAACUGAUUCCUUAUCUUCUCUAGGUACUCUGCGACGGAGUCACACUCUGUGAUCGAGCCCAAAAUUGCAGGCCCAAUCGUAUUCUUUACCAAAGCCAUACAUUUCUCGUUGGCAGUGGUCCAUUGUUUGUUUUCAAGGGUAUAUGCCAACUCUAGUGGAGCAUAAUCCCUUUCCUUUUGCUGUCAUGCAGCAUCAUCAUCACCUUCAGCCCUUACUGGUUUCUCUGGAGCUUUUGACCGUGAUGUAGUCACCACCCAGUCAACUUCUCCACAGACGAAGGAGAAAUCAAUCUUCUUCCUCCACUCUACAUGGUUGUCUCCUGUCAGAGUAGGUAUCUCUUUGAGACAAGCCAUCAAGUUGAAUCCUCCUGAAAUUUGCAAUUCAAGGUGAGAUCAUAACAACAAUUGCAUGAUUUAUUUCCAACGUUGGUCAAAAAAUAAAAUAUACAACUGUUUAUGCAAUUUAAAUCUAUAUCACCGUUGGGCAAAAAUAGAAAUAAAAGCAUGGAAACUUUUUAAAUCAAGAUACAGUUAUUAACAACGUUGGUCAGAAAAUAACAGCAUCAUAAUCUAAAUUAACUUUAUUAUGCUUGCAAAAAAAAUUUAAUUGUCUCGUUGGUUCAAAUUAAAUUUAAAUAGAGCAACAAAUUAAACCUUUGCAGCGGAAACUGUGAAAUAAUUCUAUUUUUAGAAGCAAAAAAUAUUGUAUAAACUUUAUUAAUCUCUAAUACAAAUUAUCCCGUUGGUUCAAAUUUGAAUGGAGAUCAAAACUAUGCAAAAAUCACCAUAAAGAUGCCUCUGAAAAUAGAAAAUAAAAAUGUCAAGCGUUACUGUGCAAAACUUUCUAUUCAGCCCAGCAGCGAAAAUAGCCCACAGCCCAUUCCCGCGCUCGGCCCGCUCGCGCAACGCGGCCGGCCCACCCGUGAGCUCGGCCUGCUGGCCUUUGGCCCAGCAGCCACGGUCCGCGUCUGGCGGCCCCGCAGACCGGCUUUUGGGCCGCAACCUGGGCCCAGGCCUUGUUUUUGGCCUGACGCCGUCACCCGCCUGGGCCAAAUCUGGCCCGCACGAUCACAGCCGUCCGUCUUGAUCGGACAGUCGAGUGUCGAGAUCGGCGUAACAAAACCGCCGGAACGCCUGGCUCCCCCCAACCCUAGAUUCAUUUCUGUCCUCUCCCCCGCGAGCUCUUACCGUGGCGGCGGCGGCAGGGCUGUCUCUCCCGCGCCUGCUUAUGGCCGGCGGCGGCGGUUGAGGGAUGGCCCCGCCGGCGCACGGCCGUGGCAGCCCCCUUCUCUUUCUUGCUUUCUUGCCUCCCCCUUUCUCCCUCCGAGCCUCCCAAAAAUUCGAGAUCCAGAGGGCCAUGGCGACCACGGAGGAGGGCCGGCGCCACCGCGGAUCCCCUCGCCGGCGCGCGCGUCCACCGGAGGUUGGGCACGCCGCCGUUGAGCGGUCCUGUGGUGGUACUUUUGCGUCCCUGAGCCCCGAGCGGAUGCUCCGGCGGCUCGGGUGGAUCUUUUCCCUGGCGAGCGCGUGGCUCGGCCGGCAUUUGCCGCUCGCCGUCGGUGGACGUGCGGCGGUGAGGACAGCGGCAGGUAAGCCGCUCCGCGUCCCUCUUUACUUUAGAUCUAGGGUUAGGGUUAGGGUUUUACUUUUCUUUUCUGUUUCUUUUUCGAUCUACUUCUUUUUCCCAAUCUAGAAAAGCUUCUAGUAAGGUGUCUGAUACCAUUGUUAGGUGCACGCCUAGGAUCUCUAGAUGCAUAUCUAGUCAGGAUCAUAAUAAACAUGAAGUUCUUGGGUUUCUGGUGUCAACCGAGAGUGAUAGAGAGAGAGAGAGAGGUGGGUUACCUUCACCCCUAGGGGAGGAAGCAGCAGAGCUGCUGGCCAUCACUGGUUCUGUUGUUGAAGAUCUGCGCAAGGCAGCGAUGCGCAGUGCAGUUGCGUUGCCGGCGCAGCAGCGGUGGUGCUUCCCGUCGCUACUGCACAAGACCUAGAUCGGUAGGUGUGUCGAUGGGGCGGCUGGCAGCAGCGAACCUCGUGAGCCGAGCCGUGGCCCCCACCCUGUUUAUAUAGCGCAGCGCGACAGGGGCCCACCACCCAAUGCUAGGGUGGGCGUCCCCGAUCAGGGCGCGGAUCAGGGUCCCGAUGGGCCUUUGGGCCCAUUGAGGAGGAGAUCAAUCUAACACAAAUAACCCCCUCAAGAAUUAAAUGGCCCCUUAAUUUCACAAACCUGGAUCAAAACAUACCUUUUAACACAUUCUUAAAACCGGUGGCUGGUUCAACCGGUUUUGCCGACUACAUUGACAGAUUGGCGGCCUACGUGGCGAAGAAUACCUUGCCUCCCAUCCCAUCCCGUGCGUCGCUAGGUUAAAUGGAUCACAGAGCAGAUGAGUUGAUGAACGAGAAGGAAGAUGAGAUGAUGCAGCUAAUAUGCCUUCGCAUCGCACAGCAAGUUGAACAGUGAACACUACACCUAUCAAGGAAAAGAAACGAGCUCCUGCAAACUAAAAGAAACUUACUUCCGGUUUCAUAUUGCAGUAGAGAUGCCCCCAGGGUCAAUAUUUCUGACCGCAACAAUAAUUUUUUGGAUCAAUGUAUUAGCGCUCCAAGCUGCAAAAUUAAAGGAAUUCAAUAUCAAUUAUCAAGUGGAGCUCGUGCGUCGCAACAAUCAACGGCCGCGCAGGGCCAGCUAACGCAAGGAGGCGCGGGCCCUGUGCUCCGUGUAGCAGGCGACGAUGGCGCAGGCCAAGGUGCCCGCCGGCGCACGGGAUGUCAGGGCUGCUGGGAGCAUGACGGUGGCGCAGGCCAAGGUGCCUGCCGUAGCACGGGAUGCUGGGCCUGCUGGGAGCAAGACACAGUGCUGGCGGCGAUAGGGCACUGAGUCUUGGAGCAUGAACCCCUCGCGGCCGGCGGCGGCGAAAUCAGACACGAGAUAUAUCACAGAUGGAUGGGAUACACUUAGGUCAUUGAUAUGUCAAUCCAGUCAGAAAACCGGUUUGAAAAUCAGCUAUCCGGUUUCAACUGUGUUAAAAGGUGUGUUUUGAUUCAGUUUAGCAAACUCAGGGGGUUAAGUAGACCAUUUUAAUAUAUUAGGGGUUUAUUUGAACUUAUGCUAUACUUUGAGGGUAGUAAAUGAGACUUUUUCCUUAUUUAAGGAAAUUUUGCUUUUAUAUAUCUUCCGUUUUAGCCAAUCUUUAAUUUUGAAUAUUGAUUUCUUGAAUCAAUCUCUGUAUGAACAUUGACAUUUUACUAAUAGCCUAUAUUGUAAUUAAUUGAAGUGAACCUUUUUUUACAUUAAUUGGGAUUUAAUAUGUAAUUAGAUGGAAUGGGAUAGUUUAAUGUGAAGCUUUGUGUAACUAUAUGAAAAUUCGUGCAUAAGUGAAUCUAUGGACAGGGCUGGUCUGGUCAAGCCCAUUGACAACACACAUUUAUCGCUUUACAGCAUCCAAAAGAUUAAGCUUUGUUUCCUAAUAGGACGGAAAUGCCCUGUGGUUAUUAGUGAUUGUAUCUUUGUGUUGGUCGAUUAUUUAUAUCCAUUUUACGGGUCCGCAAAUCUUUUGUUUUGUUCAUUGUAAAAGUACUAUUGUGAUUGCUUGUUCAAUGCAAUGUCCUCCUGUGUGACAUUCUUUGUGAAUUGUUAGAUAUACUUAUCAUCAUUGUAGUUGUCUAUUUUCCGGGAAGGAUCAGGGCGCCUGAACUGUCCCAAGAGCAAAUAAUGAACCAGGAGCGUAUAAUGACGCAUACAUCGAGAGAACGAGUUGGAAUCGGCAUCACAUUCCGCUAAGACAGCUCCGGGAUUGCUGCUGCGAUAAAUUGUACGCCCAAAGUAAGUGGCAGUUACCGGUUAUUGUGUUCCUUUCACCCUAUUAUUGUUUUCUUGAUGCUCUGUGUAUUGUACUAUUAUUUUACUACCCAUAGCAACGCACGACCAUAGAUCUAAUAAACUAAAAUUUAGUUGAGAGUUAGCUAAUUAUUGACCCACAAUUAGCUCCUGUUUGAAUUAUUAUAAACUAAAUUUUAGCUAAAUAAAGUUUAGUCUCUAGAUCCAAAUAGGAUCUUAGAUAUGUAAAAGAUCUAGCCCCUAGAACAUUCCACGUCAAGCAAGCCACCUUCCAGAAGUUGUUCUCAAUCUAGGUGUUGGAAUCCCCUCACGCUAUUAGUGUUUAUAAGGGUCCCCGAGAUUGGGCGAUUGUGAGAUGGUGACACCGAUCCCGAACGUAGGUUAAAGAAGUUUGGUGCUUAGCAAAAAUAGCGUGGAGCAUAAUAACAUGAUAUUAUGUUGAAAAGAGAGUGUGGGAAGCAGUUGGCCUCAAAGACUUAUAAGCAGCAUAUUAAUCAAAAGUUUGCAUGAUUAGACUAUUGAUCUUAGAACAAUGAACACUAAUUCCUGAACCCAACCCCAGUGAGUGUCAACAUGCAAACCAUUGGCACUAGAUGUCUUUUAAAAAACUGAUAGAAUGAGAGCUACAUAUUAUAUUAAAAAGAAGAUAAAAGUCAAGAUUAGGUAGUAUAAAAAUGGAAAAACAAGAGUCUAACAUCAAGUAAUUCAACAAACACGCAUCGCACCACUAUUACACCACAAACACCAAGCCAAUACCCCAAUACUAUGCAUCAUUUAACCACUGCAAACCCCAAGGUUCAAAUAUACCACCACCUACGAUACAUCAUCGACACCCUCUCCAGCCUACUGACACGGAGUAUAAUAACCUGACACAAAGUUUAAAAAAUAUUUAGCUUAUCAAGAGAUCUACAACUAUGAGAAAAAUAGACGGAGGAUAGAACUCAUUGUCAAUAGAUUAGGAAAGAAUACAAGUUAAAGAGUCUUUACUAGAAAUUUCUUAUGGUUAGGCUCAAUUCAUUCAUCUUCAAAUCACAAUUUGCAUGUUAAAAAGGUGGACAUAUGUGGCUAAAGCAACCACACUAACCAAAAGCCCAACUGUUCAGACAAUUUAUAUUAGCCUGAUUCCAAAACAUGGGCACCAGAUGUCUAAACUUUAUGCAUUGAGAUAAACUCAAGCAACUCCAAGUAAUAUCUCAAGCAAACCUCACAACCUCACAUUGACACAACACCUCAGACUCGGCAACAUUGCGUAAACGAACCACCACCUAGGAACCCAACCCAACAAAACUCCCAACCAAAUCAGUAGCACUCGGAUCACUACAUGUAAGCAAGCACGCGGGGUUGGGGUUCGACGGGAGCGCGGGAAUGGGGGCGCAGAAAUGCAAGGGAUCUGCGAUCACUUUGUGCCCUAAGUCGUGAAUUCUACAGGCAAAUAGCAAAAGUGAGGGAGUUGGGAACCCAAUAGUGAUGGGGAUGAGUGAGUCAUCGGUGCCGAGGACGUCGAGCUUGAGGCUGCAGAGUGCAUCCCAGAACCCCUCCUCCGCGAAGCUCUGGAUGGCCUGAACCUGCAGCGGUCGAGGGAACCCCGCCGUGCCUACACCCUCCAUCACUAUCUCGUCUUCCCUCUGCCCGCACGGCAAGCGGCACGGCCGGUUCUACUUCCGCUUGAUUGGUUUUUGAUUUUACCUUGCCCCCUGGGAAGAUGUAUCGCUGGAUGGAUAUCCCUCCUUGGACUUUGUUUUGGCGUGUGUACAACUCGAAAGUGUUUUGUGGAGUUGUAGAAGACCACGAAAACAAUACUUGUAGUGGAGUUAGAUGUACACACAAGUCUCUUCAUCAAAAAAUACUAGUAGAGGUUAAGAAUUAAGAACUUCAAAUUUUGAUAAAUAAAUUUAUGUUUUUCCUAUGCAGGAGAUGGAAAAUGCUUAAAAAUACUAGAGGUUAAGAAUCAUUUGAGGUGAAUAAGAGUGGGAAUAAGAUGGCAAUAUACUACUCUUGUGGGAUGGUCGUCUAUGUCGUUAAAUAAAAUCUCUUAGACAAAUCUCUAUCCUAGUGCAUAGUACAAUAGUUUCGCGUACUACCCAUCCUCAUGUGGGUAAUAGGCUUUUAGAGAGUAUUUACAUUCCAUGGCCUCCAUCAAAAUGCAAACAAUUUAUUAUCACAAAAUGAAAAAUGUGUUUUUUAAGAUAACAAAGUUGAUAAGAAAUCAAUAGCAACUCAAGAAAAAAAAAUGCACUUCAAGCUAAGGGAGUUUUGGAUUUAGGGAGGCACCUCGUCUAUGUUAUUAAAUAAAAUCUCUCAGAAAAAUCUCUAUCCUUGUGCAUAGGACAAUAGUUUCGUGUACUACCCAUCCUCGUGCAGCUAAUAGGCUCUUAGCGAGUAUCCCACAUUCAUGAACAUUCCAUGGCCUGCAUCAAAAUGCUAGAGUCUAAACAAUAUAUUAGUACAAAAUGAAAAUUGUAUUUUUUAAGAUUACAAAGUUGAUAAGAAGUCAAGAGCAACACAAGAAAAAAAUGCACUUCGAGCUGAAGGAAGCUUGGAUUUAGGGAGGCAACACUAGCAGGGGCUUCAUCUUGAACAUGAGUCAACUGCGAAAAGUAUUGAAGGAUCAUCUAGCGGUUCAUUAGGGGUGAUGUUCUUGUCUCCUUCGAGGAUGGAAGAAGAAGAACCAUAGAGUUUCAUUGGUGAUGGAUCCAAAGGAUGCUGUCGCGAAGGUCGAAGCCCUUAAUUCUAGUCAAUUUAUCCUCUUGCUCCCUUAACGAUGGCCAUAGGUUAGUUGAAUAAUAGUUCUUAAGUUUUUUCAGUUCCAUCUUUAAUAGGGCAAUGCUUUGUGUUUGGGCUUUUUUUUUAUAAGAGCAUCUCCGGCAGUUCCUCAUUUUCCAAUCCAACUAACAUAUUGGGAGAGUUGGUAAAAAAAUAAUGCUCUAGCAGACUCCUUUUACCUUUCUUUUUUUCCCAAUAAUUAUUAGGACAACCCAAUAAUUCACCCUAAUACGGUAGUUGGAUUGGGAUGAGAUUAUUGGGAGAAUACGGUAGUUGGAUUGGGAUGAAAUUAUUGAGAGACUGCAAAAGUAACUCUCCCGAUAAUAAUGAAAGGGAUAUUGGGAUAUCAUUAUUAACUAGUUAUUGGAAAAUAUUUAUUAGAGGACUGCUGGAGAUGCUCUAACUAAGGUAAAAUUGGAAGGAAGUUGUACAAACGCACACACAAACUCGAGACUAAGAUGGUAUAUAAUGAGAGCGAGGAGUAGAAUUGUAAGAGAACCAAUCGGAACUCACUCCAUCUGAUGAAGCCAUUUUGCCUAUUGACUCCUCCACAUAAAUGAAACUCCCCCUGCAACUUAGUUUCAAAGAGUAAAACAAGGUGAGAUUUGGAAAGAACACCCUAAUACCAUAUGGCUUUUCCAGUUUUUCUUCAACCCCACUUACAAAGUGUGGUGCAGGCACAUUUGACAAGUUAUGAAAAAAAAUUCAUAGAUGGAUCAUUAAAUACUUUUUCCAUCCCAAAAGAGUACCAUUCUAAUUUUAAUUAUUUUAUCCAAGUCACUCUAUCUUAAGUUUGAUCAAGUUCAUAGAGAAGAGUGUAUCACAACAAGUCUAAUCAUACUUACUUGGCAUCGUUGAUAUAAGUUUGGUCAAAUCUUUUAUUAAAGUGAAUAAGGCUUCUGCCCUUUUUUCGUACGUCCCCACCCCCGAAUCCAAGACGGUAAAAAGUCUCAAGCAAAACUGGAUAAAAAACCAACUUUUGCUGCGGUUUUAAUUGCGACCGCUCCAUCUACAAGCCCAACGUGCGGAGAGGAAAAAAAUCGGCACCCCUCCCACAGUCCCACUUAAAAAAACUGCAUGAAAAAAAAGGCAAGGAUGCAGAAGGAUUGAACCCACAACCUUCAAAUUCUGCAGCUGCCUUCAAACUACUUAGGAUACAUGUUGUUUGUGAUUUACAAAUACAUUUUUUUUAAAAAAUUAUAUUAACAUGUUGCCUCCUACCAUGUGUUCCAACAAAUAUAGCCACAUUCCUUUUAUUAUUAGGUACUAGCAAAAUGCCCGUGCAUUGCCAUGAUAAAAGAUCAAUUGUGUUUUUAAAACUAAUGAUAUUUUUUAUUUCCGUCACUAAAUUUGUAUUCCACUUCUUGCAUGUCUACACAUUUAAUAAAAAAACCAAAACAAUUUUGACUUAAUUAUUUCCUUCAACUCAAAUACCCAUUAAAUUAAAAUAUUUUUUUAUUCAAGCAAGAGAACUUUAUAUCAAAGUUGUAGAUUUAGAUUAGAUCUAAAAUUUUAUAAUUGAUAACCUUUUCAUUUAAAGUUGUUUAAUAACUCAAAAUAUCAUUAUAAGCUCUCUAAUUUCAAAAUCUUGAAUUUUAAAAUUUUCAAAUAAUCUUGUAUGCAAACAAGCUCUAUAUCAAAGUUGUAGUGCUUAACGAGAUAUAAAAUUUUGUAGCUAACAAAUGUUUCAUUUAAAGGGAGUGUUCAGUAGAGAUUGCUGCUACAGCGCUGCAGCUGCACCAACCGAGUGAGUAGCAUGAGGCUGACCUGUGGGCUUAUUAUACCGUGCAGCUGCGGCUGCCUAUGCAGCCAACACAAACGAACAGCCCCAAAAUUGUUUAGCUGCCCAAAACUUCGUUAUAAGGUUAUGAAAGAAACAUGUUCUGCUGCAUCAGCGAUCCGUGUAUUCAAAAUCGAGCUCUCCGAUUGGCUCGAACCUCCUCUCCCUGGAUCCAUUCCCUCUUAUCCCUUUCCUCUCCCUCUCUCCUUAUCCAUUCCUCUCAUCUCAUCUCCCAAGGGCCAAGGGCAAGACGGCACGGCUGCGCGGCACACCGGCCGGCGGUGGGCGGCGUGGCACGGUGGCAGGAGGCGGCCACAACACCCCCUGGAUCUGACUCCGGCGGACAGCUCCUCCUCCCUCUCCCCCGACCGAGGCGAGCGGCGGGCGCAGGCCGAGCGGCGCGGCCGAGGCGGCUCGGGCGCGAGGCUGGACGGUGCGGCCGAGGUCGGGGAGGUGGCUCUGGCGCGGUCGAGCGGGACGGAACAGCCGUGGUGGGUGGGUGGGCGGGCGGCCGGGGCCGAGGCCGAGGCAGCGCGGUUGGCCGGAGCCAAGGUAGCGUGGCCGGCCGCAGGAGGCGCUCGCCAUGCGGGAGCUCGGGGUCGCUGUCCACAAGAAGCGGUCUCCGCCACUUGUCGUCGCCAGGCACGAUACCCAACUACCCUUCAACACCCACUCCGUUGACUUUGUCUUCGCCGACCGCGCUCUCGACACCGCCAAGUGCCUAGCCGACCUCGCCGCCGAGGCUGCGCGCAGGGGCAGCGCGGGGGCAGCGGCGGGGCAUCCUGCUUCGGCCGCCGCCCGCGCCCAAUCCCCCUUCUUCGACUCUCUGUUUUGAAGAAAGGAGAACCUUUUUCCUCUUUAACCCCCUCCCUUCCUUUCUUUUUCCACUCGAGCCCCCUCUCAGAAUUUGAACUGCGGGUUGAUUUAAUGAAAGUUGAGAGACUUUUUUGCAAAAUGACCACGUCGUACGAAAAACUGGGUAGAAACCUUACUUGCUUUAAUAUUACUAGCAAACAUGCCCGUGCAUUGCUACGGGUCUACAGCUGAAGAUCUUGAAAUAUUAUCUAUAAAUAAUAUCCAGACUCUAUCUCAACGCAUAAACUUUUUCCGUGCAUUGAUUCUUAGCCUACUAUGUCUAUAUGUCAAUUUUUUUCUACAACAGUGCUCGUGGAGAUGUUGCAGUCACAAUAAAGUACUGCCAUAACUUUUCUUUUCAAGUUUAACUGAUGCACUUGUCAACGGAGGUGGAAUCUUAUUAUAUGAGGUUUGGUUUCAGGUUUAUGAUUUCUUUAAAUAAAAAGGUUAUGUAAAAUGACAUCAAGAAUAUAGCAAAGACAUUACCUUACUGUUCCACCUUGUUUUGUGUAUGAGCACUCAGAUCUUAUCAAAGGUGUAAUGAAGAUUAUGGCUGACAUCAUGUGAGUGAGAGCUAGUUUAGAAAUUUUAGACGGGUUCAGUAGUGCAAAACUAACAUAGCAAGGGUACCAAACUUCUCAACAGUCCCAAGGCAUAUCCCAGGCAAGCAUAUAGUAUAUAAGGAAUUAAGGAUUAACCAUGAGCAGCCGAGGUUCCUGGAAACACCCCGUAGUGGCAUACAGAGAUUAAAAAGUGAUCAGAUAGCAUUUCGAAUAUUUGCAAGCUUUGGGAAUUACAUAUUCAUUGCUUAAUAAUUAGAUCUAAUACAGAAUGCAAUGGUUUACAUUACCUUGGUUGUACGAUUUCCAUAUUCUUAAUAUCUUGUGACAGUUGACAUUCAGAGAAUCAACACUGUAAAAUAAAAAUGAAAAAUGGUUCAAGUAGUCAUGAAGGAAGUAAAGCUAUGGACAUACUAUUAUGUAAAAUGUUUUAUAGCAAUAAACUCAUUAUAUAUGCUCUCGAACUAUCUACCAAGUUUCAGAUCAGUAUUGUCCGGGUGCUUUAAUUUUAGGUUGCAACCUCAAAACCUACUAUUUUAUUAAUUCAUAUGUUCUGUGUCGUAGCAUUUAAAUUUCACAUAGCCAUUUAUGCAUGGAUACAUGCAGAAAGUUUGUUCUUGAUGCCUGUUUGAGCACACGUCUGUGGCCCAAAACAUUAGAAGAGCAGUAUUUGCCGUUCAGAAAUUAAGAGAGCUAUUUGAUUUCUCUAAUAGUUGUUGUGAAAUUUUAAGCCCAUAUUCUACAUGAGAUUAAGACAACAUUAUUAUAUUAUAUGGUUGUUUUGUAUCCGGCGAGACUAAGGAUAAGUAUAAUUAAUUAUGUUUAUUAACAGCAAGUAGUUAUCUCCGACUUGUACAGGCAGCCAUAUGCUUUUCCUAAUUAGAGAGACAUGUUUCCUUCAGCUGAGUCGCCAUGGAACCCAGUUGAAUGUUGCCAUUUGACACGAAUUUGAGCAAUACUCGUUUCAACAAACUGAGUACCACAAAAGAAGCACAAUUCCUUAAGAAAUAAUUAAUAUAAAUGGUAAUUUAUACAGCACAGAAGAAUAGUUCUAGACUUCUAAUCAUUUCUCAGUGAGUAAUGCUAGUAAUUGCUAUUUUGGUUAUGUCCAGCUGCUGGUAGGAAAUUGGUGGAUAUUGAAUUCAAAUGAAUAUAUAUUGUGGAUAGAUUAAUACCUACGCGGGGGCAUAAUCAUGUACAACAUUACAGGCUCUUGCUUCCGUUCUUGUUAUUAGGCAUUUCUACAAACAACUUGUGUGCAGUAGAGACAGGCCAUAUGCACGGACAGAAGGGAGAACUGCAGAGGCUGCUACGGCCGUCGGCGGCGAGAGUGCGUCUGUGGUUGAGGCGCUGCGCGGCCGCGUUGCCGCUGGCCUCAACCACCCCGUGCUCCAGGCGCUAUGCCCGCCAAGCAGGCCCGCCGCCUCCAGUGGCGGGGUACACCGUCCGGGGACCUCGCCCCCGCUGGCCGCAGGUCCCAGCAGCACCGCUCGGGACAUCACCCCUGCCGGCCUGGGGAGCUCGCCCCGCCGGCUCCGGGCACCGGCCGUACCACUAGGGGACUCCCUCCCUCCAAUCGUCGCUGACUGCUGCUCGACGCCGCCCCUGCCUCGCCUCCCGCUGGCGCCCCGCCUCCAGCAUCUCCUUCGCCGAGGUGAGGAGGGGAGAGGACCUCCCUUCACACUCUCCCUUCUCCCCCUCUCCACGGCUGCGACGGGGGCAGGGGCACGGGGGAAGGGGGGCAGCAGAGGCGACGCGCCCAGGGUAGGAGGGAGGUGUGGCGCGGGGAGCAGAGGGGAUCGGCCGGCCUCUCCGUUGAGGCUCGGGGCAGGGUCCGGGGGCGCGGAUGAGGGAGCGCAAGCGGCGGAUGGGAGGGAGAGAGAUGGAGGAAAGGAGAAGCUUUUUUCCCUUUAACCUCCCUUCUUUCUCUCCCUUUUCCACCCGAGCCCCUCCUCUUUAGAAUAUGGACUGGGGGUUGAUUCCUUAAAAGUUGAGGGACUUUUUGUAAAUUGAUCACGACGGACGAAAAAAUUGGCAGUGACGUUACUCGCUUUAAUAAUAGGUAUAGAUAUAGAUAUUAUUAGGUAUAAAAAAAGUUUAGAAAAAAUAUGUUUGUAAUUAAAAUUUAGUUGUUUUCUUGCAAACAUAUAGAGAUCCAUUAAAUGCAAUAAAAAAUGUAGUGGUAUUACUAACAAAAUAUUUCUAGGGGUUUUAAGAAUAUAAUUAGCAUUUUACCGUAGCAACACACGACCAUCUUUCUAAGUUAGAUACAAAGAAUGGUAUCUUUGGGGAUUAAGUGUAAGCAUUAUUGAUGGACCUAUUUGGCAGGACUCCUAGAAGUGCUUCUCGAUCGGCUUCAUCCGGAGCCUCACCAAACGGUCUUUUUCAAAGUGGCUUCAGGGGUGAAGCCAGCAUGAAGCCGCCCCAAAUCUGCACCGGACGUUGCUUUGCAGCUGCCUGCUGCUGCUCAGCAGAGAGCGGCGCAGCUGGAGCGGCAGCAGCAGCGGGCAGCAGUAGCAUCCACCGUCCGAACAGGUGACGCAUCGGGGCUUGGGGACGACCUCUUCGGCUCCUGGGGUGGCCGCGGCGCCCUCCGUUCCCGCCGCGGCCGGCGCUGGCGCGUGGCCCGGCGGCUACACGGAGCCUGGUGUGCUAUGUAGGCCGGAUUCCCCAGUUCUUCAGCGAAUCAGCGGCAGCAACCGCGUGAGCCGCUGCCCUCGCCUCUGGUUCGGGCUCCAGCUUGCCGCCCGGUGGUGGAGACGCGGCAUGUGCCAGGCGAUGGCGGUGGCCGGACUGGUGGCAAGCAUGUGUCAGGCGGUGACAGUAGUUUUGUCCUUGCGCCUUGGAACUGGAUCGGGUUCACAGUCUCACAGAUGAGGCACCCGAAGGAUAAGGAUGGUUAGUGGUGGGACCCACAUACAAAAAGAAAAUGCGAGAGGAACUAAAGGAAAAUCACUCUAGUUAAGCAAUAUUCCUAUUUAUAUUUUUUAUUUUACAUGAACUAAAAUUAGAAAUUAAGGGCAAACAUACCAUUCAAUUUAACAAACAGGUCAGGUGUACUAAGGGUAGAUUGGACAAUUGACAUUUUCAAUCCAUUCAUAACGAUAGGAAGAAGCCGUUUCGCUACACAUUUUCGAAAUGGCUUCAGCUCGACCAGAGGAGCUACUCCACCAGUGGAGCAUCAAAGAUAUUUUUGGAGGAGCCGGAGCCCUACCCUCAACUCUUCUCUUUUUGAGUACAUACAAGUCUCUUCUUAAAAAAAUGCUAGAGGUUAAGAAUUAGAAUAAAUGUGUAUUUUUUAUCUCUUAAAUAUUGCAAAAAUAUUGCAAAAAGUAUGGUAUUCAUCCUUUAUGUUUUCAUUUGAUGCAAAUCAAUCUUUUAACUAACUAAGGCCUCGUUCAUUUGUUGCGGAUUGAAAAAGACCGAAACUGUUCUGACCCGGGAGUGAGUGAAUCCACUUGAUCCGGUGGAUUCCGUUCCGAAUCCACUUGAUCAGGUUGUUUCCAUUCCGGACCUCAAGAGGUGGAGAAUAAAUCCGGACCUCGAGGCGUACGAAAUAGCCGAGACGGUCCGGACUCCAUUCCCCGUCGGCCUUAACCGAAUGGCCAUUUUGCCAUGCGCCGAAUUCAAAACCAGGCUAGAUCAAUCCGCCCGGAACGGGCCGCAUUCCGGGCCAUUCCGGCCAAACCGAACGGGCCCUAAACCGGUGCAUUUAUCAUCCCAAUCUUAAUUUAAAAUAGCAUACGAUUUUAAAUUUGACCAAAUUUAUAUAGUAGAGUGAAAAUAUUUAUGACAACAAAUAAGUAUACGAUGAAACUGUAUUUCACAAAGAAUCUAAUGAUAUCUAUUUGGCAUUGUAAAUAACGAAAAUUUUGUAAAUUUGAUCAGAUUUUAGAUACAAAGAUAGAGGCCAUGUUUAGUUGCCCAAGUUGGGACCUCCCAACUUAGGAGUUACUGUGCAGCCAAAAUUUGGCUUGCAUGCCAAAUUUAGGAGUUCCAAAUUGGUGCCCCCCAAACUUUGCAAUGCACUAUUGAAUCAUUAUAGCAGCCACUGUUUCACCAUUACAACACAAUUCAGCAUGGCCCAUGCAUGUUGUCCUCCAAAAAAUGCACUGAUCCAGGCCAAAUGACAACACAAUUCAUAGCUGUUUCAACAACAAAACUUCAAGGAAAAUAUUCUCAAGUGCACCGCAAAUUAUUACAGAUUGACAACACCGAAAAUUAUUACAACCGAGCCACAAAGUCCAUAAACAAUUACAUGUCCUCCAACACAAAUUAUUCAAGACCUAGCAAACAAAUGUGAAGCAAGCAUAUCUCGGAAUGCAUUCAUGCUUGCCAUGUCCGCACUCUCCGGCGCCGCCACCGUUUCCGGCUGAUCCUGAGUGCCUUCAACAGGCACAUAGUUCAUGUUGCUAUCCACUAUACCAAAGUGAGUAUCAAAGUCACCAUUAAUCCUAAUGAAGUUGUGCAAUGCCAUGCAUGCACAUAUAAUCUGUGUCUGUGUUUCUGGUGGAUAGGCCGGGAUGUCCAACAAUAUGCGCCACUUCAUUUUCAACACUCCAUACGCCCUUUCGAUGAUAUUUCUAAGAGAUGAAUGGGCAUAGUUGAAUACCUCCUUCAUACCUUAUGGUUCUGGCGCGUUUUGAAAGUCUUGGAUGUGAUACUUGGUCUGGCGGUAAGGAGCUAGGAAGCCGGUGCGGUUUGCGUACCCCGAGUCCACCAAGUAGUAUUUCUCUAUAGGAACAGUACAUACCUGUAAGUUUACAAUGGUUGUAUUAGAAAACACUAUUGACCUAGAAACAGUUCUGUGUACCUCUAGGUGGCUUUGGGAACUUGUCGCUGUAAGUUGUCAUUGCAUCGUCAAACACCCUCAUGUCAUGCACUGAACCCGGCCACCCAGCAAGCACAAAUGUGAAAACCAUAUCCAAGUCACAAGCGGCCAUGACAUUCUGGGUUGUCUUGCCCUUCCUACACAUGUGCUGCAUAAACUUUGCACUUGGCACUACUACAGGGAUGUGAGUGCCAUCUAUUGCCCCUAUGCAUCCCUGGAAUUCAGGGUAGAACCUAUUGUUUUGCAGCCUAGGAUGCAUUGUUCUAAACUCUGGGUCCCUAGGUUUAAUGAUGUCGGCUGAUAGGUCAACUAGAGAAGUGAGGACUUUGUAGAAUAGCCUAUGAACAGUACCAAGGGACCUCUCAAAUCUAUCAUCUGCUUGCCUAACAGAUUGGGGUGCCCCACAUAUCCAAAGGAACAAUCCUAGAGCCUCAAUAGUGCUAGAUUUAUUUGAUGCAGUCAGCCCAUAGUCAGCUGUCAACAAGUCAUGCAGCCUAUAAAACAUGUGGGGGCUCAUCCUAAACAUGGUGCAGCAGGAUGUUUCAUUAGCAAGCUUGUUAACUACCCAUUGCUCCCCAGUCAAUGGUGGAUUCCUAUAGGGUGCUCUAUUGCAAUACUUGUCGAUAUGAAUAGCAUAUUCAUACAUACCAUAGAUAAAUGGUGCCUCAUCAUCGUCUAAUACCACCAAUUCCCAAAAAAGGUCCCACCACUCGGCCAGCAACUUCUCCUCCUCCUCCUGGUCCUCCACCUCCUCUCCUUGGGCACCAAAAUGAGCAGGAACUUCCUGGGCAGUCCAAAACAAGACAGCAAAAGUUAGCACAAAGAAAUUGGUAGCCACAAUAGUAAUUGCUGCUACCUUGAGUCAAAUGACACCCAUCUGAAGACAGAGGCAAUAACUUUAACAACCAUCAACCAAACAGCUCUAAUGCACUACCAUGCUGUUAAUAACCAUGCUGUUCAUAUAGGAUUAGCCAACACAUGUCAUCAAAUGUUCAUCCUCAUAACAUAAACAAUACCAACACAUAUUAAGUCAACAACAAGACAUAACACAAAAGACAUGCCAAGCACACACAAAAGACAUAGGGUGUGGUUUACACCAUAGCAGCAUAUUUCUUGAUCAUUGGCAGCCUUGCUUCAACAGGUGUGCACAGGUAGAUGUUGCGUAGGUCAUCAUCCAUGCAGAUCAUGAUGACACCAUCCCAGAGUUGUCCUUCCAUCAGGUGCACUCCAAGCUCUGUCGCUGAAUCUGUCACAAGUUUCUGUUCUUUCUUCCUGGCCUCCUCUCGGUACUGCUUCUUGUCAAUCACAACCUCAACCUCCUUCAUCUUACCCUCCAGGGCCCUUUGGAUAAUUGCUGUCCUGUGAGAGUAACUGGUGUUGAACGUUGUCAUGUUGUUGUUCAUGUUCCGAACAGCAGGACCCUUGUUCCUCUUGCUGGGGCUUGUAGCAGUGCUGCGGAUGCUGCUUGUGCUCCUCUUGCUGCCACUGCUGAUUGGGGUGCCACAGCUGCGAGGGGUGCCACAGUCCUCAUCAGCAGCAUCUUCUUCGCCACUGCUGAUGAAGUUGAUCUGCCGGCUGACCCCUGGAACAAAUGACGUCUCUCCAGUCACUGCUACUCCACAGAACAUGCGGUCCAGCUCGUCAAUGUACUCUGGCCAUCCAUCCUUGAGGUCAUACCAGUCUGCGUGCCCCUGCAUUGCAAAUAACAAGACACAACCAUUCAGUAGGCAAGACAGGAACUUGUCGCAGUACACAUGCGGUGUUCACAUAUCACUAACCCUGCUAUUGGUGCGCCACCAGUUAUCACUAGCAACCACAGAACCAUCUUCUCGGCGCCCCAAGCCUGUGCACUGUGUCCGCAGAUGUUGGAUGAACUGCCAAAGCUGCUUCAGCUGCCUGUACUUGUACCCGAACUGCUCGCUGUUCCUGAACUUCCCAGUGGCCGCUUGGAACUUCUCCUGGACAUCUUUCCAGCCCCACUUGCUCAUGUUCCCGCUCUUGCAGUUGCCCAACUCGAUUUGCUGACAGUACAGCUCACAAAACAGUUGUGUAUCCUCUUUAGUCCACUUCGCCCUGCUAGGCUCAUUCUGUGCACAAUGCAAUUGAACAAGCAAUGCAUGAACUCCUAUUGACAGUAUGCAUGACUAAGCAAUACAGAUUAACAACAGCAGGGAUAAAUGUAAAAAUGACAACCAAUGCAUUAAAUCAUAUUGACAGAAACCAUCACUAACCAAUACAUUUCAUGCACACCAGGCAUAAAUCAUGAUAGAACAAGCAAUGAGACAACUCCUAAUGACACUAACCGUGAGUAAGCAAUACACUUGAUGCACACAACGGUUUCAUGUACGCGGCAGCGCAUAUCUUUGCAAUGGAAGUACAGAGGGGGAGUGGGAACAAGUACCGGAUUCAUCUCGGCUGCCCCUGCUGGAGCCGCGCCACGACGCCGGGAACCGCGUGUCCUGGCCGUAGCACGCCGCUGACGAGGCAAGGGAUCCGGGGCCUGGUCACCGCUGCCGAAACCAUCUCCGCCGGAAUGGCCGACCCGGCUGCUGCCGCCUCCUCCAACUCGGUCGCCGGAGCGAAGGAUGCCUUCGUAGUCGUCCAUGUUCGGCCACCCGGAGGAGGCAUUCAGGUUGAGGCCGGCCAUGCCCAGCUGGCUUGGGGUGGGCAAGCUGGACGACAGGGUCUGCUGCGGCCCGGAGGAGAAGGGGUUGUACGCACCGCUUGCUGAGCCCGGCGGCGCCAGGGAGAACAAGUUCCUGGUGGGGUGGCUGCCGUCGUACUCGGGGACGUUGCCGAAGUCCAGACCCGAAGAGGCAUCUCCGUAUCCGCCGGCGUUGAAGUAGGCGGGGUUGCCGGAUCCGCUGGCGUUGAAGCCCCCGGGGAGUCGGGAUCCGGUGGCGGUGAAGCCCGCGGCGAGUCGGGAUGAUCUGGCGGUGAAGCCCGCGGGGAGUCGGGAUCCCCCGGUGGUGAAGGCAGCGGGGAGUCUGGAUCCACCGGCGUUGAACUCCGCGCCGUCCCCUUCCUCGUUGAAGUGGUCCAUCGCCGCAGCCUGGGUCAACAACGGACCGAGUACGUCCUGGAUCUAGUGGUGGAUAGGUCGAUCGGAGCGGAUGCGGCGACCUCCUGCCGGGGGAGUGGGACAGCGGCCGAGGGGGACAGAUCUAGGCGGGGGAGAGGCGACCGUGGCGGGGGAGAGGGGAGCGGCGCGGGGGAGGGGGGUCAGCGGCGGGUAGGGGGCGAGCGCCGCGGGCGAGGGGGAGAUCUGCGAGGGAGACGAGAGCGGCGCGGGCGACAGGGAUAUCGGCGGUGGAGCGGACACCGGCAGGAGGAAGAGGGCGAGCGGCACGGGUCGAGGGGGAGAGCGGCGGGGGGAGAGCACACCGGCGGGGGGAGAGCACACCGCGGGGGAGAGGGCGAGCGGAACGGGGGGAGGGGGAUAGCGUCUGGGAGGGGCCUAGCGGCGGGGGAGAGGCAAGCGGCCCGGGGGAGAGGGAGCGUGACUGCGGGCGCUGCUAGGGGUUGGGAGGUGCGGGCCGGUCGGCUUGCCGGUGGAUAAGGCUGCGAAUUUUGGGCCGGAAAUCGGGGCAUUCCUAAAGGCCCGACUUUUGCACCGAAGUUUGCCAGACCGUUUACUUCAAAACUCCCAAAAGGAGGCCCAAACACUGUACAAAGUCCGAUUCAGACCUCAUCUAAACAAGGCCAGAAUGACAUUUGAGAUACAUCAGUGACUCUCUUUCGGUGUUCUGCGUACCCACAAAGUAAAGCCAGUUCAGGAGCGCCAUCCAAAUUCCAAACACAGCACUUUGCACACAACAAGCGGCCUGUUCGCUUCAGCUUAUUCAGCUGGCUUAUCAGCCACCAAACAGUAUUUUUCUCUCACAACAAAUCAGCCGUUUCAGCUUUUCAACCGGCUUAUAAGCUGAAGCGAACAGGCCAAAGGUCAAUGACCGUCUGGCAGCAGUAAGGCUUAGGUAGAGUUAAAAA